UCGUCCCAAACCACCAGGCAAGUAACUAGCAUUUUUGCAUCUGCACAAGGAAAGACGUUCCAAACUUGGAGUGGGCAAUUGAUCCAGAUCAUAAUCACAAUCCCUAAUAUCCAAAAACCGGAGACUUGCAAAACUGUAGACUGAACCAAGCAUUGUUCUCAAAUUCAGACAUGGGCAGCCAACGAUUUCCAGACUCUCAAUCGAUGUGCUAGUGUCCUCUAUGACAAUCUCCGGAGUAAGGUUCAGUUUCUGGCAAUGUCUGAUCCCAAGAUUCCUAAGCUGAGGGAGGAGCAACUUGUCCAUUGGUAAGCAACUGAGGGCUGAGCAACUGCUUAUUCGCAAUAUGUUAAGACCAGAUAAUGUAGGCAAAGACAGGAGAGCACUGCAACUUUCUAUCUUAAGAUAUUUAAGCAUGGGUAAAACAGCAAGCUCCUCCAAGGAUGAAAGCUGUGAACAUUCUGAAACAACUAAAGAUUUUAGCUGCACAAGGUUUACAGUAUUACUUGAGCCCCACAAAUUCUUCAGUUGAUGGCACUCACGUAAUGUGAUAUCUUCAAGGCCUGAUGGGAACUGCAUGAACGCAUCCUCGAGGGAUGCAAGCCCUAUAAUCUGCCGAAAAUCCAAAUUGUUUAAUGAGGUCAAAUUGUAUAAACAUUUUGCAAUUCCCACCGAGCACUUUUGCAACUUUAGUUCAGAGAGUGAAGGAAGCUGCAAAACAGGAAUGCUUUUCAACUUUGGGCAUCUACUUAUACAGAGCUUUUGGAGCAGAGGGAAGUGGCAUUCGUUCUCUCCUGCUGAACUUAAGCAAGUCCAUUCCUCCCAUUCUGGCAUGUCAUCAAAUGUUAGACUUUCAAGCAAUGGAAAGGAAAAUUCCCAAGAGCAAUCUUUGCCACAUAGCUCCGUACCUACUGCCUUCACCUCAAGCAUGGUUUGAAUGCUCAAAUCCUUGAGCGCAGGCAAUUGCCCGAGUGAUGGUAAACACUUGCAGUGUGUACAACCUCUAAGGCUUACUUCUUCUAAUUUAGUAAAUGAAGAAUCCCCCACCCAGGAAGAGAAUUUGUCUCCCUUAUAGAACUCAAUUUCAAGAAUCGUUAGGUUUGUGUGUGGUCGUAGCGCCUCAAGCAAAUCUUGUUGAAGAACUUUACUCAGAGAAUCAUCAUAUUCACUAUUCCAUGCCAAUACUAGUUCAUCAAGGUCCCUCUUGUUCUUCAAAUUGGCAUCCCGUGCUUCUUGAACAUUCGUAACAUUUUGCAACUCCAAAAUGGCGAGCGACCCUGCCAGUAAGGACAAGUUCCCCAAGUCAUUCAGCCGGAACCCACCAUGUUUGCUCACAACCACUUUGGAUAGCGUCUGCAAGUUCGUCAACUGAUCAAUCCCUGAAGGCAUCUCAUGCAAUUGACUGGUAUUGGAAUUUUCAAGAUGGCGCAGGUUAAUUAAUUUUCUAAUACCUACCGGUAGGUUAAUCAGCUCCGUGCAGUUGCGCAAUCGUAGUGCUUGUAAAUUGCAAAGAUUACUCAAUGAUUCAGGCAACAAUUUCAACCAAGUACCAGACAAAUUCAGGUACCUCAGAUGUAUUAAUUCACCGAUGGAAUUUGGUAGAUCAAAGAUAAAAUAGCCACUGAAUGAUAGCACCCUAGAGUAUCGCAAUUCCAACAAAAGUUCUGCUAUGACCUUUUUAGGGAUGUGAAACUCGUGUAACUCCCUGCCAUCCUCGACAAAAAUGGGCAAUGGCAGGAAACUUCGCAAAUGUUUUGCUUUCUGAAGAGUUUUAAACUUUUGUGAAGCUCCAUACGCUGAACUUGUGAAUGAUGCGUACCUAACCUUGUCAAGGAUCGUGCAUUUGAUGUUCUCUUCCAAGUCGUCUGUCAAUCUUGAACAAAAAUCUCCAGCAACAUAUCUAGCUAGAACGUUAAUAAGGUCAUGCAUCACAAAACGUGAACUAUUGGAACUUGACUGCUGGAAGAAGGACCUCAUUAGUAGCUCCUUAAAAUAAUUGUCCCCUAUGUCCUCCAUAAGUUCACUUGCUUUUGAUUCCUCGAGAAAACCCUCUGCCAUCCAGAGCAAUACAAGCUCAUAUUUGUCAAACUCAUAGUCCUUGGGAAAUAUGGAGCAGUAAGCAAAGCACGGUUUUAGAUGGGCAGGAAGAUGAUAAUAGCUUAAUCUCAGUGCUGGAAGAAUAUCACUUUGAUCCUCUUUUAUUUCCCAUAUCUCACUGUUCAGUAUAUCCGUCCAUUCAUCUGGGGUCGAUCUAGCACGCAACAGCCCUCCAAGAGUCUUCACGGCCAAGGGUAAGUUCUUACAUUUCCUUACAAUACUCCUACCAAUGCCUUCUAGAUUGGGGUACCUGUCAAAAUUUGUCCUCCAGUAACCAUAAGCUUUCAUCAUCUGUCAACUCCUUCAGACUAUAUCCAGCAGUGGAAGACAUUACUGAUGCCACCCUAUGAUGCCGAGUGGUGACAAUUAUCUUGCUCCCAGAUGAACCAACUAGAAAUGGGCUGCACAGGAUGUCCCAGUCCUCGUAUUUUUGAUUCCAAACAUCAUCUAAGCAAUUAGAAACCUCUUCCUGGUCAAGGCCUCACUCAGUUUCACUUGAACCAUAUUCAGAUCCUCAUAAUCACAGCCACCUUCUGUGAUUGCUUUAAGGAUUGUCUUUGUUACCCUGAAAAUGUCAAAAUCAUCUGAAACACAAGCCCAAGCCUUGGAAUCGAAAAAUUCGUUGACUCUGUCAUCAUUGUACACCAUUUGAGCAAGAGUUGUUUUACCGACCCCUCCCAUGCCAACAAUUGGUAUCACAGCCACUUGAUCAUCGCUCGAUUCAUUUGAAAGGAGCAAUUUCAGCAGCUCUUCUUUGUCAUUCUCUCGACCAUAAACAUAAGACUCCACUAGGGAUGUUGAUGGCAAUCUAUCCCUAGUUUUGUUCGGCCUCUUUGCUACAGUCUACCAAAUGGAGGAUUUUGAUUUGUUCUUUCAUGCUCUCCAAUCUUUUAGUUAUUUCAUCCACCUUGGGAGCCAUUUUUCUGUUGAACUUAAAAUCUUUAACAGAAAAAGUUGUACAACAGGAAGGGAUUUUAACCUUUCUUACCAUGCUAGUAGAGCCUUGAGCUUCCAUCAACUUUCUUCGACAAGCUUCUGUGGAGAAUUCGUCAAUCACAUCAUCCAUAUCAUAUGCCAAAUCCUGAAGAUCAUCUAGCCACUGCUUCACAGCGAUCCUCAUAUUCUGCUUGUCCUCUGCAUCAUCAAGCACUGCCCGAAUCAGGGAUAGCACUUGGCUCCAUCGUUUCAGCCGAGUAUCUAAGCCUUCUGGGAGUGCAAAUUUCUUCAAAUCGACAGAAGCAAGCUUGUCAAAUAUCACCUUGAUGAUUGCACCAAGAAAGACUUCUAUCAGUGCCAUUUUUCACUAUUCUUUUUUUUUUCCUCCGGAUUAUAUCAAUUGUGUAGGUAAGCAUCGAGCAAAAAGUCUGAAAACUUGAAAGGGGAGAUAAGAUUGAAAGAUGGAAAACUACAGAUUCUUCACGGGAAAAGUGAUCAGCACCAAAAUAUUUCAACUGGCAAGAAAAAAGUUUCCAAAGCGCGCGUCUUCAUUUCUUAUGUAGCACUAGUAGACUUAUUUUUCUUUUCUGUAGCACUAUAUUAUAUCAUCAAUCAUUAAAGUAACCCACACAAAGAAGUUGCUUUUGUGUGGAAUUUGACCGAAUUGAGGGAGGUACUUUUUGAGAUAGAAUGAUUUGUGCUCUUAGGUGUAGUUGGUGUACCUCAUUUACAACAUAGUGUACAUUUACAAAUGCACUUUAUCAUCAUAGGUGUGUUUCUUAACUAUUUCUUAAAAUUUUUUGAAGCAAGGAUGUGAAGUAGUUAUUGAUUAUUAAACAGGAAAGGUGAUUAAGUACAUCAACGGGUCCUUGAUCAGACUUGCAUUUUCUUUAAUUGAAUGCAUUUGUCUAUUCCUUUUACCAAUGAAUUAUAAAAUAAGAUAGGUGAAAUAAAAAGAUAAAGCUUCUAACCAAAACCCUUCUUUUUGGACCCAAACAAAAAGGAUAACUAUUCUUGUCAGAGAAAUAUCAAAUUAGAUAAUUAUUCUUCUCAGAAAAAAACCAAAGUGUAUAGGAAGUUGACUUGACUUGACUAAGAGCUUAAAUCUUAAUCCUAAAAGGUAAGCAAGGGUCAUAGAAUUAUCAAGGGAAAUUAGCGUGUUAAUUUGUUUGAGUACAUCAUUUUGGGGGGGGGGGGGGAGGGAUGUUCUUCUGAGUCUUGUUGAACAAAUGAAGAAACAGAAACAGCCUUAAGAAAUGGGUAAAUUACUAGUAACUUCUGUGAUAAUGUAUAUAACUCUUGAAUGAUUAUGUGAAUAAAUAUGAAAUAUUACAAGGAGAUAAAGAAGAUAUCCGCACAACUUAUAGGAGUGUUAAGUGUAUAUUGUGAUUUCAUCACAUUCAUUUUUAGAGUACAUCUAAUUCAAUCACGUUAAUUAAUGGUGUUUUUCGUCUAAUUUUUUACUUUAUAUGAAACUAUGAGAGAGUUAUGUGAAUAUUUUGAAACCUUAGAAAAAACAUGUCAUAAUAUGCAAAAUCAGAAUGAAGUUAUAAAUAAUUUAUGCUACGAAAAUUGAAGUUACCUGCAGAGAUAGGGUGGGGGCUGUGGGGUGGGGGGGGGGGGGGGAGGGAGGAAGAACUAAUCAAACCACACUUCUGAACAUUGACAAUAUAUGCCAUGUACAAAAUAUGGAUUUAAAAUGAAAGGAUGUAAAUUUAACUUGAGGAAUACAUAAUUUUGGGUUUUUCGGAGCCUUAUGCAUACAAAUGAGAAUUCUAACACAGCAGCCCCUCAAAGAACCCAUUGGAUAAUCUCUGCAGUCCCAAUCGGCCAGUCCUCGCCCGGCCAAACCGCACUUCCAAUAUCAAAUUAUUGGAAGUUGACUUGACUUUGCUGAGAGCCAAAGCCUAUAACUAUACAAGUCAAGCAAGGGUCAUACAUAAACGCGUUAAUUUGUUUUGGUACAUCCGAGUGGGGCUUCUUCUGAAGAUUUUGCAUAUAAUCCCCUGUAAAAUUAUGUAGAUAAAUGUCAAAAGUAUGAAAGAAUAAAAUAUAUAUUUCAUUAAAUCAUAUGCGAGUUAAACAGAUAUUAUGAUUUUAUCACAUAUAUUUUCGAAGCAAGUCCAAUUCAAUCGCCUUAAUCGGUAGCAUUUUCAUUCAUUUUUUACUUUAUAUAAAACUACAGAGGAAUAUUAUGAAUAUGUUAAAAUCUUAUGAGAGUCAUCUGACAAUAUAUUGAAUCAUAAUAGACCUAAUAGUAAUUUACGGUAAGAAAGAUGAAGUUGCGGGGAAGAGACGGACUAAAUGAAACCCCCCUUUUGAACAUUGAUAAAAUAUGCCAUAUAUAGAGUAUGGAUUUAAAAUGAAAGGAUGUAGAUUUAACUUUAGGGAUGCAUAAUCUUGGUUUUUUAAACUUUAAAAAUACUAAAUUUUGGCUUUUUGGGAAGCUUCCCUUGCAGAAGAUGCUAGUAAGAGUCUUUUGACUACUUAAAACAAAUUAUAACCAUCUUUGUGAAAGUAAAACUAAAUUUGAUCUUCAUUAGGUCAUUAUCAUCAUUACUGGGAAGGCUUACACCGGAUAGAUCUGGUUCUUAAAAAUUCAAUGGUCAAAAUUGUGUCACACCGUCUCAUCAAGUGGUAUGACACAAUUUAAAUCACUGAAAUUUUGAAAAUCGGAUUUACCCAAAUUUUGAUUCACUAGUAGUGGUACGGCUUCAACUUGUUUCCCAACUCACAAGGCAGAUGACUAAACACAACUAUUAAGGUGACGUUUGAUAAGAGGGUUUCAGAAAGAAGAAUUGGAAUAAACCCCAUAAUUGUUGUUUGGAUUACUACUAUCGGAAUCGGAAUUUUGGAAUCAAAUCUAAAAAUUUAGAAUUCCUCAAUCCACUAGUAACUUGGAGGGUUUUGGACAAAACCCAAGUCUGAUUCCGGUUUAGAAAUGGGGGCUGUCCCGCCACCCAUUAAAAAAAUUAAUAUAUAAUUAUGUAUAUAAUAUAUAUUAUAAUUAUAAUAUUUAAUUGUAAUUAAAUUUUUUAUUAUAGUAUUAGUAUAAUUAUAUAAUAUAUUUAUAAUUAUUAUAUACACAUACACAAUAUAUUAUAUAAAUAUAUAUCAUAAUUCUUUAAUUAAAUAUAUUUAUAUUUAUAUAAUAUAUAUUAAAAAUAUUAAUAUUAUAUAAUAAUAUAUUUAUAUUAUAUAUAUAAAUGUAUAUUAUAUGUGCAUAUAAUUAUAAUGUAUACGUGUAUAUAAUAAUAAUAUAUUAUAUAAUUAUAAAGUAUAUUAUAUAUUAAAUAUAAUUUUUAUUAUAUAUUAGUAUAUUUAUAAUAUACUUUAUAAUUAUAUAAUAUAUUAAUAUAAUUAAUAUUUAUAUAUAUUACAUAAUUGUAAUCAUAUAUUUAUAUUAUAAUAUAUACAUAUAGGAUUAUAAAUAAUAUAUAUUAUAAUUAUAUAUUUUAUUAUAAUAUUAGUAUAAUUAUAUAAUAUAUUAUAAUUAUUUAAUUAAAUAUAAUUAUACUUACAUAAUAUAUAUGAUAAAUUUAUUAACAUUAUAUGUAUAUUUAUAAAUGUAUAUUAUAUGUGCAUAUAAUUGUAAUAUAUAUGUGUAUAUAAUAUUAAUAAAUUAUAUAAUUAUAAUUAUAUUUAUUUAUAAAUAUAAUAAUAUAUUAAAAUAAUUAUAUUUAAUAUAUAAUAUAUUAUAAUUAUAUAAAUAUUAGUAUAAUUAAAAUAUAUUAUAUAAUUAUAAUUAUAUAUUUAUAUUAUAACAUUUGUAUAAUUAUAUUUAAUUUUAUAUAUAAUAUUUAAUUUAAUUAGUUACAAACUUAUAAUAAUGAUAUUAUUAGUUAUCUGUAUUAAAUAAUGUAUAUUAAUCUAUGUAAUAUAAUUCACAUUAUCAAUUAUAUUAAUAAUUGUACAUGUUUACUAAUAAAAAUUAUUAAUUAGUUAUACUAAAUUUACUAAUACAAGUAUUUGUAUUUUACAAGUAUUUGUAUUUUAAUUUUGUACAAACGUCUGUCUUCAAGUGAAAUUGUGUGCCAUGAAAUUCCAUUUCUCUAGACAAAUAAUUCUAGAAAUUAUAAAGUCCUAAAGGAUAUUAUCAAUUAAGUGGAAACCAAUACUUAGAGAUACAAAGCAUACACCCAUCCCAUGUCUAGAAAUUGGGCUUCUAAGGAAAAAAUUAAACCCUGAACAGCUAAUAUCGUAGAAAUAUUCUUAGCAAAAGUUCAUAGUCUUACGUGGUUAUAGCCGAAAAGAUGUUGAAUUCUUGUCACCUUUUAUGCCUCGUUUGUUGAUCUCCUCUCCACUCCAAACACAAGCUCCCUGUAUUUGGUUUUGGUGUUUUGUAGAAAGAAAUGAAAAACCAGAGCAUACAACAAAUUGAAUGAGCUAUAGCCAAUCAAAAGUUUUAUUUUGAAGAUGCACAUAUUAAGAGAAAAUAAAAAGCAUUGCGACAUUAAAAGAUGAAGAAGAAAAGGGACAAAACAGAAAGAAAGAAGAAAAAAAAAAGAGAAUGAAACUUAAAAGAUAAAACUCAUACGAUUGCAGGGGCAAAUUUGUGACCAUUGACCAAUAUAUAUAUAUAUAUACUCUAUAAAAGUCUCUUGGAUGAUUUACCUUUUAGUCCUUACUCAAUAUAUUUAUAUCUAUAAAAGUCUAUAUAAAUUAUAUUCAAUAAACAUGGUGAAUUAACAGCGUGCAAAGCUCAAUACCUUGUCCAAUAUAUAACAUAAAUCUGUUGCUAUAGCUAUAGGUGCUACUGACGCCUUUUAAUACCAUGACAAACCAGCAAACUAAUCUAUCUAUCUAUCUAUCUGUAUCUAUAAUCCGAAUAAAAGAAUGGAUAGUUUAGGCAAAUAGAGUGUAAAUAAUUUGAAGUGCAAUCAUUUUUUUAUUUUGGUCUUAGUUUUUGCUGUGACCAAAGUAUCCUUUUGUCUAAUAAUUACAGUCAUUUUAUUUCGGUUAUGAUAUUAAUGAAAUGAACAAAAUGUUAUCAGUUGCUUCCAUAAUAUGAGUAUUGUGAUAGCUCCACCUUACCCUGAGGCGAACCAAAGGGUUCGGCGGACCGUCUGCCCAACUCUCGCCGGGACUCAGUCACUUACUACAGUCCUCAAUUAAAUUACAAUAUCAAUUUCCAAUAUACAUCCAAUGGUCCACAAGUUUACAUAUUAUAAGUGAAGCAAUACUUCUCAAUCGCACUUCAAACUAAAACCUCAAGAGAUGAAAGCAAUACAAAUUUCCCGAAUAAGACGAAGGUCCUCAGUUCUCACAUAAUUACAAGUACAAUCGUAGUCUCAAAUAUUACACAAGAUAAAACUAAAAAUCCAACUGUACAGGAGAUCAUCCAACCAUUCACACGGAGAACGUAAUACAAGCUUCCUUUGCCUCGAGCCCUGUGGAGGGGAAUAAAAUAUUUUUGGGGUGAGCUAGAAGCUCAGCGAGUAACCAGUAAAAUCAGUAAUCAAAUCAGUUUCUCAAUAGUUCAUUUCAAUGAUGUCAUGAAUCAGUAAUCAUAUGUACGUUUAUUGCUCUCGUGAGCUAGUGAAAUCAUUGUACUUAAACAUCCAACGCUCAAAUUGAUCAGUUAACAGUGAAACAGUGAUAGGGAGCCCUUUGGUGCUCCAAAUGAACAGUAAAUUGUGGUGGAGACGUUGGUUCUAAGCACAAGACUUCCCAAGAACUCAUUGAAGCCAAAUCAUGUCAUGAACUCACAUGCAGGCACACAUGAUAUGCAAUCGAGUAAAUAAUGCAAGAAACAGUUCAUAAGUAGCUUUGGAAAUAGUUUGGGGUCACUCACCAACCACGGCUCAGGAACCAUCCAUCAUAUAUCAUUGCUUUGCUCAAGUCCAAGCUCUAGAUCACAAACUCAAAGCAAUCAAACACUCUCAAAGUUCGGACAGCACUUCCCCUUAAUUUCUUCAUUUUUCCAGCCUACAAACAUUCACCAAAUCCAUAACUAUCAACCACAAUAGCACAUAUACAUCAUAGGCUAUUAAACACUCUUAAUAAAGGUCAUAAUACCCCCUUCAAUCUUAACCAAUUAAGUGCACAGGAACCCACAAUAAGAAAGCCCCAAAUUAAACCCUAAAAUCGAAAUUUCCGCACAAACCAGAAAUUUUCCGCAAACAAUCGUAUCCAACGUAUACAAGCUCCAUUUUAUACCACAACAAGCUAUCAUUCCAAAGCCAAACAACAAUUCUCAUAUAAAAUCAGAAAAUUCCCCAAUCAAUCAGAAAUUGGUCCAACUCUAAUUAAAAUCAUGAAAUCAUCCCCAAAAUAGCAUCUCUAACCUCUACAAACCACCAAUAUACCAUUAUUAGAACAAAGAGGAAAUUUUCCAAGCAACUUACCUCAUAACUCAAGAAAGGUAGCAACUUAGAGCUUCCCUUCCAAAAAUCACUCCGUCAAAAGCUUUAAACCUCCUUAGUACACACUUGUAUGGAGUAGUUUCCAAAACCAUCGGUGAAAUCCCAAGAUUUGAGCAAAGAUUGAAACUAGCAAAAAUGAAGAAAUCUCUCUUGUUUUUCCUCUCUCAACAGCCGGCCAAGCCAAGGAAAGGAAUGAGGAAAAAUCCCAACCAAAACAAGAUAAGAAGGAAGAAAAUCAACUGGUCAAAGUUGAUGGCCGACAUGCCACGUCACAAUCCGGCCGGAAUCUGGCCGGAUUUCUAGUCGGAUUCCAGGCCGGAUUCAAGGCAGUGAAGAAAUUAUUUUUUUUUUCAAAUGAGCCAACCAAUCCAGCCAGAAACUGGCCGGAUUAUGCCGCCGGAUUCUGCAAAAAUUCUGGUCACCAGAAAAUUUUUCCCUUUUCUUUUCUUUCGGGCAUCACAAGUAUUUAGAAUAAAAAUAAACUAUUAGAAUUUGAGUUAUAGUGAAUUAAAUAAAAAAAGAAUAAAAUUUAUUUUUAAAUUUUUAAAAAAUAUGGUGAAACUUAGUGGUUAAUAAUGUAACAAAAAUGAUAUUAAUUUUUUUUUUUACCAAAAAUACACUCCUCUCUAAUAAAUAGACAAAUUGCAUUGUAUUUCAUUACUAAUAAAUAAUAUCAAAUAGGCUAGCAGUUACAAAUAUGAAAGAUUCCUUACUUUUUAUUUACCAAAAGAAAGAAGAACAAAUUUUAUUUACAAAAUCUAAGUUAGUGUACUUCAAACAUGAAACAAAACAUAACAAAUUGGUACUGUAAGUCUCUUAAAAAAUACCACGAGUUUUUUUAUUUUUUGGAUACAAGUUAAUUAUGUCUGAAGAGUAUCUUUUUAAUAGGCAUCUAUUACUAUGGAGUAAAAAAACUUUAAUAGAAAAUAAAAUAGGAAAUGGAGUGCCAAGGUAGGCAAAGAGUUUUGUGUUAGGAAUUUAUUUAUUUAAGUUGCAAUAAAGAUUAAAUUUAAUGGACUUUAUCAAUCAUAUUCUUGUAACAACUAAUAGUAUUAAACUAAAAUUAAUGAAUAUUAUGUUCAUCAAUGCUAAUCAUAAUAAUAAUUAGAAAGUCGAAACAUCCCUUUGAGUUAUGGUGAAUUAAGCCAAAAAAUAUUUUUUUAAUAAAAUAUCAAUUUCAAGGAGUAUUUCAAAGGUGAAUAAAAGUAUAUCCAAGUUCAAUUUAAUUAUUAUAUAAUAAAUAACCUUAAUGUCUUACAAUUGUUAAUCAUAGAAACUCUAUAUUCAUAAAGCAUGUCAUCAGUGAGAAAUACAAAUAAGUUUCACCAAAUCAAAACAUUUCUCUCUAAAGUUAAUCUAUUUAAAAUCGAAUAAUGGAAUUUCAAUAUAUUUAGAUACUAUUAUAAUUACAGUAGCACUAUAGAUCAUUUUACAAUCCGCCAUUAGCAAAAAAUAAUAAUAAUUAGAAAAUCUCACUAAAACUAAUAAACAAUUCAUAGAAUAACUUAAAGGGAGCAACAAGUUAUUCAAAAAAUUGAAAAUUUAAACUCAAAUGGCAUAAAAAAGAACAUUUAGGUCAUCUAAAUUUAACCAAAAGAUAAAAAUAUUGAUACUGUUACAAAAUAAAAAGUACUCUAAAAACAAAGAGUGAUUUAUUACUUGUGUAUGUUUGGUUACGGAAAACUAAGUUCAGAAAAAUAUAAAAUAAUAUAAAUAUUAAAUAUCAUUUUUUUUUUGUCUCAAUUACGUUUAUUCCUUCAAAACAAUUGAUUUUCUAAAAAUUUUAAAGGAAAAAAAAAAUCUAAAAGCAUCAUGUUCACGUGCAAAGCAUGUGUUUUAUUACUAGUUUGUUAAAAUGUCUAACUAUGUGCACUUGGAUGUGUCUUGAUGAGUGUCUUAAGGACAUUAAUUAAAGGAACUACUGAAAUAUAAGCUGUUACAUUUAUGUUAGAGGCAAAUCAGUUGAACCAAUAAUAGUUGUAUUAGUCCAAGCUGACUGCCCUUUAAUUGGUGCCAAUGAAUUAUUAGUUGUAAUGGUUUGCUUUAAUUGAGUGAUGGUGUACUACUUCAAUGAUCAUACCAUUAUAUAUUACUCGCAGCCACAUAAAUAGACCCCAAUUUUUGGCGAGCAGGUGAGUGGGAGAAGUGACUAGCCUCUAAUUGGUUCGUUAACACUUUAACAAUUGAGUUGAGUUUAAAUCCGCUAUUGAAAACUUUCAGAAGGUGCCAAAGACAUUGGGACAGGCAUAGCAAUUGUUUUUUUUUUUCUUUUAAUUUUUUUUACACGAGCUACUGGAUGUUCCAUAAUCGAUUUUUCUGGAAAGAAAAACAUGACAUCGAAAUUGUGAUAGAGAGAUUUCGCGAAUUGCUAUGGCGCUAGAAGUAUCAAUAAAUUGCUCAGGAAAAAAAAAUGAAUAUAAUCAUAUCCAGUUUGGUCCUGUAUCAUAACUCUUUUCUUGCUCUUUGCUGAAGACUUGCAAGUCGUUGCAUAUAUGUGGUUUGGAAAUUAGAAAGCAGCUGUCAAGAUGGGCUGAGCUUUUCAAUCUUCGCUCAUUCGAUCAAGCCAAUGACAACCCUAUUGACUUAAAAAAAAAAAAAGAAAUACAUUGUAUUUGUGACGUUUUGGAUACAGGGAAAGCAUUUGAUCAAUUAGAUUGCCAUUCAUUAUCAUAUAAAAAUAUAAAAUUACUACAUUUAUAGAAUAUCCAAGUUAAAAGAUUCACGGGCGGAUUUAUUUAUAGAAUAUCCAAGUUAAAAGAUUCACGGGGGGAUUUAAGGUGGGGGCACGGCCCCCAGUGCUCUCCUUAAAUUCCUAUAAUACUUAUACAAUUUUGAUAUAAUUUUAAGUGUGCCCCCAAAGUUUUCUUAGAAAGGAUGCAAAAAAAUUACGUACUCUCUCGGACCCUCCGUCCCACUUUGAUAGUCCUGAUUUUUUUUUCACACAGUUUAAGAAAAAGUAGUUAACUUUAUUGGAACAAUCAAUUUAGGUAGCUAUUUUUCUAAAAUACCCUCACAUUAAUUAGAGUACAACUUUAUGAGAACUUGAAUUGAUGGUAAAAAAAAAAUAAACUCUCAUUAAAUGGAGUAGGUUUAUAGUAACAACAACUUACAUUGAAUAAGCGUAUUUUAGAAAAAUUAAAAUACAACUACAUUCUUCAAUUGAAAAGUGGACUACAAUUUGGGACAGACGAAAAAGCGAAACAGGACUAUCAAAGUGGGAUGGAGGGAGUAAUUUUUUAAGUUAGUUCAUAAACUAAAAUUCUAAAAAAAUACGUGGGGUACAAAUUUCAUUUGAAAUAAGAUAAAAAAAAAGUCUUUUCAUUUUAACUAGCAACCAAUUAUAUCAUUCACUUUCUUUGGGCCCAACUCUCCAAUUUCCCUUUCCUCUUCUGGUCCCCCAUUUUUCCCCCACAACCGAGAGCCACUGCUUUCCACAACCAAGCAGCUAGCUACUCUUUCUCUUGAUCAAUUCAUCCAAUCAUAUCAUUCACUUCCUUUGUCCCCACUUCCCAAUUUCCCUUCCAUCCACUGGUCCCCCAUUUUCCCUCCACAACCGAGAGCCAUUCUUACUUCCACAAUCAAGUUAGUUAUCAAAAUAUAAAAACUCGCAGUGAGCAAUUGUAAAUAGUUUAGUUUAUUUUUUAAAUAAAAUUAUUAUUACAUUAAUAAUUUUGAAUUUAUCUUUUUAUGUUUUUCUUGGAAUAUGUGCAUCAUUUGUACUUGUUGGUAAUUUUUUUUUUCUUAAAAAAUUAGAAAAAGAGUAGGUAAAAAAUUUUGGUGUUGUUUUUGCCCCCACUAAAAAUUUUUUCUGGCUCCACCACUAAAAGAACAUAUCAAACGUCAGUACAAAUAUAGCCAAUUUCAUUAUUACUUUCACUAUCAAUCACACAAGCUCUAAAAUCAUAAAGGUAGUACAAAACUUAAGGCCCACAUUACGAAAAAAAGUUUUAAAUUGAAAUACCAUUAUUUAUCAUUGACACCGAUUGGAAGAGCACUAUCAAUCAUUUACACCAAACAUUACCAACCAAAAAUCAUUUCGGCAAAUCAUUAACACACAAAAAGUAAAAACUGAAAAAACCCACUAAAACUGAAAUACAAUCUUAAAAUCACAUCAAGGUAAACCACGAAUUAAUAAAAAAAACUGAAAAUUUAAUUCAUAUGCAACAUAAAAGAAAACAUCACUUAAGCAAAAUGCAAUGGAUACACGAAGACACUUUAUACACCGCAUCUAUAUAAAUAUAAGAUUUUGACCAACUUCCAGACCAUACUGCCCGAGAUAUAUUGGCAGCCGCCGAUCAUUUGAUUGGACUAAAAUUUGGAAUGAGUACGCUUGAUGAUAUGAAUCAUUUGAAAAAUAAACGUAUUCGUUUUGUAGCGGAUCUUUUACAAGACCAAUUCGGGUUGGCUCUGAUUGGUUUAGAAAUUGCUGUUCGAAGAACUAUAUGUGGAGCACAAAUACAUCGACCGGUACUAGUUGUUAGCUGUUGCUAUACUGUUUGGAUGAUGACAUCUAGUAAACUGAUUCUUACACUGAUUUCUCCUGUAUACAGGAGUUCCGGUUACGAUGGAGGUUGCUAGUGAUUUAGCGGAUAGGCAGGGGCCAAUAUACAAGGAAGACACAGCUAUUUUUGUCAGUCAGUCUGGUGAAACUGCUGAUACUUUACAGGCAUUAGAUGAUGCUUUAGAAAAUGGUGCAUUAUGCGUUGGAAUCACACAUAUUGUAGGAAGUGCGCUUGCAAGGAAAACCCACUGCGGUGUGCAUAUUAAUGCUGGUUGUGAAAUAGGUGUGGCGAGUACUAAGGCAAGUAAUUGGCACUUUGUUUUUGGCGUUACUUCCUUCUAUUCUUUUUUCUUUUGGUUUUACUAUUAUGUGACUUGUUAUGUUGUUCCCUUAAUCAACAGGCAUACACCAGUCAAAUUGUAGUUAUGGCAAUGUUGGCCCUUGCUGUUGGAGGAGACAUGAUUUCAAAUGAAGCAAGGAGAGAAGCAAUAAUAGAUGGUCUCCUAGACUUGUCGAGUAUGCGUCUUGCUUGUUUCUUGCAUUGCAGCUACAGCAUUCUUUAGUUUUUCUGCCUACAAAUGUGUGCUUUCUAGUAUUUAUUUAUUUAUUUGUCAAAACGAAAGUGAAAACGGUAGGCAAAGUGAAAACAGUAGUAUUUAUUAUUUGAGGUAUCUAAUUCUAUUGUAUUAUGCUUUUGAAAAUGGUAGGCAAAGUGAAAGAGGUUCUCAAGCUGGAUGAGGAAAUGAAAGAUCUUGCUGAACUGCUCAUUAAUGAACAAUCACUUCUUGUAUUUGGAAGAGGAUAUAAUUAUGCAACAGCCCUAGAAGGCUCCUUGAAGGUAAAGGAGGUUGCUCUUAUGCAUAACGAGGGAAUUCUUGCAGGUGAAAUGAAACACGGACCUUUAGCUUUAGUGGAUCACAACCUUCCAAUUGUUGUGAUAGCUACUCGUGAUGCUUGUUUCAGGUUAGUUGAAUGUUUUGAUAAGGGCAAAUUAUUCAAUUGGCCCUUUAACUCUUUGUAUAGGUAAAAUUAAGCCCCCACCUAUUUUUUGCUGACUUUAAGCCCUUGAACUUGUAAAGGUGGGAAACUGUGGCCCUUUUAGCCAGUUUCUCCGGUUUUGCAACCGGAGGACCAAUUCACACGAAUGCAAGUGUGUUUCUUCAAAGGGCAUUUUUGUCCGCAUAUUCUAAGCAAAAAGGGCACAACUCCUCCCUCCCUCCAUUUUCCUAACCCAACCCAACUGCUAGUCGAAACUUCACUGCAACAAUGGAAGCAACAAUGGAGUGGCAAGAGAAAAUCUUUCCUACAAGGAGUUUCGACUUGUUGCUUAAUUCUUUCUCUUGCCACUCCAUUGUUGCUUUUCGUCUACAGCAAAUUUCAGAAUGCUCAACAAGAUUUCAGAAUGAUUCCAAAGAUUCUCGCUUUUCGUGCAAGUAUCAAAUGAUCUAAAGACAAUACCGCAAUACACCAAAUUUGGCAACAUUAUGAACUACCAGUCGCAAGAUCUUAGACAAAACUAAAGAUGAGAGAAAAGGAGGAGGUUAGUAAAAUUCUCUCUUUUUUUGAUAAAUAAAUAUGGGCAAAUUCUACAAGAUAAUUUGUACAGAACAUCAUUUGAAAAAUCGUCAACAUCCCAGAUCGCAUAUGUGCAAAUUCACAUCAGAUAACACAAGUAAAUCUAGAAUCAAUGGCCAUUUGACCACAAAAUUGCAAACUUUAAGAGAAAAAGUGCAGGAUAGAGGGCAAGCGGGAUAAUUAUAAUGAAACAAUUAAAUUAAAAGGAAAACUAAAGGAUUAACACUCACCUAGUGCAAAGAAAAAGGUGAAGAUUGCAGAGAAUACAUUUCCAAUAAUAGCAGAAACUGCAAAGCUGAAAUAUCGUUUAACUUUAUCGGCCAAAUUCCUGAAUGAAAAUGAGAAAGAAGAAGAAGAAGGCAAAGAAUGAGAUGGAUAAGCAUAAAACUCCAUGGAUUCUGUCUCCAAUCUCAAGAAAAUCUUUCUCUUGCCACUCCAUUGUUGGCUUCCAUUGUUGCUGUGAAGUUUCGACUAGCAGUUGGGUUGGGUUAGGAAAAUGGAGGGAAGGUGGAGGAGUUGUGCCCUUUUUGCUUAGAAUAUGCGGACAAAAAUGCCCUUUGAAGAAGCACACUUGCAUUCGUGUGAAUUGGUCCUCCGGUUGCAAAACCGGAGAAACUGGCUAAAAGGGCCACGGUUUCCACUUUUAUAAGUUCAAGGGCUUAAAGUCAGCAAAAAAUAGGUGAGGGGCUUAAUUUUACCCAGACAAAGAGUUAAAGGGCCAAUUGGAUAAUUUGCCCUUUUGAUAAACUAGUGGUUUCGUGUUUAUUAUAUCUGUUCCAUAAACAUCUCUUUUGCUGCAGCAAACAACAAUCAGUCAUUCAGCAACUUCAUGCUAGGAAAGGUCGACUAAUAGUUAUGUGCACGAAAGGAGAUUCUGCAUCUGUAUCAGUUGGUGGAUCUUGUCGAGUAAUUGAAGUUCCUCGUGUUGAGGACUGUCUCCAGCCUGUACUUAAUGUAAUUCCAUUGCAGGUAAAUUGCCCACUUUUAUUGGGAACCUUUUCUUGUGUCAACUAUUCAUUGAGUUGGAUGAAGGAUGAUUUUGGCAGUAUGGAUCUUCUUUACUCUGGGAACCUAAAUGCUGCUAUUUUUAGGAACUUUUAGGUACCGAAUUGUUAAACUACUUAAUAACGAUUUCAACUCUCAGAGCAGCAUUAAUAUUAAGUCCAAGAACUAUGAAAAGUUUGCAAGCUCUGCAAGUCUUUGAUUUUUAUUUGUCUGGACAGUGCGGUCUAUGGCGUCUCAUUUCUUUUGCACAGAUGAUUUAUCUUGCUGUCAGGAAAGCCCCAGUUACUCUCCUUGUAUGAGGCAGCAAAGAUAGUUUGUCUGCUAGACAGCCACGGAUUUAAGGGGGGGCUGGUGGGGGCUUAAGCCCCCCCCAAGCCGCCGGAAAACCCCCUAUAUAUAGCCGUAGACCGCAAGAAAGGAAAGAAGGAAACGAAUUGCAGGAUGGCUGUCAGGUAUGUAGUGCUGAUUUUGACCUUAUGUUUGAUAACUGGUUUCGCUUCUGUUAACGCAUAUGGCACUAUGAAGAUUUUGUGUUACGAGAAUCAACAAUGUAUCUGCAGCUCCAAGGAAUGUGUGAAACUUUGUAACUGAGAGCACGAUCGAGAGUGAGGUCGCUUUACUGAACCACUUGGUACAAUUCUCUAGUGGUUAUUGGCAACGCUCUUAUAUGUAGCAUGCUCUACAACUUUCGAUUACCUUUUCUUUUCUUUUCUUUUUUUUUAAAAUUUCGUCUAAUUCAGUGUGUUUGGAUAUGAAAUUAUUUGAAAAAAAUUAUUUGGAGAAGCUCUAUUACAAUUUUCAUGAUGCGAUGCAUAUAACAUAAAAAUAUGCUUAAAAAUUGCAUUUAUGAUAUAAAUUGAAUAAUAUUUGAUUUUUUUUUUUGGUAACGGGGGAGGAGUGAGAAUAUAAAAAGGGAAGGAGGUAGCAGGAUUGGCAGCGGGGCAGGUUUCAAGUAGGGUAGUUGGUAGUCCUCCCGCCUUGCCCCUGCUACUCUAGCAGGUACGUCUGUCCAACCCUACUGCUAUUUUUACUCUUCAGCCCCCCCAAAAAUAAAUUUCUGGCUCCGUCCCUGCUGCUAGAAGUUCCUUUUCCAUUCCCUUGAUCCCAGGGAAGAAGAGCUUUAAUUUAAUUUUGUUCAGAGUCCUUGGUUUUAGUUUGUGUGGAUGGUAGGUGCAAACCGGGUUGUAAAAUUGUAACUUUCUAUGUAAAAUAUCUUGAGAAGCUUAGCAAGUUUUACAUGUUUUUUUGAUCAUUCGUGAAAGACUUGAUGAUCAAGGUGGAGAUAAUGUUCGUGUGAUUGUAUAGUUUCAAGUCCAGAGGUAACGCUGCUUGUUGGUUACCCAUCUGUGCUACUAUCAUCUUUGAAGGGUCCUCCAGUGCAGCUUGUUAGUUUGGUUUUUACUGAUUGCAUCUCUGUGUGGUUUGAAUGCUACAGGUAAACAACUUUCGCUUUCAGGUCAUCUAAAAGUAGUGUUCAGGAUGGUGUAGAAUAGAACUUAAUGCUUACUGUGAUUUUUAGAUGCUUGCUGUUUACUGCUUGGUUGUUUACUGCUUGGUUAGAAACUCUUAAAUGAGUCUAGAAUUUUGAGUCCACUCAGGAUUGGUUUUUGUCUAAGUAAUUAUUUGGAAUAAAAAAAAAUUAGCACACAAUAUUUUUGAUCCCAAUCAAAUUGGUUGAGUUAUUUUGAGAAGAUAAAUUUGCCGUAAAGUUUCUAAAACUCGUUUGCAAUAUUAGCACAAUAAAAAAUGAUUUAUCAGGCCAAACAUGUACAUUACAUGGGAUUCAUAAAGGUUAACACAUACAAGCACGCAUCGACCGCACAAGUUAUUUCAAUAGCCAUUAGGCUAGUUUUCUAAAAACGUAGUAAAAGCAGCAACGACAUAUACUCAAUGUAAAAGAUAAUUCUAAUUCUUUUUUUUUUGUCCAAUGUAUUUUUUUAUUUUAAUAAACCAGUAAACACAUCACAAUCAUAUAAUUUUCAUCUGGACAGGUGUUGCAUUCAUUUAUAGAUGUCCUGCCAAUUACUGCAUUCAUUUAUAGAUGUGAAGUGGAGCCUCAAACAGCAAAUUGACAAGUAUAGCCCAAUUAAACUCUAUCGAGAAACUAUUAGUGAAUCGUUUUCGCAUAUCGUAUUAUUUUUUUAAAACAUGCACACGUUAUAACCUUCUAGAAAUUAUUAGAGGCAAGCAUCCAAUGGAUGAUUCAUGAAUAGUGUCUCGAUAAACAAAUACAUUUUCUUGUAACCAAUAUCUACGACCAAUAAACCAUCGCCGCUUUAAUAGCUUCACCUUUUAUCAAUCUUGGUCACUUUAUUAAAGUUACAUAGAAUAAUAACAAUGAAUGAUAAGUCAAUUGCUCGUCAACAAAUAGAUCAAUUUGCAUCUCCUUCGAUAAUUCACCAAAGCUAACAGUUAACCUUUCUGAAAGGGUGACCCAAGUAUUGCAGGUCACUACGAAAAUGAAGGAUGGAGAAAUCAGAUGAGAGAGAGCAAUAAAGAGGCAGGUAGUUUUCUUUUGCUUUUCAUCCUCAUAAAACACCAAUGAUUACCUAUGCAUUUGUUAGUGAAACAUACAAGGAAUCUAAAUAAAACGGGUGGAUUCUUGGGAAAUGAAUAGUAGGUAAAAAUUUCCCUCAUGAAACUAAUUAUAACUUCUAUGUCCACAUCCAAACAUGAUAACUUAUUUUGAAAUCAAAUAUAACGGAUAAAAUCACGUGUUCAAACAGACCCAAAUUUUCUGCAAUAGCUAGAUGUAAUAGUUGACUCCACUAUAGUAAGUUUACAUCAUAUACAUGUGGAUGUUACCGUCUAGCUUUGCUGCCAAGGCUCUAGAAAGUGAGAUGACAGGCAAACACAGUGACCAACUAAUCACCAAGAAAAUCAAAAUAUGUAAGCUUUACAAAGCUGAAGUACGUGGUUCAUUUACAUUUCUUUCAUCAGACACAUGAAUUAAGAAGGAAGAAGUGGUGGUACAAAUUAACAAAAUGCCGUGCAGUAUCCUCCUUGUGUAAAUAUUGGCACACUAACUGUAAUAUCUUAGCCCCCUUAAAAGGUUGUUGCGCUCUUUUCUAUUACUUCUCUUGUAAUAUCUUAGCUAAAUGUGUCAAAAUAGGUGAUUUGGACGGAUUUAGACAGGUCAUGAUUGAGUAAUGGAUAAAAUUAGGUCAACCCAUUUAUACAUAUUUAAAUAAACGAGUAUAAAUGGUUAUCUAUUUAUACCAAUUUAAUAAAUGGGUACAUGUAUAACCAAUUGCCGAUUUAUGAGUGGGUACAGGUAUAACCAAUUUCUCAUUUAUGAGUCACUUACAAUUUUACUUUUUUUUUAAUUUUUUUUUUUGCAUGGUGUUUGAAAAGAAAUAACAGUUGUUUAUUGUUAUUAAAUUGAUAAAAAAUCAAAUUUAUUUACUUAAUACUCAUUAAAAGUUAAGUUUAAAUAUAUAAUUAUUUUUAAAUGUGUAUAAAUGGAUGAGUCGAGUCAGCUCACUACCUACUAAUUAAAUGAGUUUAAUUGAAUACUCAUUUAAACCCAUUCAAAAUUAGUGGACGGGUUUGGACGGAUUUGAUUAAGUUAACAUAAUUGAAUUGUGAUUAACAUCUUUAAUCUUUGCCGCUUCAUAAAAGGUUGUUACUCUUUUUUUAGAAUAGACGUAAUAAUAAUCAUUUGAAAGUUGGAGUUCAAAGUUGAGAAAUAUUCUAGUAAGAAUAGACGUAGUAAGAAUAUUCUAAUUUAGAAGAAUCUUUAAAAAUUUUUAGAAUCUUUAAUUUAAUUUCUAUCUUCACCUUAUCAUGACUCAAUAUUUGAGAAAUUAUAUGAGGAGGGCUUUUAUUUAAAAGAUUGAAGGUUUAGUCAAGCACCUAACCGACUUGUUGCAUCAAGAUAUAAGGUUUAGAACAAGUGAAUCUUGUCUUCUUCCUUAAUACGGUUAAUUUGCUCAUAAAUUCUCUGUUUCGAUCAUUUGGUUAUCAAAACUUGCUAAAAUACUUACACAAUUACGGAAAACCUACAAGAUUGAAUGUCACCUUUCACAAGGAAAAUUCUGUCGUUUUCUGUCCAUAUCUGUGUACAUAAUACAAUAUUUAAUAGGUGUGUAACUUCAGGUUGCAAAAAAUUAAAAAUCAUGACACAAAAGAGGAAAGUAAAAACAGCUGAUAACUCUACGGAGGUAAAAGUAAAAUUGUUGAUCAAUCAUUUUUGACUAAUCUGGGGGAGGGACUUAAUAAGCGGGAGGAGGUAGGAGGAUUUGAACUAAUGAUUUUUAAUUUUUUGGGUCUCGAUCUUAAUUAUUAGAUCAAGAUUUUCUCGACUGGCAUAGCCAACAUUCUAAAUACGCUACGUAUAAUUGCCAUUUUUCCUUAUUUGCAAUUUUAACAUUUACUUGGAGUUUGGUCUCAACUACGUAUGAGUAGUUUUGGUAUUCAAAUAUGAAAUAAUUUCAAAACUUUGUUUGAAACAAUGAAAAAUCAUCCUUGUUUUCAAUGUUUUGAGAAGUUAAAAGCUGUUUUAAGAAACAAUCAAAACUAAUUUCAUUUGUUGAUGCUGUUGUGGCCCUUGCGAGUUUCAAUUACUUGGAUAAUUUAAUUAGUUAAUUGGGCUGAGGGAUUAUAGCAAACUCUUGGGCUGUUUUUGUUGGACUGGUCCAAGUUCUAAUGGCCUUUUACAAUUGUUUUUUGUUUUUGGGAUCCGAUUUCACAUUUGCCAAAAUUGAAAAGGGCCAUCAGAAAAUUUUUGGGAAUGUUAUCUUGGGACUAAUACAGUUAGUGGGCCUUAAAGGUUAAAAAAUAAGAAACUUUCUGGGUCCAUGCAUAUAGGGCUUAUGUUCUUAUAGGGGACAUUUGUUUGUUCUAUAAUUAGGGCUGUCAACGGGCCGGGUCCGGGCCGGAAUUCAUUAUUCCGGACCCGGACCCGAAUUACUAUGCCGGAUCCGGAUCCGACCCGUUUACCCGACGGGUCUUUUAUUCUAUGUUCCGGAUCCGGAUCCGGCGGGUCCGGAUCCGGAUCCGGGUCUACCUGAACAAAUUUACUAAAAUUUAUAAUUUCUAAUAAAAAUGAGAAAAAAAUAUAUUUGUAAACUAAUUUCUAACUAAUGCAAAGAAAAAAUCAAAUAAGAAAAGAAAUCAAAUUAACUUUAUUAAAAUACAUCACCCUAAUCAAAUUAUAUUGAUAAAUAUAUAUUUUUUAAAUUAUUAAUUCAUUUAUAUCCGGAUCCGGGUCUAAUACGGGUCGGAAUACUAUAUUCCAUAUCCGACCCGUUUUUUUGUUUGACAAAACGGAUCCGGAUCCGGAUCCGGGAAACGGAAUUAAAUCCCUACCCAUACCCGCAAUAAUUUCACGGAUCCGGUCCGGAUCCGGGUCUAGACCCGACCCGUUGACAGGCCUAUCUAUAAUUGAACUUAUGGAUCAUAAAGCCCAAUUUAUAAAUUCCCGACUCUUCAAAGAAGUUUAGAAGCUGAAAUAUUGAGCAAACACCCAAUUUGGGCUAUAUACAUCCAAGAACUUAUUUAAAAGGUCGACUUUGUUAUAAUAACCCAAUUUUUUUUUAAAAGCUCUUCAAAGAACUUAUUUAAAGGCUCGACUUUAUUAUAGUAACCCAAAUUUAAACAAACAAACUCAAUAAAAAUAUUACAAGUCCAAGUUUGUUUAUAAAUCCAAAUUAAAUAAAAAGAAGUCUUUUUCAAGAGUAGGCUUGACUCUAGGGUCAAGCCCAAAUUCAAAUGCAACUCGAACCAAUAUAUGCCUAUUUACAUCAAAAUAGAAACUUUUUUCUUAGAGAUAAUUGAAUUAAAAUACUUUUUAAAAGGAGAAGUCUUUUCAAGAGGGGAAACUUUCCAAAAUGGAUAACUUUCAGAAUAGGGAAAUCUUUUUUUUUUUUAGAAACCAUUUCAGUUACUUUUUUUAUAAAAGAUUCAUAUGUUUUAUAGGAUUAUUUAAGAUAAAAAUAAGUAAAUGAAAUAACAUAUGUGAACUAAUUAAGUCAUAUAUAUUAUCGGCUAUAAGUUGGAAGUAAGAUUGCAUAUCUUUAGAAGAUAAAUGAAGAGGUAAAUAGACUGACGAUCACGUUCUCGGAAUUAUAGAGUAAGGUGUAUUAAAUGAAGAGUUUGAAAUUCUUACGUUAGGGUUGUAAAACUAGCAAUGACAGUUUGAAACAUUUAUAGAUUUUAAUUUUAGUGACACUGUCAUUUUAGAGUAAUUGUAAGUUAUAAAAUUUAGUGAAUUUUUGUAAGUUAUAAUCAAGAUGUCUAGUUUUCAUGAGAAUACAGUCUCACGGGUACGCCAUGUCGUGUUGCAAAUUUAGUCCAUGGACCCAAAUUUGGAGUGAAGCAUCUUCACAGACUAGUAAGUGAGCAUUGGUUUCUCCAUAAACAUUCCAAUUGACUUCAGAAAAGGAAAAAAUAAAAAAGAGGAAAAGAAAGAAAGAAAGAAACAUGUGAUUAUAUAUAUACAUACAUAUAUACAUAUUAUAUUCUACAAUCUCUACAAAUCAGAAUAUGGCCCAACAAAGAGACUUACAAUAUCAUCAAGGCAGGAAAUGUAGGGACUUAGUAAAACACAAGAACAAGAUGGGCAGAAUGAGAUCCCAUGAUUAGUUUCCUCUACAAUCUGCAGUCUAGGCGCAUAGGCUUGCCAAGCGGAUUGAGCCUACGUCAACGUGCCAACAAAUUUUUUACCUGAAAAAGAAAAAUAAACCCAAGUUCAGGAUAUCACUCCUCUACAAUAAGCUAAUGCAAUAAAAAUAUCAACUUGAUAAGCUAAUGCAAAGAAAUCAUAGAACACGAAUAUAUUACCUUACCAUCUUAAGUGAAAAGAGUGCACACAGCUUAAUCAGAAUCACAAGAAAAGAACAUCGAACCCCAUCUGCAUAAAAAGACACAGGCUGAAAGGUCAAAGAAUCAAUUUAACAUGGUAAGCAAAGCACGAUUGACAUCUGAGUUUCUUCUCAAGCUAGUUAAAAGUGAGAAAAAUUAUUUACUGGGCUUUAAAGGAGAAAAUUACUAAUAUAAAUUUCACAUGACACAUAAAAGUAAAUAUGAUUCCUCUAUUUGAAUUUCGACACUUCCUUUCCAUUCAAGAAAUUUGUUGGAGUCAACAAAAAAAAUUUUGGACAAUAAUUUUCCAAAAUUUUAAGUGAAAAUCAGUAAGAAAAUUGAACAAUAAUUUUAAGUGAAAAUCAGGAACUCUAAAUCUCUGCGUACCUGGUGCCAUCACUGCGUAUUCUCACAAAGGGAAUGUCUUCAAUCAUGGGCCAGUAGUCUCCUCUAUACAUCAAACACCUUUUCUCAAGAAGUGGGCAUUCAUAAAUUUCUAGAGCUCGAAGCGGAUUACUCAAAGAUUCCCUUGGUAGGGAUCCAAGCUUGGGGCAAUUACAGAUAUGCAGAUCUUGAAGAGCUGUAAGACCUCGCAAGAACGCGGAGAGCGAUUUCAGAUUUGGUAAGUCACGAAUGGUGACGGACCUAAGAGUUGGAGGAAGCAAAGCCAAUCCGUCAUCACCACUACCAGAAAAUGAUUCCAGCUCUGGAUAUCCACCACGGAUGUAGAACCUUUCAAGAAACGUCAGUCUGUUGAGUCCCCAUUCUGACAGGGGCUUCAGCUGUAAGUUUUCUCCUGCCUCUAUGUCAAGAAACUUCAGAGUGGGAGGAAAAUCUCCUUGUGGAAAUAACAAAGGACUUGAACAAGAAUACAACAACAGAGAUCUUAGUCGUCCCAAACCACUGGGCAAGUAACUAACAUUUUUGCAUCUGCACAAGGAAAGACGUUCCAAACUUGGAGUGGGCAAUUGAUCCAGAUCAUAAUCACAAUCCCUAAUAUCCAAAGACCGGAGACUUGCAAAACUGUAGACUGAACCAAGCAUUGUUCUCAAAUUCAGACAGGGGCACUCAGUGAUUUCCAGACUCUCAAUCGAUGGGCAGUCAGUGCCCUCUAUGACAAUCUCCGGAGUAAGGUUCAGUUGCUGGCAAUGUCUGAUCCCAAGAUGCCUAAGCUGAGGGAGGAGCAACUUGUCCAUUGGCAAGCAACUGAGGGCUGAGCAUCUGCCUAUUCGCAAUGUGUUAAGACCAGAAAAUGUAGGCAAAGACUGGAGAGCACUGCAACCUUUUAUAUCAAGAUAUUCAAGCGUCGGUAAGACACCAAGCUCCUCCAAGGAUGAAAGCUGUGAACAUUCUGAAACAAAUAAACGUUUUAGCUGCACAAGGUUUAUAGUAUUACUUGAGCCAAGCUCCUCCAAGGAUGAAAGCUGUGAACAUUCUGAAACAUCUAAAGAUUUUAGCUGCACAAGGUUUACAGUAUUACUUGACCCCCACAGAUUCUUCAGUUGAUGGCACUCAUGUAAUGCGAUACCUUCAAGGCCUGAUGGAAACUGCUUGAACACAUCCUCGAGGGAUGCAAGCCCUAUAAUCUGCCCAAACUGCAAUUGGUUUAAUGAGGUCAAAUUGUGAAAACAUUUUGCAAUUCCCACCGAGCACUUUUUUAAGUUUAGUUCAGAGAGUGAAGGAAGAUGCAAAACAGGAAUGCUUUUCAACUUUGGGCAGCCACUUAUACAGAGCUUUCGGAGCAGAGGGAAGUGGCAUUCGGUCUCUCCUGCUGAACUUAAGCAAGUCCAUUCCUCCCAUUCUGGCAUGUCAUCAAAUGUUAGACUUUCAAGCGAUGGAAAGCAGUCUUUGCCACAUACCUCCGUACCUACUGCCUUCACCUCAAGCAUGGUUUGAAUGCUCAAAUCUUUGAGCGCAGGCAAUUGCCCGAGUGAUGGUAAACACUUGCAGUGUGUACAACCUCUAAGGCUUACUUUUACUAAUUUAGUAAAUGAAGAAUCCCCCACCCAGGAAGAGAAUUUGUCUCCCUUAUAGAACUCAAUUUCAAGACUUGUUAGGUUUGUGUGUGGUCGUAGUGCCUCAAGCAAAUCUUGUUGAAGAACUUUACUCAGAGAAUCAUCAUAUUCACUAUUCCAUGCCAAUACUAUUUUAUCAAGGUCCCUCUUGUUCUUCAAAUUGGCAUCCCGUGCUUCUUGAACAUUCCUAACAUUUUGCAACUCCAAAAUGGCGAGUGACCCUGCCAGUAAGGACAAGUUCCCCAAGUCAUUCAGCCUGAACCCACCAUUUUUGCUCACAACCACUUUGGAUAGUGUCUGCAAGCUCGUCAACUGAUCAAUCCCUGAAGGCAUCUCAUGCAAUUGCCUAGUAUUGGAAUUUUCAAGAUGGCGCAGGUUAAUUAAUUUUCUAAUACCUACCGGUAAGUUAAUCAGCCCCCAGCAGUUGCGCAAACGUAGUGUUUGUAAAUUGCAAAGAUUACUCAUUGAUUCCGGCAACACUUUCAACGAAGUACCAGACAAAUUCAGGUACCUUAGAUGUAUUAAUUCACCGAUGGAAUUUGGUAGAUCAAAGAUAACAUAGCCACUGAAUGAUAGCACCCUUGAGUAUCGCAAUUCCAGCAAAAGUUCUGUUAUGACCUUUUUAGCGAUGUAAAAGUCGCCGUCAUACUUGCCAGAAACGGGUAGGAAACUCCGCAAAUGUUUUGCUUUCUGAAGUGUUUUAAACUUUUGUGAAGCUCCAUACAUUGAACUUGUGAAUGAUGCAUACCUAACCUUGUCAAGAAUCGUGAAUUUGAUGUUCUCUUCCAAGUCGUCUGUCAGUCUGGAACAAAAAUCUCCAGCAACAUAUCUAGCUAGAUCGUUAAUAAGGUCAUGCAUCACAAAACGUGAACUAUUGGAACUUGACUGCUGGAAGAAGGACCUCAUUAGUAGCUCCUUAAAAUAAUUGUCCCCUAUGUCCUCCAUAAGAUCACUUGCUUUUGAUUCCUCGAGAAAACCCUCUGCCAUCCAGAGCAAUACAAGCUCAUAUUUGUCAAACUCAUAGUCCUUGGGAAAUAUGGAGCAGUAAGCAAAGCACGGUUUUAGAUGGGCAGGAAGAUGAUAAUAGCUUAAUCUUAGUGCUGGAAGAAUAUCACUUUGAUCCUCUUUUAUUUCCCACAUCUCACUGUUCAGUAUAUCCGUCCAUUCAUCUGGGGUCGAUCUAGCACGCAACAGCCCUCCAAGAGUCUUCACGGCCAAGGGCAAGUUCUUGCACUUCCUUACAAUACUCCUACCAGUGCCUUCUAGAUUGGGGUGCCUGUCAAAAUUUGUCCUUCCUAGUGCAUGUCUUGCCAGUAACCAUAAGCUUUCAUCAUCUGUCAACUCCUUCAGACUAUAUCCAGCAGUGGAAGACAUUACUGAUGCCACUCUAUGAUGCCGAGUGGUGACAAUUAUCUUGCUCCCAGAUGAACCAACUAGAAAUGGGCGGCGCAGGAUGUCCCAGUCCUCGUAUUUUUCAUUCCAAACAUCAUCUAAAACAAUUAGAAACCUCUUCCUGGUCAAGGCCUCACUCAGUUUCACUUGAACCAUAUUCAGAUCCUCAUAAUCACAGCCACCUGCUGUGAUUGCUCUGAGGAUUGUCUUUGUUACCCCAAAAAUGUCAAAAUCAUCUGAAACACAAGCCCAAGCCUUGGAAUCGAAAAAUUCGUUGACUCUGUCAUCAUUGUACACCAUUUGAGCAAGAGUUGUUUUACCAACCCCUCCCAUGCCAACAAUUGGUAUCACAGCCACUUGAUCAUCGCUCGAUUCAUUUGAAAGGAGCAAUUUCAGCAGCUCUUCUUUGUCAUUCUCCCGACCAUAAACAUGAGACUCCACUAGGGAAGUUGAUGGCAAUCUAUCCCUAGUUUUGUUCGGCCUCUUUGCUACAGUCUCUACCAAAUGGAGGAUUUUGAUUUGUUCUUUCGUGCUCUCCAAUCUUCUAGUUAUUUCAUCCACCUUGGGAGCCAUUUUUCCGUUGAACUUAUAAUCUUUAACAGAAAAAUUUGUACAACAGGAAGGGAUUUUAACCUUUCUUACCUUGCUAGUAGAGCCUUGAGCUUCCAUCAACUUUCUUCGACAAGCUUCUGUGGAGAAUUCGUCUAUCACAUCAUCCAUAUCAUAUGCCAAAUCCUGAAGAUCAUCUAGCCACUGCUUCACAGCGAUCCUCAUAUUCUGCUUGUCCUCAGCAUCAUCAAGCACUGCCUGAAUCAGGGAUAGCACUUGGCUCCAUCGUUUCAGCUGAGUAUCUAAGCCUUCUGAGCGUGCAAAUUUCUUCAAAUCGACAGAAGCAAGCUUGUCAAAUAUCACCUUGAUGAUUGCACCAAGAAAGACUUCUAUCAGUGCCAUUUUUCACUCCUCUUUUUUUCCUCUCCGGAUUAUAUUGUGUAGGUAAGCAACGAGCAAAAAGUCUGAAAACUUGAAAGGGGAGAUAAGAUUGAAAGAUGGGAAACUAGUCUGGCUGUGUUUGGACUAAUAAUAUUUCGUUUUUUUAAUUGCGGAACAGUAAAAUCAAAAUGAUCAUUGACUUGUAUUGACCGAAUAAUUCAUCCCAAGUUUUCAAUCCCAAAACAGUAAAAUGCCAAUACAUUAUUCAGACCGUUGUACUGUAUCAAAACAAACCGACAAAUAAGUGUGCCUAGUCUUUCUCUAUCUUCUUCUUUGCUCCCCCUCUUCAUCACCCCCAACCUCACUUACAUAGCAUUAUCUCAGACGUGGGUUUUGUAGUUGUUCUGCCAGGGAGCUAUCAUCUAUCACAUUCUUUACGGGAAAAGUGAUCAGCGCCAAAAUAUUUCAACUGGCAAGAAAAAAGUUUCCAAAGCACGCUUCUUCAUUUCUUAUGUAGUACCAGUAGACUUAUUUUUCUUUUCUGUAGCACUAUAUUAUAUCAUCAAUCAUUAAAGUAACCCACAUAGAGAAGUUGCUUUUGUGUGGAAUUUGACCGAAUUGAGGGAGGUACUUUUGAGCUAGAAUGAUUGGUGCUCUUAGGGUAGUUGUUGUACUUCAUUUACAACGUAGUGUACAUUUACAAAUGCUCAUGUAUUUAUGCAUGAGUUGAUGAACACGAAUAAAAUUUGAAGUACCACAAAAUUGUAUAAGAGUAAACUAUAUUAUGUAAAAAGUAUAAUAUCUAGACAAUUGCAACAAAAUUCAAUUGUACCUGGUCUAAUUUUGACCAUUUUCCUUAGUUGUUUAACGUUAAUUAGUGUAAUUUGGUUGUAUGUCGUGACACAAAUUCAAUUAAAUAACUAAAACAUCAAACCACAUAAGUAGCUGGUAUUUGUUGUUUCCAUAAUUCUAAUUUUUUUAAAAACAAUUGUUCAAAAUAUCGUUCACAUUUUGUAUAAUACAUUUUUUCGUCCUUUACUUUCAAAACAUUAACUUUAUGUACCUCAUAAAUUCAAGUUAGCAAAAUUUAGUCUCAACCAAAGUUUUUGACUACUUUUUAGUCUGAAAUCACUACUUGACCAAUAUACAAUCAUUUUUUAUGUACAAAAAAAAAUUAGAUUUCACUUUUUAUUGAUAAUAUAUAUAUUAUGUCAAAUCUCUUUUUUUUUUUUUGAAAAAGUGAAUACAUUUUAGAUCAAAUCCUACUUUUUAAAGAAAAAAUGAAUAUAAAUCUGGUCAUUUGUUUAACUAUAAACGGGAUUUAACAGUUUUGCCCAUAAAAAAAUAAACCCAAAUCUCUUAAUUAUAUUCUCUCUUCUCAAACCAUCCAACCCAUCCCUCUUCCUUCUUUCUCCCCUCUCUCCAACCAUAUGUGGGUUAUGUGAAAAAUGAAAAAAUUCAUUUGGCGAGAUGUGAGAAACAUUUUGAACAGUUUUCUCCUUGUUAUUUUAUAUGUCAAACGGCAAUAUCCUACCAUUACUCUAAUAUUAUAUGGAAGCGUAUGGUUCCAAUGGGACCAUUUGAGCUGUUGAAAAUUCAGAGGAGACUAUCACCUCUGACGUCUGAACUAGACGGGUGCAAUUGCACCAGUUAGAAGAAGUUUCCUAGAAAUCAUAACUUCAAGAGCAGGUGAGGGUUUCAAAUCUCCCACCUAUACAAAAGGGAUAUAUUUAUCAAGUUUGUGAUAUAUUUAUAAAGAAAGAAAUUUAGAAACAUUGUGAAAGUCCCAUCUGAAUUAGCAAAAUUAAUAUUCUCUCCAUCUCAUUUUAUUAGUUAUAGUUUCUCCUUUUGCUAAUUCCAAAAUAUUUUUUUCAUCAAUUUGGACAAAAAUAUUUCUUAACGUCUUAAAAUUUUUUGAAGCACCUAUAUUGAUUAUUAAACAGGAAAGGUGAUUAAGUACAUCAACGGGUCCUUGAUCAGACUUGCAUUUUCUUUAAUUGAAUGCAUUUGUCUAUUCCUUUUACCAAUGAAUUAUAAAAUAAGAUAGAUGAGAUAAAAAGAUAAAGCUUCUAACCAAAACCCUUCUUCUUGGACCCAAAAAAAAGGAUAAUUAUUCUUCUCAGAGAAAUAUCAAAUUAGAUAAUUAUUCUUCUCAAAAAAAUCAAAGUGUAUAGGAAGUUGACUUGACUUGACUAAGAGCUUAAAUCUUAAUCCUAUAAGGUAAGCAAGGGUCACAGAAUUAUCAAUGGAAAUUAGCGUGUUAAUUUGUUUGAGUACAUCUUGUGUGUGUGUGGGGGGGGGGGGGGGAGGGGGGUUCUUCUGAGACUAGUUGAACAAACGAAGAAACAGCCUUAAGAAAUGGGAAAAUUAGUAGUAACUUCUGUGAUAAUGUAUAUAACUCUUGAAUGAUUAUGUGAAUAAAUAUAAAAUAUUACAAGGAGAUAAGGAAGAUAUCCGUACAACUUAUAGGAGUGUUAAGUGUAUAUUGUGAUUUCAUCACAUGCAUUUUUAGAGUACAUCUAAUUCAAUCGCGUUAAUUAAUGAUUUUUUCGUCUAAUUUUUUUACUUUAUAUGAAACUAUAAGAGAGUUAUGUAAAUAUUUUGAAACCUUAGAAAAAACAUGUCAUAAUAUGCAAAAUCAGAAUGAAGUUAUAAAUAAUUUAUGCAAAGAAAAUUGAAGUUACCUGCAGAGAUAGAGUUGGGGAGGGGGGGUGUGGGGUGGGGGGGUGUGCGGUUUGGCCGGGCAAGGAUUGGCCGAUUGGGACUGCAGAGAUUAUCCAAUGGGUUCUUUGAGGGGCUGCUGUGUUAGAAGACUCAUUUGUAUGCAUAAGGCUCCGAAAAACCCAAAAUUAUGUAUUCCUCGAGUUAAAUCUACGUCCUUUCAUUUUAAAUCCAUAUUUUGUACAUGGCAUAUAUUGUCAAUGUUCAGAGGUGUGGUCAAUUAUUGGAAGUUGACUUGACUUUGCUGAGAGCCAAAGCCUAUAAGUCAAGCAAGGGUCAUACAUUAACGCGUUAAUUUGUUUUGGUACAUCCGAGUGGGCUUCUUCUGUAGAUUUUGCACAUAACCCCCUGUAAAAUUAUGUAGAUAAAUGUCAAAAGUACAAAAGAGUAAAAUAUAUAUUUCAUUAAAUCAUAUGCGAGUUAAACAGAUAUUAUGAUUUUAUCCACACAUAUUUUCAAAGCAAGUCCAAUUCAAUCGCCUUAAUCGUAGCAUUUUCGUUCAUUUUUUACUUUAUCUAAAACUACAUAGGAAUAUUAUGAAUAUGUUAUAAUCUUAGGAGAGUCAUCUGACAAUAUAUUGAAUCAUAAUAGACGUAUUAGUAAUUUACGCUAAGAAAGAUGAAGUUGCGGGGAAGAGACGGACUGAAUGAAACCCCCUUUUUGAACAUUGAUAAAAUAUGUCAUAUAUAAAGUAUGGAUUUAAAAUGAAAGGAUGUAGAUUUAACUUUAGGGAUACAUAAUCUUGGCCUUUUUAAUUUUAAAAACACUAAAUUUUGGUUUUUUGGGAAGCUUCCCUUGCAGAAGAUGCUAGUAAGAGUCUUUUGAACUACUUAAAACAAAUUAUAACCAUCUUUGUGAAAGUAAAACUAUUAGUUUUGAUUGUCUCUUAAAACAGCUUUUAACUUCUCAAAACAUUGAAAACAAGGAUGAUUUUUCAUUGUUUCAAAGAAAGUUUUGAAAGUAUUUCAUAUUUGAAUUCAAAACUACUCAUAUGUUCUUGAGACCAAGCUCCAAGUAAAUGUUAAAGUUCCAAAUAAGGAAAAAUCGCAAUUGUACGUAGUGUAUUUAGAAGUUUGGCUAUGCCAGUCGAAGAGAUAUUGAUCCAAUGAUUUAGAUCGAAACCCAAAAAAUUAGAGGUCAUUAGUUCAAAUCCUCUUACCUCCUCCUGCUUAUUAAGUCCCUCCUCCGUAGAGUUAUCAGCUAUUUUUACUUUUCUCCUUUGAGUCAUGAUUUUUAAUUUUUUGCAUCCUGAAGUUACACAUCUAUUAAACAUUGUAUUACGUACACAGAUAUGGACAGAAAACGACAGAAUUUUCCUUGUGAAAGGUGACAUUCGAUCUUGUAGGUUUUCCGUAAUUGUGUAAGUAUUUGAGGUAAGUAUUUUAGCAAGUUUUGAUAACCAAAUGAUCGAAACAGAGAAUUUAUGAACUAAUUAACCAUACUAAGGAAGAAGACAAGAUUCACUUGUUCUAAACGUUAUAUCUUAAUGCAACAAGUCGGUUAGGCGCUUGACUAAACCUUCAAUCUUUUAAAUAAACGCCCUCCUCAUGUAAUUUCUCAAAUGUUGAGUCAUGACAAGGUGAAGAUAGAAAUUAAAUUAAAGAUUCUAAAAUUUUUUAAGAUUCUUCUAAAUUAGAAUAGUUUACAACAUAUAGAACUUUGAACUCCAAAUUUCAAAUGAUUCUGACUACGUCUAUUCUAAAAAGAGUAACAAACUUUUGUAAAGUGGCAAAUAUUAAAGAUGUUAGUCACAAUUCAAUUAUGUUAAUCAGAUCCGUCCAAACCCAUCCACUAACUUUGAAUGGGUUUAAAUGAGUAUUCAAUUAAAAUCAUUUAAUUGGUAGGUAGUGAGUUGACUCAACUCAUCCAUUUAUACCCAUUUAAAAAUAACUAUACAUUUAAACUCAACUUUUAGUGAAUAUUAAGUAAAUAAAUUUGAAUUUCUUAUCAAUUUAAUAACAAUAAAUAACUAUUAUUUCUUUUCAAACAACAUGCAAAAAAUUUUUAAACAAAAGUAAAAUUGCAAGUGACUCAUAAAUGGGCAAUUGGUUAUACUUGUAUCCAUUUAUACCCAUUUAUUUUAUCUAUUAUUCAAUUAUGAUCCACUUAAACCCAUCCAAAUUAUCUAUUUUGACACCUCUAGCUAAGAUAUUACAAGAGAAGUAAUAGAAAAAAGUGCAACAACCUUUUAAGGCAGCUAAGAUAUUGCAGUUAGUGUGCCAAUAUUUACACAAGGAGGAUACUGCACGACAUUUUGUUAAGUUGUACCACCACUUCUUCCUUCUUAAUUCAUGUGUCUGAUCAAAGAAACGCAAAUGUACCACGUACUUCAGCUAUGUAAAGCUUACAUAUUUUUUCUUAGUGAUUCAGUUGGUCACUGUGUUUGCCUGUCAUCUCACUUUCUACAGCCUUGGCAGCAAAGCCAGACGAUAACAUCCACAUGUAUAUGAUGUAAACUUACUAUAGUGGAGUCAGCUAUUCGAUCUGCAAUGAAUAUCGAUGGGGAUGCAAUUUGAUCUAUUUGUUGACGUAUAAUUGACUAAUCAUUCAACUGUAACUAUUAUUCUAUGCAACUUUAAUAAAGUUGCCAAGAUUGAUAAAGAUGAAGUUAUUGAAGCGGUGGUGGUUUAUUGGUCGUAGAUAUUGGUUACAAGAAAAUGUAUUUGCUUAUCAAGGCACUAUUUAUGAAUCAUCCAUUGGAUGCUUGCCUUCAAUAAUUUCUGGAAAGUUACAACGUGUGAAUGUUUUUUUUUAAAAAAAAUGAUAUGCGAAAACGAUUCACUAAUAGUUUCUCGACAGAGCUUAAUUGGGCUAUACUUGUCAAUUUGCUGUUUGAGGCUUCAACUUCACAUCUAUAAAUGAAUGCAACAACUGCCAAGAUGAAAAUUAUAUGAUUGUGAUGUGUUUGCUGGUUUUAUUAAAAUAAAAAAUACAUAGGACCAAAUAAAAAAGAAUUAGAAUUGUCGUUUACAUUGAUUUCAUGUCGUUGCUGCUUUUACUGCGUUUUUAGAAAACUAGCCUAAGGGCUAUUGAAAUAACUUGGGCGGUUGAUGUGUGCUUGUAAUAUGUGUUAACCUUUAUGAAUCCCACGUGCGAUCAAAUAAUCAAUCAAAUAAUUAAUCAAUCAAAUAAUUACGGAUUUAAUUGACAAAUUUGGCAAGAGAUUAAUAAGUUGCACUGAACAUCGGGCCCUUGACAUCCAAUUAACAAAAUAAUCCCACGAAAAUUCAAAUAGAUAAUGUGCAAAUAUUAACAAAUUAAGGAACGCGUGAAAACUAAUUAGAUCUCACAGAUAUUCGGGACUGCGCCGUCGAGUUGAUCCUUGACUAGAUGAAAGACUUAGCUACGCCGCAUAAAUAAAUCUCUACGCAAAUUGAUUGAUUGCAAAUGCAUCACGUUUUUCACUAGAAAGCAAGAGUAAAAGAUGUUUUUCCCGUUGAAAAAUAUUCUCGACCACCUCGUGCGCGUGAAAAGGAAAAGGAAAGAAAAAACUAAAACUAAAGCUAUGCUAAAACUAUUACCCUCAAGCCUCUGUACGUUUGUCUCUUUAAAAGCAAAAUUGACUACUGCCUUUCUUAUCUCUGUGGUCCCCGCCGAAAUUGAGAAUCAAACCGAAAGUAAGGCUUUGCCGAAGUCCCUUUCUUUUCGUUUUCCAUUGCUAGGAGGACUCCUAGUCAGCAGCUCUUUAUCACCUUUCCUGUGUUUGGAUUGAAUAACUUAUACCCCUUAGUCUCAUGACUAUAUUCAAUAAAAAUACACUUCUCUGCUUCAUCAUCCAGUUUCUGUCUCAAAUGAUCUGGAACAUGCGUAUACGCAAGACAGCCAAAUACCUUGAAGUGAGAAAUAUCCGGUUUCAUAGCAGUCCAAACUUCUUGUGGAGUCUUUCCAAAAUUGCAUCUAGUAGGACACCUAUUCAAAACAUAAAUAGCACAAGAUACUGCUUCUGCCCAAAAGGACUUAGGAAUACCUUCGGAGUGCAUCAUAAACCUCACCAUAUCCAUCACAGUCCUAUUCUUCCUUUCUGCCACACCAUUUUGCUGAGGUAUAUAUCUGGCUGUCAUUUGAUGUUUUAUACCUGACAGGUUGUCGGCCUAUGUAAUAAUAAAACCUGCUCAAACUAAAAGUAAUUUCUGUAGAUAGCGGUGAGUAGGGUCGAAUCCACAGAGACUGGGAAUAAUUAUUUCUUUUCAAAUUCACAGUGACAAGGGGGGUGUUUUUAUAUCAGGGGUGACAAUUUAAACAAUUCAACUAAAAGUAAAAUAAUAAAAAUAAAAUAGCCAACUAGAAAUUAAAUAACAAUUUAUUAAAAUCAAAUGAGGGAUAAUUAAGGAUCUAGCCAAGAAAUAACUUCAGCAAUGGUUUUCCUAAUUGAUCAUCGAUGCAAAGCCAAUUCCAAUUAUUUAUUGAUAAAUAGGUUAUAAGUGCCAAACAAGCGAUGACAGUCAACCCCUCCUUACUGUAUCGGUGAUCAAGAUACGCCCAUUAAUCACUGCUCUAAUUAGGAAAUAAUCCUAGGUACGCCUGUAAGAUUUAAUUCCCCCAUCGCCUUACGUAUUAAAGGAGCCCUAUUCUAACCAAAUAACGCACUACCAGGGUUAUUUCAAAUUAGCCCGCGUAUCCCCUUGGCACGAAUCCAAUCAUGCCAGUUAUCACUAUUUUGAGGCAAUUAAACAAUUACAGAUUUAAUGUCCCAAUUGACAAUAGAUUAUCAAAUUAACUAAUUAUCCGGAUCCAAAACAAUCAAUUAAUUAAACAAUCAUAAGCACUGCAACCAAGGAAUAUGCGAAUACUAAUAAAUAAAUAAAAAGAUAAAAUGAAAUCGAUCUCACAAUUUUUAGGCGAACCAAAGCCUCCGUUGCUCCUUGACUAGAGUGAAGAAAUUUAGUUCAUAUUUGAUGAAUAAAACCCAAACAAAAUUGCAACAAGAGUUGUCUGCCCAUGCGAAGGAAGAAAAACAAUCAAAAGCUACAAAGGAAAAGUCAAAGGCCGAUGCUUCAUUCCUCCUGACAUGCGCAGGGGGCAACCACAAAAGACGAAAGGAAAAAGUCAAAGAAAGCUAAAGGAAGUCUAUUGUUUUUCCUUGUCAUCACCAACGAGAGAACUCCUACUAAAAAGCUAAGAAAGGAAAAAUCAAAGCUACUCUGAUGCUUGGCUCCUGUGCGGCGGCCCCCUUGCGGAGAGGACGAACCCUCCAGCCCUGCUUUCCUUCUCUUCUUUUAUGCUGUCUUCCACAAAUUACUGGAGAGGUUCAUGUCUUGAUAUUCCAAAAAUACUCCUAGAUGCCUGCUACUUGAACUCUUUUCUGAUGACUGUCAAAUACGCAUUGGUUAUGGUAUUUUCGUUCUACUCCCUGAAUUAAAUGCAAAUUACGAAAAGUGAGUAGAAUCUAAUAAUUAAUCCAUAUCAAGUCAGGUAAUAGGGGAAAUUAAUAAUAAAAUAAAUGACAAAAUUGCAGCCUAUCAAUUCCCCCCACAACUAAACCAUGCUUGUUCUCAAGCAUAAGAACAGUAAAAAAACCCCAAUAUUUAACAAUGGCUAUUGCUCUAUUUACCAUAUUUCUAAGAUAUCAAGAAAAAUAUAUAUCAAGCAUCGGUGAUCAAAAUCCAAGAAACAUCACCCCGGUUAGUUUCUAAACUACAAACUUCUCUAAUUUUAGGUUAACUAAUCUAAGAAAAAGGAAUGACGUAUAACAUUUAUCAACAAAUGGUCCAACUAUUAACCAAAAUCUCAACAUUAAAUUCAUAAAUCGGCAAAUUGACUUUUAUUAUACACUAACACAACUUUCACUUUUUUUUUAUCACAUUUUUCUACUUUUCUCUUUUUUUGACUUUUUUCUUCUCUUUUUUUUUCUUUGCUUUUCUCAAUAGUAACAAAAGACUUAGUCGCUAGCCAUUGGAACCUUUUGACGCGAGCUCCGACAUUUUUAGAUGAAGGAGCCCGGUUACUUAGCUCCUAUCGCUACGUGACCACGUACUCAUAGUAAUUACUACUUUUUGACACGAAAAUCGACACUUUUGGUGAAGAUCCCCGGUUAUUUGGUACUAAAGACUAGCGGAGUACAGCUAACUCUUAUUCACAGUUAAAUAACACAAAAACUCAAAAUAACAUAAAAAUCAAAAGAGAAUUUACAUCAGCUAGCCUUAUUUUCAAACAUGGAGAACUGAGCUUAAUAACCGGACCAAUUCACAUGAAAAUGCCAACAAUCAUUCCCUAUGCCUAGAAAAGUUAAUCCAGAAAUUAUAAAAGUAAAACAAUCAUCGAUAUUCACCAAAUAGAUGUUUUUUGACUCAACCACAUUAAUUUGAUACCAUUUUAUUAUUAAAACAUGGCAAUAGCAGAAUUAGAGACAACAAUCCAACAUAAAACUUUGGUAUUCAUUAAAAAAAAAAUAAACGAAAACUAGACAAAUAACAAACUAGAAAUAAAAGAAGGACGUCUGAAAACUAAAAACUGGCAUAGCUGUCCCUCCCCCCACACCUAAAUCCUACAUUGUCCUCAAUAGAGGAGGGAAUAAAGCAAUUAAAUUGAAAAGGACAACGAAACUUCCCUCUCGAGUGGCUAAGGGGUAGGCGGGAACGGCGGAGGGAAAUCGAUGUGGUGAGGCAUCAAUUCAACCAGCAAAUGCACAACUCUGUCCAUCCAAAAUCUCAACAAAGUCUCCAAUAAUGUGCUAAAUCCAGCAAUAUCAGUUCAGGACUUUAGUAAUAGCAGCGCAGUCACAAGCCCUUGGCAGUCAAUCAGAUCUCUAACCAAAUAGAGUUAACAAGUACCCGCACCCUUACCAUUGGUGCAAAUUGCAGUCCAAAAUCAAUGAGAUUUCUAUAGCAGAGCAGAUCAGUAGUAAAGCAAUAGCCCCAAGUAUUAAUCUAGUCACAAGAGAGUGAAUGUGCCACCAACGGAGCAAUAUCAGAGCAGAGCAAUUGCUAAUAAUGUCUCUCAGUUAUCAAUAAUUGCAAAAUUCCAACCCACCCAAAAAACUCAACAAUAGCACCCAAAAGCUCAACAAUUGCCCCCAGCAGUCAACAAGUCAGGCAACAGUAGUGCAGUAAUUCGGCAAUAACGACUCAAUAUAUAACCUCAACUGGCAAUCAGGCGUCCACCCACAAAAGCAAGUGAAAUUAUCUCAACGACCUAAUGGUUCACCACACAGAAUUCACUUCCACCCAACGAAACAGUUGAAGUCACUAAGAUGAACACGUUAGUCAACCGUCACAGAAAAUUCUAACAAGCAAACCAGCUCCUAACAGGACAAAUUAAGCAGCACAGGCUCUCGAUUCAAUAGGCAAUAUCAGAAAUAAUUUAACCAAAACCUCAGUAAUCGAAACACUAGCAGAGAUGCCUUUCAAUGAUCAAUAGACAAUUGCAAAAUUUCAGCCCACCCAAAAUUGCAACAAAUGGCUCCAGUUGGCCAGUCAAUUUCUUAACUCAAGAUUAGUAAUCUCAACGAUAACAAUUUAGAAAUUUGGCAAUAAUAACUCAGACAGCCAAAUAGAGAUACCCAAUUGAGGUCCAAUUACCCCACCAAUACCACUGGUAUAGCAAACUAUGGAAGAGAAAUCACACACUACCAAUACCAGGCCACCGAUAAACCAAAAUACAAACUAACACUGCUAACAAUUGAGAAUCGCAACAAUCAAAACACAAGCAAAGCCGCCUCCCAAUUAUCAAUAGACAAUUUCACAAAUCCAGCCCACUCAAAAACUCAACAAAUGUAACCAAAAGUUCAACAAACAUUCUCAAGAGUAUGGCAAACUAGUAAUGAACAAGAUCUGGGUCAAAUAUCACAACCCGUACCACUGGUUUACCACACAAUUGAAGGAAUAACCCCCAACGGCCAACAAUACCAAGUAUAGAAAGACCAGACAGCACCAGUGAAUAUUAAAAAAUUGGGGGACAAAUUCCAAAUACCUCCACCGAAGAAAGUAGCCAAGCGAUACUCCUGAUAGAGAAUCAGUAGCGCGCGUCAGGCGGUGGACCAAGCAGCGGGCUGAGUUGCGGGACUGGGGCGGAUGGCGACGCGAGGAGGGAGAGACGCGAGCGGCCGGCGGUGGUCUGUGGCGCGCGACUUCGAGCGGCGCACGCUCAAGUAGCGUGCGAGGUUGGACGCUACCGCUAGGGCUGUUGGCAGCGUCCAAGCGCUUCAGUGGUGGUGUUGGCUCGUGAUGGAGCUGCGGCGGAGCUGGUUGUGUGAGCAGAGAGGGAGCAGCGAGCUAGAGUGGUGCGCGAGCUAUGGUGGAAGCUCGCUGAGGUAGAACGAGCAAAAGGGGUGGCGCGCGGUCGGAGGCUCGCACGGUGGACCUGCGACGGGCCAGCGGCUGCUCGAGUGGAGAGAGAGGGAGCUGGUGAGAGCUGCGGCGUGAAUAAAAUGGGCGAGGUUGGAGUGAGAACUGCGAGUGGAGUGAGCGAGAGAGAGCUCUGGGAGCUCGCGGCGGGCGUGAACAAAGUGGGCGGCGGCGGACAAGGCUUUGUGGUUUUCGACUGAGAGAAGAGUAACAGGGGACUCAGAGAUACCUAAAGGGCAACUCGGAAACAGAGGGACUCAGAGAUACCUACCCACUGCCCAACGGUGUCGUUGGUGACAGUGGGUAGCGGAACCGGCAAGGGGCGGCGGUCGCAACUAGGAGAGUAGGGGCUGCGAUGAGCUGGUGGAUGUGUACCAGCGAGGUGGAGAGGCGCGCGAGGCUUGUUACUGCGACGAGCUGGGUUGCCACAGCUGGAGUGCGACGGCGGCGAACGAGGUGGAUGAAUCGCGCGCGAUGGAAAGGAGCAGCGACCGCCGCUGUUGGCGGCCGUGGGCUGACAGAGUUGGCUGUGGACGACGCGCAGCACACGAGCAACGGCGGUGGUGGUCGUGUGACUGUAGGCAGGGGGCAGCGUGCGUCAUCGCUCGGCGUUGGUCACGGGUGAAGGAGAUGGCGGCGUGCAUGAGGUAUGCUCAGCCGAAAGAGAAGAAGAAACAGGGGAGAAGAAAGAAAGAAAGAAGAAGAAAGAAAGAAAAAGAAAAAGAAAAGGAAAGAAAGGAAAAGAAAAAGAAAAUAGUAUUUGUGUUUUUUUUUCUUUUUUCUUUUAUCUUUUUUUUUGCUUUUUCGUUUUUUAUUUUCAUUUUAGAAAUUUUUUUUUGUUUUUACGAAAAGACUCCCUUUUUUUUCUCCUUGUUACUUACUUGAAAAUUUUGUUUUUUGAAAUUUUUUUUUAAUAUAUCUUUUUUUUAUUAUUAUUGAUAAAAUUUAUUUUUGGACUUCAAAAGUAGGGAUUAACAGAAAAUCAAUAACCGUUCUUGAAUUUUUUGGAUACUUACCUUUCCCGCGAAUGUGACGUGGGUACGAAAGCACGGAAUGAGGAGCUCUCCAAGUGACUUGACGCGGGCACGUCAUGAGGGCAAGAACCCCUUCUGACGAUUCUGACCGUGAGCUCUUCAUACGUCAUAACGUGGGCGCGUCAUGUCAGAGAGAUGCCUGUAAAUCAUCAAAAACGAAAAUUGAAGCAAAAAAUCAGUCAAAUAGAAGGAAAAAUAUAUUUAAACUAACGAACAAAAAUGAACAAAUAACUAGAAGAAAUUGGGUUGCCUCCCAAUGAGCGUCUUUCUUUAAUGUCUUUGACUAGACAUUAUCAUAUUUUGUUUAUGGAGGAUAAAAUCUCGUGGCUCGUCUUAAUGUUUCAUUCUCUAUAUAGUCCUGAUAGCUCUCGUAAAUAGAGUAAUUCUUGAGCACACGAGUUACGGGCUUCCAUGGACUAGUAAAUGGCGCCAAACAAGUCAUCGAUAAUUUGCAUUCUCCACUCACUCCUCCCUCACAUGCAUUUAUUGGUCCAAGAUAUCUUGCCAUCGCCAUUCUUAAAUUUAUUCCUGUCAUGAAAUUCAAGAUUUUCUGGUAUAAUAAAAUCAAUUUCAUUAACAGGAAUUGAAGAAUAAGAGUCAAGAGAAUAUUGAUUAAGGAAUGGAGGAAAUGUCACCGCAUUUGGAGGUUGUUCACUGGAUUCAUUCACUUGGACGGGUUGAUAUUGGGGGCUCAUUUUUUGCACAUCAACUUCCUUUUCAACUGCAUCUUUAGAUUCGUCUUCUUGAAACUCUUGCAGUUCCAUGUCAUUUGACCGGAUAAUUGCACUCUCAUCUUCUUCAAGGUUGAUAUUGGUUUGUGAGGGCAAUUCUUCAAGAUGAGAAGCUAAUCGCGUUAUCCUGGAUGUCAAUAGAUGUACUUGAUCUGCCAUCCCGGAUGUCAAUAGUUGCACUUGAUCCGCCAUCUCUUGUAUCUCUUGUUGAAAUCAAUAUGAAUUAGCAGUUAGCAAUUUCAUCAUUUCUUCAAGAGACAUACUUGACACGGAGGAUGAUUGUUGAGACUCUUGCUGUUGAAAAUCCAUUGGCCCGAUCGCAUAAUUAAAAUUGAAAUUAUCUCACCAUCCUUGAUCAUACCUGUUUGGGUAAAGGUCAUACCACGUUUUAAAUCGAGGUGAAAAAUCUCCAAAAGUAUCAAUUGGAGCACUUAGAUUAUCUUGAAACGCGGGGCAUGUGUCGGUUGAAUAACUUGAGGCAAAAUAAGUCCCACAAUUUGCAACAGCCCAUUGAUCAUUAGGAAAAACAUGAGUCUCAUAACCCCAUUCAGGAAUAAAAUUUAGUCUAUCAUCAAAAUACGGAAUGUUAGCAGCCAUAAGCUAUAUAAAAAAAUAAGAGAAAAAUAAAUUAAAAAUGAAAACAAGGUGAACUAAAAAAGAAACAAAUUAAUCUGGCACCAGUCCUCGGCAAUGGCGCCAAAAAUUAACAGGUUGUCUGCCUGUGCAAUAAUAAAACCUGCUCAAACUAAAAGUAAUUUCUGUAGAUAGCGGUGAGUAGGGUCGAAUCCACAGGGAUUGGGAGUAAUUGUUUCUUUUCAAAUUCACAGUGACAAGAUGGGUGUUUUUAUAUCAGGGGUGACAAUUUAAACAAUUCAACUAAAAGUAAAAUAAUAAAAAUAAAAUAGUCAACUAGAAAUUAAAUAACAAUUUAUUAAAAUCAAAUGAGGGAUAAUUAAGGAUCUAACCAAGAAAUAACUUCAGCAAUAGUUCACCUAAUUGAUCAUCGAUGCAAAGCCAAUUCCAAUUAUUUAUUAAUAAAUAGGUUAUAACUGCCAAACAAGCGAUGACAGUCAACCCCUCCUUACUGUGUCGGUGAUCAAGGUACGCCCGUUAAUCACUGCUCUAAUUAGGAAAUAAUCCUAGGUACGCCCGUAAGAUUUAAUUCCCCAAUCGCCUUACGUAUUAAAAGAGCCCUAUUUUAACCAAAUAACGCACUACCAGGGUUAUUUCAGAUUAGCCCGCGUAUCCCCCUGACACGAACCCAAUCAUGCCAGUUAUCACUAUUUUGAGACAAUUAAACAAUUACGAAUUUAAUGUCUCAAUUGACAAUAGAUUAUCAAAUUAACUAAUUAUCCGGAUCCAAGACAAUCAAUUAAUUAAACAAUCAUAAGCACUGCAACCAAGGAAUAUGCGAAUACCAAUAAAUAAAGGAAAAGAUAAAAUUAAAUCGAUCUCACAAUUUUUAGGCGAACCAAAACCUCCGUUGCUCCUUGACUAGAGUGAAGAAAUUUAGUUCAUAUUUGAUGAAUAAAACCCAAACAAAAUUGCAACAAGAGUUGUCUGCCCAUGCGAAGGAAGAAAAGCAAUCGAAAGCUACAAAGGAAAAGUCAAAGGCCGAUGCUUCAUUCCUCCUGACAUGCACAGGGGGCAACCACAAAAGACGAAAGGAAAAAGUCAAAGAAAGCUAAAGGAAGUCUAUUGUUUUUCCUUGUCAUCACCAACGAGAGAACUCCUACUAAAAAGCUAAGAAAGGAAAAAUCAAAGCUACUCUGAUGCUUGGCUCCUGUGCGGCGGCCCCCUUGCAGAGAGGACGAAGCCCCCAGCCCUGCGUUCCUUCUCUUCUUUUAUGCUGUCUUCUGCAAACUACUAGAGAGGGUCAUGUCUUGAUAUUCCAAAAAUACCCCUAGAUGCCUGCUACUUGAACUCUUUUCUGAUGAUUGUCAAAUUGGCAUUGGUUAUGGUAUUUUCGUUCUAUUCCCUGAAAUAAAUGCAAAUUACGAAAAGUGAGUAGAAUCUAAUAAUUAAUCCAUAUCAAGUCAGGUAAUAGGGGAAAUUACUAAUAAAAUAAAUGACAAAAUUACAGCCUAUCAAUACCACUUUCCGCCAAAUAGUCAUCACAAACAAGAUAUUCAGUGCCUCUGUCAGUUCUCAAAAUUUUAAUAAAGUAGCCACUCUGCUUCUCUACAUAAUAUUUGAACUUUUUAAACACAUCACAUGCAUCAGAUUUAUUUCUUAAAAAAAACACCCAUGUCUUCCUAUUGAAAUCAUCAAUGAAGAUAAUAAAAUACUUACUAUCACCAUUGGAAGGAACUUCAACUGAGCAUAAAUCUGAAUGAAUCAGUUCAAGCGGUUGAUUGGCCCUCCAAGCCUUGCCUUUUGGAAAAGGAUCCCUGUGCUUCUUUCCCAAAAUACAAGACUCACACUUCUUAUCAGGAAACUCAACAGACGGCAACCCAAUAACAAAUUUCUUUUUUGCAAGAAAUUUCAAACUCCCAAAAUUCAAAUGCCCAAAACACAUAUGCCAUAACCAAGAAUCAUCACAAGUCAUGGAAUUAAAGCAAGGUAAAUCGCCACAGUUAAGAGAAAGAGCCCACAAACGACUACGGUUCAUCUUUACCUUGGCAAUUAAUCCCAAUUUUUCAUCACUUAUGGUGCCAUUACCAUAUUUAAAAUGCAGGUCAUAACCUUUCUCAGACAGUUGUCCUAAACUCAACAAAUUAUGAUAUAAACUUGGCAUAUAGAAAAUAUCAGAAAUAUAAUUCGAAAACCCAUCUUGCAAGAUAAUUCUGAUUUUUCCUUUUCCUAGAACAGGUACCUUUUCAUUAUUUCCAAAUCUCACAGAUACAUGAAAAGAUUCAUCCACGUUAGAAAACAUCUCCUUUUUACCACACAUAUGAUUACUACAACCAAAAUCAAUAAACCAAUCAUUCUUCAUAGACUCUUCAGCUGUAGAACUAGAAAACAAUAAGGUCUCCUCUCUAUCACUACUAUUUUCUGCCACUUUAACAUGUACCUCUUUAUUAGACCAACAUUCAUUUUGAUAAUGAUCAAUUUUACCACAAUUAUAACAUUGGACAUUAGAUCUAUCACGCCUUUGAAAAUUAUUUCUUUGACUUUGCUGUUAACUGUUUUUCUGAUCCCUAUUAGAAUUAUUUCUGGGCUGGUAAGAAUAAUUACCUCUUCCAUGACUAUGAAAGUUACCUUUGCCUCCACGUCCUCUACCUCUGAAGUUCUGGCCCCUUUGAUUUGUGUCCAUACGAUUCACCCCCUCUUUUCCUUUUGGGUGAUUCACCUUGGCUUGUAACACCUCCUCUACUGUAUCUGAUGGCUGCUGAUUUAGGGACAUCUCAUACGUUAGCAAUUCACCUUCCAAUUCAGCAAGUGACAAAUUGUCAAGGUCCUUUGUGGCUUCAAGGGCCGUCUUCUUGGUGUGAAAUUUGGCAGUUAGAGAUCUUAGAACUUUUUCAACCACUCUAACCUCUUCCAAAUUCUCACCAUUGGACUCCAUAUCAUUGACAAUUUCUUUAAUUGUGCCAAUAAAAUCUUUAACUGACUCUGUGGAUUUCAUUUGGGCCAACUCAAAUUGUCUCCUAAGUUCCUGCAAUCUGAUUUUUCUCACGUUAGCAGCUCCUUGAUUUGAGUUCACCAAAACUAUCCAAGUCUCUUUUGCCGACUUUGCAUGUAUAAUUUUUUUGGCAACAUGCAACUGGACUUGAGUGUUGAGAUAGUACAUUGCCUUGCAAUCCAACUGUCUAUUUCUCUCUAAUUCUUUAAUUACAUCGCUUGAUAAUUCCAUACCUGCGACCGAUUCCGUAUGUCCUAUUUCAACUAUAUUCCAAACUGCAAUAUUUUGGAAAAAAUUCUUCAUCAUCGACCUCCAAACCUCAAAAUCGUUUUUACCGUCGAAGAUAAAAACACGACAAUUGUGCAAAUAAUGCGGAUCCAUACUUUAAUUUCAUGAACAAACUCCAAACCCCAAUUUUGCAAACAAGCCCCAAGAUCAAAGCCUGGAGCUCUGAUACCACUUUGUAGAAAUCUAACCCACAGGAUAACAACAAAUAAACCUCACUCAAUGAAUUAAUUAGGCAGCGAAAGAGGAAUAAAAAGGGAUAAGCAAUAGACUAUUUAUGACAAAGCGAGGCAACGAAACAAAAGCAGAACUAUGAAAAGCUUCGGGAGGCAAAACCAAUAUUUCUUUACAAGUCUCUCGGCUCCUUUCUAUGUUACACACCGGCAGACUAGUACUACACACACACAUACAUAUAUAUAUAGGCACCAAGUCUCCAUAGUGCUCAGGGAUUUUGUCCUCACCAUCUAAUAAAUCAAAGACCACAUUGGAAUUGGACAUCAAGCAUCCUAGUUAGACUAGAACUCAACUAGCUAAACGUAAACCUGAACUAUACUAAUUCCAACCAACUCCAAUUAAGAAACUAACAAAUAAUAAUCUUGAUUUAAUUCCUACAUGUUCUUUCGUAAUUCUGAUAGACUAGUUAAACUUUGUGAAUUAUUUAUAAAGCAAUGAAUUACGAGCGACUCUUGAAAUUUUCACAGUACUAGAUACAGUUUCUCCUUUUGCUACCUCUAUUUUUUUUUUUUUUUGGAUUCUGAAAAUUGAUCUCUUGUAAUAUCUGACAGAUUUUGAAGUAAGAUUCUGAUGUAACUAUUUGCCAUUCAACAGGAUAGGUGAUUAAGUACAUCAGAUUUACCUGUUAGCCAUGUAAAACAGAAUGUAUGAAAUAAAUUUUAAGAGAGAGAGAGCUUGUAACGAUGAUAACUAUAAUUAUUCGUCUCACAGAAAUAUCAAAUAAUAUUGGAAGUUGACUUGACUAUGCUAAUAGGUGACUCAGAAUAAGGUAAGCAAGGGUAAUGUACCUAUCUAAUUUGUUUUGCUACAAGUUUUUUUUUAAAUUUUAUUUUGGGUGGGUGGGAGGGGAGGGGAGUUCUUCUUGGGUUUAAUCAACAAGUACAGAAAAGCUGGCGGUGUUGCUUAAGACAAUUGAAGUUGCGGGGGAGGUUGUUAAGACAAUUUGAUUUUUAAACCAAUCUUCAACACAAACUAAAACCAGAAACUCCAUACGUAGUUAAAUUAAAGAUCUUCUUGCCUGCGAUAUAAGGGCUGGGAAUGGAACUUGUGGUAUACAGAACAUAUUAGUUGCCGCACAUCAUGCCAUCUACUAUGAUAUUCCACAUCGGAACUCGAAAGAGGAGAGUAAAGAUAUAUGACGUUCAGCCCGUCGAAUAAUCAAUAACAUUGGGUUAAUUUAGCUUUUAUUGGGCCAGUCCAGCAGGCACGGACCAUUACAAAUAGUAUCAGAGCGAAUUGUGUGUGGUUUCUAUGUGAAGUGAGCCUUUCCAACUAACAAUUAAAGAUUUUAGUCUGAAAUCUAAAGUUUGAAUCCAUUAAACUAUUGAAUUGUUAAGUAUUAAAUAUAAUACAUUUGAGUGCAUGUCAGAUUCAGUGAUAAGUGAAUAGUUUAUCACUUAAUUUUGGAAACAAGUUUUACCUAAAAAAUUCAGUGCUACUUAAUUUAUUCAGAUGUUUAAUUUUUUGUUAUCAGACGGUUUGAAUAUGUUAACAGCUGCUUCCAUUAAGUUUAAGUGCUGAAUUGAAUUAUCAAACAUGAUCUAAGUAAAAAAUAUAAGGAACUAAGUGCUAUACGGGACAAAACCCCAUAUUAGAUGGGGUCACCUUUAGAAUUCGUAUGAGUUAUCUCUAGAAUCCGCAUAUGACUAAAUAAUCAGUUGGAUUGCAAUGGAGUCCUCUUAACAAUCUAGAAUCCGCACACGAUUAAAUGAUCAGUUGGAUUGCAACGGGGUUUUCUUAACAAUAAGUCAAGUCAGUUGUGGAAAACAAAUGGGACGCCAUAAACUGCACUAUCCACAAAUUAGAAAUAUGAAAGAGAUGGAGUCAGCCAAAGUGAGGCUCAUGAAGCUUAGAAUUCUGAUGCUUGCCUAUUGGGCUGUCACACUCUUUGCAAGAUUUUGUAGCUGGUCAACAUUGUGACCUCCUAGAACAGUUAGAUGGUAGGCCUAUAACCGCAAGGAUAGAGCAGGAAAACAUUAGUGUAUGUGAAGUGUCAGCUUUGGAAACUAGGGUCUACUUGCGUGGCUGGUUUUGGCAAAACUCUAGUGUAACCCUUCCCAAAACACUAAGACACAGCUAAAAUAAUGUCAGCACAAAAAAACACAUGGAAGUAAUAUUAAAAUAUUACACAAGAUCAACGAAAGCACGUGAGGUUAUUCAAUCAAUCUAUUAAUUUUCUUCUGUCACAACUCAACUCAACUCAACAAAUUCUUCAACUCAAUAUAACAAGAGUCAACUCAAUUCUCUAAUUGGAUAUGAAACAAGCAUCACAUAUAUGUAGGCAAUAGGUUACCAUAUAACUAAAGACUCGAGUGACUUCCACCGACUUGGACUAAGAAACCAAUUACACUUAGAAAACCAACUAAUCAAGGAUUCGGACUUGACUAUUCACCGACCAAAAUUCAAGGAAACUAACAAGCGGACAGCUGACUAAAACUUUACCAUGUAAGUGGAUAUAGUAACAACUUUAAUCUAAUAAUCUAAACAAAAAAAUGAAGUAAACUUGGUUUAAUUUCCUUCAUUACCUUUCUUAAACUAAACUCAUCAUUAUGGUCAAUUCCAAUACCAUCUCGAACUUGAAUCUAUAUGAAAAGCUUUGUUGUUAUAUAGAUCAUAUGGAAUCUCAACUUACAAUUGAUCUUCAGUUUCAUCUUCUCCGGUGGAAGUAGACGAAACUUAUACUUUUUGAAUAAUUUCUUCGUUUGAUCGGUCUUGCCAAAAAAUUCAAACAUGUUCACCUAUGCUUCAUUAGAUACUCCAUAAUUUAAUUCGUCCACGCCACCAAGAAAAUUUCAUGAAAUCACAAAAUCAUGCUUUCCACCACCAAAAAUUUCAACAUCAUCAUGAACUUAUUUUGAUUCAUCCAUACCAAUGCCCACAUUAGUUUCAGCAAUGCCACAAUCUUUAACUAAUUUGUCCACGUCACAAUUGUUCUUAACCAAUUCUAUCGCUUGAUUUUUCUCGUCAAAAUAUUCAUCAAUCCCGAAAAAAUUAACAAUUUCUAUGUUGCGAUAAGCUUCAAUCACAUCUUUAAUCUGAUGAAUGAUUUCACUUUCUUUCUCAACCACUUGUGAAAUUCCUUUUGAACAAAAUUUUCAUCUUCAUGGGCACCCACAACUUCUGUAAUUUCUUCUUUCUUUAUCUCAUCCAAAAAAAAAAUAUUUUUCUUCUUUCUCAUCACAAAUUUUUUGUCAAUCAUAACUACAAUAAGAAUUUGUCAAAAAUUUUCAAACCUCCUUUGCCGUCUUUGCAUGUAUGAAUCUUUUCGCUACAUGCAAUUGAACUUGGGUGUUGAGGUAGUAGAAUAUCUUGCAAUCCAACUGUCUAUUUCUCUCUAACUCUUUAACUAAACUACCAAUAAUUCUGCACCUUGUGUAGGUUCCUUGAACCCCUUUUGAAUAAUAUCCCAAAAUCCAAUAGUUUGAAAAUAUCUCUUCAUCCAACUCCAAACAUCAGAGUCCUUUUUACCAUCAAUGUUAAAAAUGUCAUAACAUCAAAAUGUUAUAAAUAACACGGAUUCAUAUUUUAAUUUUACAAAUAAGCCCUAAGUUCAUAGUCUAGAUGUCUGAUACUACUUGUUAGCACAAAAGUCACGCAUUAGAAGUAACAUUAAAUCUUAUACAAGAACGACGAAGGCACGGGAGGUUAUUCAAUCAAUCCAUUAAUUUCUCUCUAUCUCGUAACUCAAUUCAAUAAAUUUUUCAACUCCAUUUAAUAAGACUUGAGUAAACUUAACUCUCCAAUUAGAUAUCAAACAGGCACCACAUAUACAUAGGCAAUAGGUUGCCAUAAAACUAAAGACUAAAGGAACUUCCUAAACCGAUACCAACUUGGACUAAGAAACCAAUUACACACAUGAAACUAACUAAUCAAGGAUUCGGACUUGACUAUUCACCGACCAAAAUUUAAGGAAACUAACAAGUGGAUAGCUGACUAAAAUGUUACCAUGUAAUUGGUUAUAGUAAUAACUUUAAUCAAUAAUCUAAACAAAUAAAUGAAAUAAGCUUGAUUUCAUUUCCUUCAAAUAACACACGGAAAACACCUAGAACACCCAAAACAACCCAUCAACCACUCACCCUCCAUCCCCUCCUUCCUCUCCCACCCAAGUCCCCUUCAUCAACCCUUCACCUCUCCUGCCUGCCACCAGCUCCCUAGUCACUUCUCCCACUCACGUGCUCGCCAAAAAUUGGGAUGUUUUUAUGUGGCUGCGAGUAAUAUGUAAUGGUAUGAUCAUUGAAGUAGUACACCAUCACUCAACUAAAGCAAACCAUUACAACUAAUAAUUCAUUGGCACCAAUUAAAGGGCAGUUCGACCGAUGACAGGUGCCGAACCUGUACAAUAAUAAAUACCUACUCGAGAAAAAUACAAAUUUUGUAUAUAGUGGUGAGUAGGGUCGAAUCCACAGGGAUUGGGGAUAAUUCGUUUCUUCUAGAGUUCAAAGUAUGGGAGUUUUCAGGAUUAAAUGCUAACUAAAUAAAUGAAAUGCAGAAAAUAAUUAAUUAAAAGAAAUAAUUGGGAGAACUCUAGCCAAGGGUGCACUUCAGAAAUGGUUCAUCCACUGAUCAUUGAUUCCCGCAUAAUUCCUACAAUUACUAAUAGAUUGGUUAUAGUUGUCAUGCACACGAUAAACAACCAACCCUUCCUUAAUUUCUCGGUAGUUAAGGUACGACCGUUAACUAUUUCUCUAACCCAAAAAUAACCCUAGGUACGACCGUAGGAUUUAAUUUCUAAAUUGCAUUAAUAAUUAGAAAGACCCAAUCCUAACUAACAAAUACGCUACGAGGGUUUGUUUAAGUUAGAUCAUACGUUUCCCUGACAUAAACCCAAUUACGCCAGUUGCUACUGAGAUAGGGAUAUUCGAACAAUUACGGAUUCAAUUACUCCUAAUUAGCGAAAUAGCCUAUAUGAAUAAUUAAUUAUUGCGCACUAAUCAAUCAUACACACGAGCUAUAGCAAUUAAAAGCAGGAAACAUAUAAAUACCAAUAAAUGAAAGAAAUAAUUAAAUAAAUUCGAUCUCACAGUAAUUGUCGAACCAAAUCCUCAGUUGCCCCUUUAACUAGAAUUGGAGAGUUAGUUCUCCAUUAAUGGAGAACCAUCCAUGCGAAUGGUUAGAGAAAGAGGCCCCCAAGACUUGACUUCCACCAUUGAUUGAAAGAAAGAAAAGAUCGAAAGCCUAACAAGUAAAAGCCUCCCCAGCCGAGAGCUUGCGGAGCAGACCAUGAUGAAUUAAUCUCCCCUCCGUCAAUGUUGCCAACCAACUCUUAAUCACGCGGGAUCCGGCUUUUUUUCCCUCUCAUUUGUUUUGUUUCCUAUUCAGCUUCUACUACUCAUUGUUCCUUUCCAAACGUGAAAGAAGGAAUAAAAAUAGACUAGCCUCCUUUUUUUCUUUUCUAAGAAGUAGCAAUCAAAAUGGGAGUCGGCCUUUUCUUUCCGUAUUUUCUAGUUUCCCAAAUACAUUGAACUUCCUAAUUUUCCUAAGAAGAAGAUAUUUCCUCCUAAUCUAAGACGUUUCCCAACUGUAUUUGAAAACAUGCUUCGUAAGUCUUCGGCUUGAACUAGGAAACUGCCAUCCGUGAACCCCGUCAUCUCUAGACUUGACAGUAAUUCUUGGAAAAUUACCCCUUUUAUCACAUGUUGCUCAUUUUCCUACAAUUGGCACCAUUAUACCAAACAUAAGUAGAAUCCGACAAUUAAAAUAAUGUUUGGCUAAAAUCAAGGGAAGAAUAAUAAAAAUUUGGCAACAAAUUAUGACUUAUCAACCGAUACAACUAUUAUUGGUUCAACUGAUUUGCCUCUAACAUAAAUGUAACAACUUAUAUUUCAUUAGUUCCUUUAAUUAAUGUCCUUAAGACACUAAUCAAGACACAUCCAAGUGCAAUUUAACAAACUAGUAAUAAAGCAUGUGUUUUUGAUAAAGCAAUUAUUGGGCACAUUUUGCACUGUUAUUUUGUCAUAAUUUUGGCAACUUACUGUGCUAAAUAUUGAGAUUUUGCUAAUAUUUCAUAUUUGUAUGAAUUAUAGGUGGUUGGUGUAAAAAGUGUUUUCACGAGGCAAAUUUUCAGAAGACUCUCUAUUUCAUGGCGUGCCCACGCCAGAAACUGAAGAGUUACACCUAAAAGCUGGAUCCGCGAGAUUGGUUGCAGCGCAAAGUGGGCAAUUAGGAGGUUGGGUCCACGUGGACCGGACGCAUGGGAUUAAAACCCCAAAAAAGCAAAGCUUUGCAGAGGACCCUUUGUGGAUUGCUCCUGGCGGCUGCAAAAGGCCAAAAACCAAAAGAAAGCCAGACUCACUUUUUAAUUGAUAGAUUAGCUUUUAGCUUUUGCUUUUUAGGGUCAGACGUCUUCUUUUUCUUGGGACUUUUUGCACUAGCUUUAGACAAUUAGGGAGUAACUUUCGUUUGCGAACCCUGGAAGACGAAUUGAAGUCUGCCGUCUUUGUUUCGUUUAUCUCAGACGCCUGUCGUGAGACAGGGGCUUUUACCUUUUGCUUUGGUACAAACACGAAACAAAGUGAAGCUAGAAUUUUUCUUCGGGUCCGUUGUUAUUCCGUCUCUCCCAGAUUAUUGGUAAAUAAUUGGAUGUUAUCAAUUAAAUCACGGGAGAGUGAUAUGAUGAGGAGCGGCUAGUUUUCUCCUCUACCCAAAGGUCGACGCGAGGGCGCGGUCCAUAACAUCUGUGAGAUCUAAUCGAAUUUUCAUUAUUUCUUUCAAUUCAUUACUAUUCAUGCGUUUCCUAGAUUAAUUGUUCAUGGGUAUUUUAUUAAUUGAGUAUCAACGGCCGAAUAUUUAAUUUAAUAUAAUAGCCUACUGCCACGUUAAUUAAAUUGAAUCCGUAAUUGUUCGUUUAGUUGACAACUAGUGGCAACCACCAUAAUUGAUUUUAUGUUGGGAAAAUGUAAGAUCUGACUUAAAUAAACCCUCUUAGCGUGUUUAUUGGUUAGGGUUGGGUUCUUCUAGUUUUAAUGCAACUGGAUAAUUAAAUUCCUACGGUUGUAUCUAGCGUUGUUUUCUGGUUAGAGAAGCAGUCAAUGGUCAUACCUUGACUGUCGAAAAAGUAAGGAAGAACUGGUUGUCAGAACUUGUUGAUAACUAUAAUCAAUCUAGUGACUGAUGAAUGAAAUAUCUUUGCAUCGAUGAUCAUUUAAUUGGACCGUGCCUGAAAAGUUGAUCCUUUGGAUAGAAUUUUAUUAAUUGCUAUUUUUACUAAAUUGAACUUGUUGAGUUAGCUCUUGAAUUUUAUUUAUUUCAUUUUUAUUUUCAUCCCAUUAAUUAUCCCCCUAUUUUAUUUUAUUAACUUGGAAAGAAACAAGUUCCUACCUGUUCUCUGUGGAAUCAACCCUACUUGCCAUUGUAUGCAAAUUUAAUAUUUUUAUAGACAAUUCUGGUAUAUCGAAUCAAGCAAACUCUUCGGGAACAGGGUGAAUCAAGUAACCCAUUGCACACCUAGGGUCCCUGCUCCAAUAUUCGGAUUUGUUCUAUAAUUAAUUGUGGUGGUAAUUAGGACUUUUUAGUAAUUAUUAUUGCAUAGACUCGACACCUGUCAAUUUUUGGCGCCGUUGCCGGGGAACGGUGUUUUGGUUAAUUUUGUUUCUUUCUAAGUUAUUUUCUUUGGAUUUGUCUGACAUUUUCUAGUUUAUGCCUCGUUCUUCUCGUACAGGCGAAUUGAUUUUCGAUCCAGAAGUAGAGAAGACUACGCGCCGAACUAAAAAAGAGACUAGACAGCUCAGGGAGGAGCAAUCUAGCAUUGCAUCUCAGGGACUUGAUCCUGAGGUCGAAUCAACAGAUUCAAGUGGUGAUAAUUCAAGUGAUUCAGGCCAAGAGGAUAUCCGUAUGGCAAACGCAAGAACACUAAGGGAGUUGGCUGCUCCGGAAUUGCCCCAGCAGCCUUUGUGCAUCACGUUUCCAAGUCUAGCGGAAAAUACCUCAUUCGAGUUGAAGUCAGGAUUGAUUCACCUCUUACCCUCAUUCUAUGGCAUUUCGGGGGAGGAACCCCAUAAACACAUCCUGAAGUUCGAUUUGGUAUGCUCCAGUAUGAAACCUCCAGGAAUUACUAAGGAGCAGAUUAAACUUAGAGCUUUCCCUUUCUUCCUCGAGGACGCAGCUAAGGAUUGGUUAUACUACCUACCUGCAGGUAGUAUCACAACAUGGGCUCAACUGAAGAAGAAAUUUUUGGAAAAAUUCUUCCCUGCAUCCCGGGCUGCAAGUUUGAGAAAAAAAAUUUGCAGCAUUAAGCAGUACCCUGGAGAAUCCCUAUAUGACUAUUGGGAGAGGUUCAAUAAAUUGUGUAUUAGAUGCCCACAGCAUCAAAUUAGUGAACAACUAUUGAUCCAAUACUUUUAUGAGGGACCUCAGUCGUCCGAUAGGAGUAUCAUUGAUGCUGCAAGCGGGGGAGCACUGGCAAAUAAGACCCCGAGGGAAGCAUGGCUGCUCAUUGAAGUUAUGGCAGAGAAUUCUCAACAGUUUGGCUUCCGUGAGAGUAACCCUACCCGCAGGGUUAAUGAGGUGGAGACGACAUCUAUUCAGCAGCAGUUGUCGGAGUUAACAUCUUUUGUUCGACAAUUAGCUGUGGGGAAUGUGCACCAAGUAAAAGCCUGUGGAAUUUGCACAAAUGUGGGCCACGCCACUGACUCAUGCCCUAUGUUGUAAGAGGAUGGGUUGAACAAGUGAACAUGACUGGAGGCGUGUCCACGCCUCGUAGGCAGUACGAUCCAUACUUCAAUACGUACAAUCCGAGUUGGAGAGACCACCCCAAUUUCAGCUAUGGUAAUAGGCCGCAGAAUUCAUUCUCCAAUUGUCUACCAGGAUUUCAGCAACCUUGGCAACAAAAGUCUCAACUCUCGUCCUCCAACUCAGGAAGUUCCUUGGAGGAAAUUGUCAAGAGUUUGGCUACGACUACCACUCAACUCCAGCAAGAGACUAGGGCCCUGGUUGCAAACACUACUCAGUUCCAGCAGGACACCAGAGCAGGCAUGAAAGACAUGGAGAUUUGAAUGAAUCAAAUGAUAACUACCAUUAAUCGCCUGGAGUCCCACAUUUAUGAGAAAUUGCCAUCACAACCCGAGGCAAAUCCCAAAAAUGUAAUUGCCAUGACAUUAAGGAGUGACAAAGAGGUGGAGGGAUCUAAGUUAACGAUUUCGAAAAGCAAAAGUGAGGAGGAGAUAGAAAACGGAAUUGAAGAGAAAGGGCGCAUUCGCGAAGAGCCUAAGGUAACAUCUAUUCCUUCUAUCCCUAUUAAAUCUAAUCUAGCUCCUUUUCCUUGCAGGUUAGAAAAGACAAAGAGGGCAGAAAAGGAAAAAGAAAUCCUGGAUGUAUUCAGCAAAAUUCAAGUAAACAUCCCCCUAUUGGAUGCGAUCAAACAGGUACCCAAGUACGUAAAAUUCUUGAAAAACUUGUGCGUUAACAAAAGAAAGCUAAGGGGUGAUGAAAGAGUGAUGAUAGGAGAGAAUGUAUCAGCUGUACUUCAAAGAAAACUCCCACCCAAAUGCGGGGAUCCAAGUAUGUUUACUAUUCCCUGUAAGAUUGGCCAUUCUAGUAUCAAAAAUGUCAUGAUAGAUUUAGGGAUUUUUAUUAAUGUGAUGCCUAAGUCAAUCUAUGAUUCCCUAAAUUUAAAAUCUUUAAAAGAAACGGGAAUAAUAAUUCAAUUGGCUGAUCGUACAUGUGCUUAUCCGGAUGGGAUAGUUGAAGAUGUUUUAGUCCAAGUAGAUGGAUUAAUUUUUUCCUGCUGAUUUUUAUGUGCUUUACAUGGAUGAUAGAAGUGCUCCAAAUCCAUUACCGAUUAUAUUAGGAAGACCAUUCUUGAGUACUGUCCAGACUAAAAUUGAUGUUAGUAAGGCUACUCUCACGAUGAAAUUUGAUGGAGAAAUAGUCCACUUUAAUAUUUUUGAUACAAUGAAACAUCCUAUUAACUCUCACUCUGUGUUUGCUAUUCAUGCUACUGAUCCCUCUGUGUAAGAAUUUUCUGAGUUUACUUGUAGGAGUAAAUUCAAAAUUGCUGCGAACAAGUAUCAUGGAAUGAAAGCAAUUUAUGAGGUGAAAAUGGGUAGAAAAUUAAGAAAAAAAUGUUGCAUUCAAUGGCUAUUUGGAUCCCGGAGGAGGGCCACAGAUUAGAAGAAAAAUUGAAUUACAUCCAAACUGAAGAGCGGUGUACAGUGUCUAGUCAAAAACAUUAAAGAAAGGCGCUACUUGGAAGGCAAUCCAAGGAUUUCAAUUGUGUUUUAUUUCAUAUUUGUGUGUUCAAGAUCAGUGAGUUUAGAUUCCUAUUGACAAACAAUCUUUAUUGUAGGUCAUGAGUGUUUCUGUGUAGUUUUAUUCUAGGUUGGGGGCAAAAAUUUGUGGGCAGAAGACUUCGACCUCCAAGGCGUGCCCACGCCUGCCAACCUUUGCAACAAUGAAAGUCAAAAAAAAAAAAUUGAUUGACCAGGACCUUCUCUAACCCCACUUUUCUACUUUUCUCUUUUCUUGUCUUGUCUGGUCUUUUUAAUUUCCUCUGUCUUAGUUUCUACUUUUCAAUUUCCUUUGUUUUGUCUUAGUUUCAGUUUCUUCGUUUCCUCUUUUCUUGUUAGUCCGCCGCGCAUAGCGCGUCGCCGUGGCGUGCUCCUUUUACCAUGCUCCUCCUGCUGGGGAUUCUCAAUACCGUGCCCUCCAAGAUUCUAUCAGUGAAAUAGGUGAGCGAGUUGAGGGACUAGAGGACCGUCUUAGAGCGUUACGGGUUUUUUUCCGUAUUCAGAUGGAGAAUCAGGCAACUUUCUUUGCUCAUAUUGGAUUUCUACCGCCUCAUCCUCCUCCUCCUUAGUGUCUCGUUGCACCAUCUCGGUAGUCAGGGAAGUUUCGCCCCCUUUAUCCUUACACUUUAUUUAUUUUUGCUACAUUGAGCACAAUAUAGGUUUUAGGUGUGGGGGGAUGGUUUCUAUUAUUUCUUUUUGUUUCUAUUAUUUCUUUUUGCUUGAAAAAGAGAAAAAAAAUGAAAAACAAAAAAAUAUUUCAAAAAAAAAAAGUGCAGUUAGUUGCCUUUCUUUUUAUUUCUACAGUUGUUAACUGUUAGAGCAUGUUGCUAUGAUGGAUUGCACAAUCAGGGUGCACGGGUAUGUGGUCAUAUAUGCUAGCCAUGCAUUUUGGUUUUCUUUGGCAAUAUCGGUGAAUGUUGAACAUGCUGGACUUGACCCAUUCUUGAAACUUUUGGGAGCUUUUGAGCCAUGUACGAGCACGUUAUUCUUGUUUGCUUCGUUUGUGUUAUUGAGUGGGUAUCACACAUGGCAUUGGCAUUCUAGAACUUGCUAUUUUAUACAUGUCGAGGCCACAUUUUGUUGAACUAGAUGCAUCUGAAAUGAUAAGGGCAUUUAGGAUCUAACAUUCUUUAACUUUCUACAAACCAUGCCUUCAUCUUGUCUCCUCGUAAUGAACCUAUUUGAGCUUUUAUCCUUCGCUAUUGUUUGAUUAACCGUAUUUGAUAACCCAUGACCUUUUUAGACUUUUUUGUUUAACCUUGUGCCGUCAAGAGAUGUCUGAAUUCCGUUGUUUGUGCAAGGCAAAUGAAUCUAAGGUGGCAAGUGUUGUCGGAAUAGAAGUUGUAUGGUGCUCUGUGCAUCUGAGAUAAAAAAAAAAGGGGAAGGGGGAGAAGUCGGCAAUGAGCUGGUGGGCAGAAGACUCCAGCCUGCAAGGCGUGCCCACGCCUUGCAAGACAUUUGCUCCAUUAAAAAAAAAAGAAAAAAAAAGAUUGUCAGCAGAAGACUCCGGCCUACAAGGCGUGCCCACGUCUUGCGAGCCGCUUGUUCAAAAAAAAAUUAAAAGAAAAAAGAAAAAAAAAAGAUAAAAGGGGAAGAGUUUCGGCACUUGCACAGUGGAAAUGGCAAAUGAAAAUGCCUUGCUCGUGAAAUUUCUCUGAUGAAGCGUUGUGGUGAUGUGGUGGAUAUUAGGCAUUCUCUUGAUACACUACACCUUAUUUUUACCUUUUUAUCCCGCCUUUUACCUAAACCCCAUUACAACCUUAUUAAAGUCCCUUUGAUUUGUGUAUUUAGUUCACUUGCGAGUGGUGGAGAUGUGAUAAAUGUGCAAGCCUAUGGUAAUGCCAUUCCGUGAUGUUGAUUUGAGCAUUCCUAGUAUUCAUAUAUUUUCUUUGAAUUACCACUUGUCCGGUGUGCUCUAAUUUUGGAAACAUUGUCAGGGAUCUGAGAUGUUUGUGUUAGUACAAAUUACUACAUGACCUUUGCUCUCUUGGUUGUACUUUUGAGCUCCGAAAUGCUUGAGGGCAAGCAUUGUUUAGGUGUGGGGGGAUUUGAUAGAGCAAUUAUUGGGCACAUUUUGCACUGUUAUUUUGUCAUAAUUUUGGCUAUUUACUGUGCUAAGUAUUGAGAUUUUGCUAAUAUUUCAUAUUUGUAUGAAUUUAUAGGUGGUUGGCGUAAAAAGUGUUUUCGCGAGGCAAAUUUCCAGAAGACUCUCUAUUUCAUGACUUGCCCACGCCAGAAACUAAAGAGUUACACCUAAAAGCCGGACCCGCGAGAUUGGUUGCAGCGCAAAGUGGGCAAUUAGGAGGUUGGGUCCACGUGGACCGGACGCAUGGGAUUAAAAUCCCAAAAAAGCAAAGCUUUGCAGAGGACCCUUUGUGGAUUGCUCCUGGCGGCUGCAAAAGGCCAAAAACCAAAAGAAAGCCAGAUUCACGUUUUAAUUGAUAGAUUAGCCUUUAGCUUUUGCUUUUUAGGGUCAGACGUCUUCUUUUUCUUGGGACUUUUCGCACUAGCUUUAGACAAUUAGGGAGUAGCUUUCGUUUGUGAACCCUGGAAGACGAAUUGAAGUCUGCCGUCUUUGUUUCGUUUAUCUCAGACGCCUGUCGUGAGACCGGGGCUUUUACCUUUUGCUUUGGUACAAACACGAAACAAAGUGAAGCUAGAGUUUUUCUUCGGGUCCGUUGUUAUUCCGUCUCUCCCAGAUUAUUGGUAAAUAAUUGGAUGUUAUCAAUUAAAUCACGGGAGAGUGAUAUGAUGAGGAGCGGCUAGUUUUCUCCUCUACCCAAAGGUCGACGCGAGGGCGCGGUCCAUAACAUCUGUGAGAUCUAAUCGAAUUUUCAUUAUUUCUUUCAAUUCAUUACUAUUCAUGUGUUUCCUAGAUUAAUUGCUCAUGGGUAUUUUAUUAAUUGAGUAUCAACGGCCGGAUAUUUAAUUUAAUAUAAUAGCCUACUGCCACGUUAAUUAAAUUGAAUCCGUAAUUGUUCGUUUAGUUGACAACUAGUGGGAACCAUCAUAAUUGAUUUUAUGUUGGGGAAACGUAAGAUCUGGCUUAAAUAAACCCUCUUAGCGUGUUUAUUGGUUAGGGUUGGGUUCUUCUAGUUUUAAUGAAACUGGAUAAUUAAAUUCCUACGGUUGUAACUAGGAUUAUUUUCUGGUUAGAGAAGCAGUCAAUGGUCGUACCUUGACUGUCGAAAAAGUAAGGAAGAACUGGUUGUUAGAGCUUGUUGAUAACUAUAACCAAUCUAGUGACUGAUGAAUGAAAUAUCUUUGCAUCGAUGAUCAUUUAAUUGGACCGUGCCUGAAAAGUUGAUCAUUUGGAUAGAAUUUUAUUAAUUGCUAUUUUUACUAAAUUGAACUUGUUGAGUUAGCUCUUGAAUUUUAUUUAUUUCAUUUUUAUUUUUAUCCCAUUAAUUAUCCCCCUAUUUUAUUUUAUUAACUUGGAAAGAAACAAGUUCCUACCCGUUCUCUGUGGAAUCGACCCUACUUGCCAUUGUAUGCAAAUUUAAUAUUUUUAUAGACAAUUAUGAUAUAUCGGAUCAAGCAAACUCUUCGGGAACAGGGUGAAUCAAGUAACCCAUUGCACACCUAGGGUCCCUUCUCCAGUACUCGGAUUUAUUAUAUAAUUAAUUGUGGUGGUAAUUAGGGCUUUUUAGUAAUUAUUAUUGCACAGGCUUGACACCUGUCAAUUUUUGUGUUUUGCACGUGAACAUGAUGCUUUUAUAUUUUUUUCCCUUAAAAAUUUUUAGAAAAUCAAUUAUUUUGAAGGAAUAAAUGUAAUUGAGACAAAAAAAAUAUGACAUUUUAUAUUUAUAUUGCUUUAUAUUUUUCUGAACUUAGUUUUCCCUAACUAAACAUAAAUGCACAAGUAAUAAAUCACUCUUUGUUUUAAGAGCACUUUUAUUUUGUAACAGUAUGAAUAUUUUUGUCUUUUGGUUAAAUUUAGAUGACCUAAAUGUUCUUUUUUAUGCCAUCUAAGUUUACAUUUUUAAUUUUUUGAAUAAUUUAUUGCUCCCUUUAAGUUAUUCUAUGAAUUGUUUAUUAGUUUUGGUGAGAUUUUCUAAUAAUUAUUAUUUUUUGCUAAUGGUGGAUUGUAAAAUGAUCUAUAGUGCUACUAUAAUUAUAGUAGUAUUUAAAUAUAUUGAAAUUCCAUUGUUUGAAUUUAAAUAGCUUAACUUUAGAGAGAAAUAUUUUGAUUUGGUGAAACCUAUUUGUAUUUCUCACUGAUGACAUGCUUUAUGAAUAUAGAGUUUCUAUGAUUAAAAAUUGUAAGACAUUAAGACUAUUUAUUAUAUAAUAGUUAAAUUGAACUCGGAUAUAUUUUUAUUCACCUUUGAAAUACUCCUUGAAAUUGAUAUUUUAUAUAAAAAAAAAAUUUGGAUUAAUUCACCAUAACUCAAAGGGAUGUUUUAGCUGUGUAAUUAUUAUUAUGAUUAGCAUUGAUGAAUAUAAUAUUCAUUAAUUGUGGUUUAAUAUAUUAGUUGUUACAAGAAUAUGAUUGCUAAAGUCCAUUAAAUCUAAUCUUUAUUGCAAUUUAAAUAAAUAAAUUCCUAACACAAAACUCUUUGCCUACCUUGGCACUCCAUUUCCUAUUUUAUUUUGUAUUAAAAUUUUUUACUCAAUAGUAAUAUAUGCAUAUUAAAAAGAUACUCUUAAGACUUAAUUAACUUGUAUCCAAAAAAUUAAAAAAAAACAUGGUACUUUUUAAGAGACUCAUAGUACCAAUUUAUUAUGUUUUGUUUCAUGUUUGAAGCACUCUAACUUAGAUUUUGUAAAUAAAAUUUGUUGUUCUUUCUUUUGUAAAUAAAAAGUAAGGAAUCUUUCAUAUUCGUAACUGCUAGCCUAUUUGAUAUUAUUUAUUAAUGAUGAAAUACAAUGCAAUUUAUCCAUUUAUUAGAGAGGAGUGUAAUUUUGGUAUCAAAAAAAUUAAUAUCAUUUUUGUUACAUUAUUGACCACUAAAAUUCACCAUAUUUUUUUAAAAUUUAUAAAUAAAAUUUAUUCUUCUUUUUUUCUUUAAUUCACUAUAACUCAAAUUCUAAUUGUUCAAAUUAUUUUCUAAUGCUUCAAUUUUUAUUCUAAUUACUCAUAUUAUUGAAGCAAUUGGUAACAUUUUGUUCAUUUCAUUAAUAUCAUAACCGAAAUAAAAUGACUGUAAUUAUUAGACAAAAGGGUACUUUGGUCACAGCAAAAACUAAGACCAACAAAAAAAUGCUUACACUUUAGAUUGUUUACACUCUAUUUGCCUAAACUAUCCAUUGUUUUAUUGGGAUUAUAGAUACAGAUAGAUAGAUAGAUUAGUUUGCUAGUUUGCCAAGGUAUUAAAAGGCAUCAAUAGCACCUAUCGCAACAGAUUUAUGUCAUCAAUUGGACAAGGUAUUGAGCUUUGUAGGGGUGGCAAUUCCCGAUGCAACCUGAAAACACGACACGAAUCUAAUACGAAAUUAAUGAAUUUGGGUUUAGAUUUUGAGGAUUCGGGUCAAACCCGAUAAACCCAGAAAAAAAGGUCAAAAUCGAGUCCAAAUCAGAUUGACCGCUAACCCGUUUCUGAAAUAAAAAUAAAUAAAUAAAUAUUAAAGACUUAUCUAAAGACUAAAUAGUAAAUACCACUACACAUCAAAACAACAAUUCACACACUUGACUUGGUCGGCCAUAUUAAUUUGUCUAGCUUGUAGGUGGACUGUUUAAGCAGCAUCCAAGGAACAAAUUUUGAAAAGUUGCCUCAAAUAGUCAAAUGUUGUCACCUGAUCCUCACUCGAAGCCAAAAUCUUUCUUCCUCCUAAUAGUUCACUACUUCACCUAACCUAAAUCUUUCUUCCCCUUUUCUUCUAAACGGUAAAAUCGGAAAGGGCAGCCUUGCCCUUCACCAGUUCACCUCACGGUCCUCACCUCAUCACCUAUCAGUAGCAGACGAUGGUUAGAAGCAAGCAACGGCUUUUCUUCCCUAAGGUCUGAGCAGCAAGCAAUUCCUAAUCUAGAUCGAUUAUUGAAGAAGCGAAAAAGUUAUGCAGAAUUGGAUGCAACCUGUCUUGGUUCAUGGUAUUCAUUUUGAAAUUUAUAUAAUCACAAUUAAAACACAAGUAGAAUUUGGACAUCCGUUAGGACUUAGGAGGCACUCUAUGAGUUACUUAUAAACUCUUUCUUAUCAAGUUUAAUAAUCAUUGCAUUCUGCAUUCGUGUGGCUUCUGGAAUAUAGGUUAUUAGACAGCAUCAUUAUGAAUGCUGUUGUUGCUGGUGAUGAGGGCCGAAGCAUUGGUUGGCCUUGGAGCACCACUUUUGUUGUGAUUUAAUAUCAUGUGAAUUGUAAUAUAUUGACUCUAAACUUGUAUUUGAUUGGCAACCUUUUGUUUAGAUUGUUCUAACUGAAUUUGUUUGACUUGUAUAAAGUUGGAGUUAUUAGAUUUGGAUUGAUGAUGUAUUACAUUAUUUCUACUCUUAUGGUGUCUUUUUUUAGUUUGGAAUUGAUUCUGUUAAAAAACACAGCCGAUUAAUCAAUAAAAUUAAAUUAAAUUUCGGAUCAUUUCGGAUCAGCCCGGUUGAUCCGUCAAUCCAGAUAUUUCGGGUUCAAGUCAGAUAUUCUGACCCGUUUCGAGUUGACGGGUCAAAUUUGAGUCAACGAGUUUUUGGUUUUAUUCGGGUCUCAAUCCGACCCGUCACCCAAGAGCUUUGCACGCUAUUAAUGGUUUGACCAAGUGUGUCUCCAUGUUUCAAAUACUAUUUGGUUAGUUAUUAGAAUGAUGCAUCCCAAACUUCUUUUGCAACUAAUGUUGAUAGCCAAAAAGCCAAAAUCGGGCCUUAUCGGGGGCUGCAGUGAUUAAAGAAAAUAAUUUGUCGACGAGUACUUUUUCCAUCCUAAUGUCGCCGCAGACAAUGUGAAUGCAAUAGUACUGUCCUCUAAACCUUUACCAACAGUUAAAAUCCACACAAUUUGUCUGAUCAAAAUUGUAUAUUUGUAAAAAUUAUAGCACUCCAAGAAACGAUACUGACAGGUUGUCAGCCUGUGCAAUAAUAAAACCUGCUCAAACUAAAAGUAAUUUCUGUAGAUAGCGGUAAGCAGGGUCGAAUCCACAGGGACUGGGAGUAAUUGUUUCAUUUCAAAUUCACAGUGACAAAUGGGGGUGUUUUUGUGUAGAAGGUGACACUCAAAGAAAUUCAAAUAAAAUCUAAGAAACUACUAAAAAUUAAAUAACAAAAUAUUAAAAUCAAAUGAGUAAUAAUUAAAGAUCUAGCCAAGAAAUAACUUCAGCAAUGGUUCACCUAAUUGAUCAUCGAUGCAAAGCCAAUUCCAAUUAUUUAUCAAUAAAUAGGUUAUAACUACCAAACAAGCGAUGACAGUCAACCCCUCCUUACUGUGUCGGUGAUCAAGGUACGCCCGUUAAUCACUGCUCUAAUUGAGAAAUAAUCCUAGGUACGCCCAUAGGAUUUAAUUCCCCAAUUGCCUUACGUAUUAGAGGAGCCCUAUUCUAACCAAUAACGCACUACCAGGGUUAUUUUAGAUUAACCCGCGUAUUCCCCUGACACAAACCUAAUCAUGCCAGUUGUCACUAUUUUAGAGCAAUUAAACAAUUACGGAUUUAAUGCCCUAAUUGACAAUAGAUUACUAAAUCAAUUAAUUAUCCGGAUCUAAGACAACCAAUUAAUUGAACAAUCAUAAGCACUGCAAUCAAGGAAUAUGCGAAUACCAAUAAUUCAAAGGGAAAGAUUAAAUUAAAUCGAUCUCACAAUUUUUAGGUAACCCAAAGCAUCCGUCGUUUCUUGACUAGAGUGAGGGGAUUAGCUCAUAUUGGAUGAACUACGCCCGCGGGAAAUUUCAGCAGAAGUCACGACCAUUGUCUGCGUUUCAGGAAGUUGCAAUUCGUCGAACAGAAAGAACGCAAAUGAAAGUCUCAAGCAGCAAUUGAAUCUAUUUAUUAUUCCCAGCAUCCGUAUAGCAAAACCACUCCAGCAGUACAAGGAGGAAAAGUCAAAGCUAAAAGAAAAAGUUGCUUCCUCCUCACAUGCGUGGAGAAAAGCCAAAGGAAAACUUAACAAGAAAAGUCCAAGUCAAGAAGAGUCAAAACAUUUCUGCUAAGCUACAGCCGAGAAAGCUAAGAAAAAACUCGCCGCCCAACUUCCUUCUUUUUACUCCUUUUAAUUGCGGCGCCCCUCAGCAGAACCAAGCCCUCCCAGGUGUCCUUCCCUCGCGGAAUUUACCAAAAUGGGCGUGAUAUCUUCAUUUCCAAAAAUACCCGUUGGACAAGCUCUAUCAUCUGCAUCCCUUUUCUGUCAAAUUGGUACCUGUUAUCAUAUUUUCGUUCUACUCCCUGAAAUAAAUGCAAUUUACGAAAAGUGAGUAGAAUCUACUAAUUAAUCCACAUCCGGUCAGAUAAUAGGGGAAAUUAAUAAUAAAAUAAGUAAUAGAAUUGCUACCUAUCAAUUCCCCCCACACCUAAAUCAUGCUUGCCCUCAAGCAUAAGAAAAGGGUACAGACACCAAAAUUUGAUGACGGUCAUUGCUCUAUCUACCAAAUUGCCAAGAUAUCCAGAAAAAUCAUAUAUCGAGCACUAGUGAUUAAAAUCCAAGAAGCAUCCCUCCCGGUUAGCCCCUAGACUGCAAAUUCCUUCAAUUUCCAGGUUAACUACUCUAAGAAAAGGGAAUGGCACACAACAUUUAUCAGCUAAUGGUCCAAAUAUUCACACAAGUCUCCAUAUUAAGUCCAUAAAUCGGCAAGCCUUCCCAUUAUUUAUUCUCUCUUUUUUUUCAUUUUUUUUCUUUCGUUCCCUGUGUUUUUCUCUUUUUUUGUUUUGUUUUUUUUAAAGCAAUAAUAAUUAACACAAAAAGACUUAGUCUUUAGCCGUCGGGGCCUUUUGACGCGAACUCCAACAUUUUUAGAUGAAGGAGCCCGGUUACUCAGCUCCUACCGCUAUACGACCACGUACUCAUAGAAAGCACCACCUUUUGACGCGAGAAUCGACACUUUUAGGUGCAGAUUCCCGGUUACUCAGUAGUAACUUAAUAGCGGAGUACAGUCAAGCUUAUUCACAGCCAAACAAUGCACAAACGCAAAAUAACAACACUAACAACUAAGCAUAGGAGCAGCUCGCCUCAUUAUUGCCAAACAUGGAGAACUGGAGUCAAUAUUGGACCAGUUCACAUUAAAAACACCAACAAUCAUUCCCUAUGCCUAGAAAAGUUAACAAAGAAAUCAAAAGAGUCAAGCAGUCCGAUAUUCACCAAGGAGAUGUCUUGGACCCAACCACAUUAACCCGAUACAUACUUAUUUUAAAAACUUGGCAAAAGUAGAAUUAGAGUCAAUAAGCCAACAUCCAAAAAUUUUGUCCUCUUUUCGUUUUCUGUUUUUUUUUUCUCUUUUUUUUUUGUUUUUGUUUCUCUUUUUUUCAUUCGCAGGAGAGAUAAGCACCAAGAAGAAAGAAAGAAAAUGAGCAACUAGAAAUAAAACUAAAAACUAAAGAAAACUAAAAACACUAGCACCCUUUUAGAUCCCCCCACACCUAUAGGACACAUUGUCCUCAAUGUGACAAAUAACCAACAAAAGUGGGUGAGAGGACAGCAACACUUCCCUGAAAUCCGGUCAAAGAGGUGGGCGAGGCGGAGCUGGAGGAGGAAAGCCCGUAUGAUGCAGAAAUUGCGCCAAAUUCUGUGCUAUGCCAGCUACAUUGAGGUCGACGUUGAGCAUUCGAGCCUCCAAAUUCUGAACCUGCUCUCGGAGUUGCUGCCAUUCAUUGGUCCCAGGUGGUGGAGGUGGCGCAGAAGCAGAGGUAGAUGGCCCAGCAGUGUCCUCGGCCGACCCAGGGAAUGAAGAGUGCCCCGCCUGUGUUGAAGGCCGCGUACCCGGAGCUCGAACUAGGCCCGGAGGGGUAAACUGGUGGAAACCAUUGGGCAGGCGCUCGACGACUCCCAUUUUCUCUAAGCAGUCCACGUCCAGGAGCUCCAUCUCGAAAGCCAAAUGUAAGUCGUGGUCCUCCAGAAUAAGAACUCCCAACUGCGUCGCCAAGUGGGUAAUGUAGGACCCAAGAAUCAGAGGUUUGUUCUUCUUGGUCAAAACAGUCUUGAACUGUGCAGCCAACCAACACCCCAAGUUGACCUUGAUAUUGUUCUUCAUACUCCAGAGGAAGAAAAACUCAGGUCGAGAGAGUAUACCAGAGCUGUCCUUGCGCCCUGAGUAGCUGUAGGCUAAGAAUCGCUGAACGUAUCGGGCACCAGGAUCUUUAAGAAAGGAGCUCCUAGACCUAGAAGGGUCGUAGCGGUGCCGAUCGACUGACAUUUCCUCCCACACAUCAUGGUAGUGGGAGAGUAAUGGCUCUAUGUAAUCACAGGCACUCCCCGCAUACUCCCUAGUUUCAGCAUACUCUCUCGUGAUAAAUCCAAAUGCCAGAUUGAACUGGGUAAUGGAGAAGUUGAACUCCCUACCCAUUAGACGGGAAUGAAUGACAUUUGGUGUAUCAACGGUGUAUCUCGUAGGCAACUCGAACUCAAAGGUGGAGUAAAACUCCCGAAUCAGCUCAACAAAAGCAGGGCAGGAGAUAUCAAGAUACGGGCACCACCCAAUGGAGGUAAACAUCUGAUUGACCUCCUCCCGUAUACCCAGGGCAGUCAUAGUGAUUUUGUGACAAGAUUUGCAGGGUAUAAUACGCCUCUCACAGACCUUAGCGUAUCUCUGCCGAUCGGCGGGUCUGGUAAACGUUAAGUGCCCCCCAAAGUGAGCAGGGGUAUCUACCUGAGCACCCCUACCCCUACCCAAACGGGUUCGAACACUAGAAGAGGAGGGUCGGUUGGUAGGUGAGUUGACAGGAAUAGAGGUUGGUAGGUGAGUUGACAGGAAUAGAGGCUUGUGGAGGGGGUUGAGACUGAGAGGUCCUAGACCUAGAGGAGGAUUUUGGUCUCACCAUUUCACCCACAGUCAACUGGAACAACAAGAUACAGAAUUUCCCACGCCCAGUGCAACCAGCAAUUACCGAUGGAAUCAACCAGCAAAUGGACAACAGAGCUACCCACAAAUUUAUACCAAUUUACCAACAAAGCAACAAUGGUACUCAAUAACCACAGGAUGCCCAACUAUUAACCACAACUAGCAACUGGCAAAGGUUAUUUAAUAAGCAAGGAGAUUAUCCAAGUCACUCAGUAAUCAAGCAAACGUUGUCCAUCCAAAAAUUCCAACAAGCAGCCCAAUUAGUGAAACAGCUAUAAAAGAUCAGAACAGAUGCUACCUAUGGCCCCCAAUCCAGCAGUCACAGCAGAGUAUACAAUUCCAAACUUACAAAGUAAGUCAAGCGACACAGGAUUUCAGCUCAAUAUGCAAUAUUCGAAGUAACUGAAGCAAAAACCCCACAAAACCUCAACAAUUCCUCCAGCAAAGCAAGCAAAAUAGACCUUAACAGGGUAACAUACGGCUGCAGUAUUUAAGCUCACCCCAAAAUUUCAACAAGUGGCUCCAGAUGGCCAGUUAAUUGCACAAUUACAGCCAACCCACAGGAAUGAGCAAUUCUAAGCAAAAACAAUCUAACAAGUACCACUGGUGAAAAUCGCACACGGCCAAAAUACCAACUCUUGACGAACCCAGAUAGCAUUAAUCAAUUUAGGAGAAAUUGGGGAGCAAGCUUCAAAUACCUCCGCCAAUAUCUUGGCAGUCGGCGGACAGGGCAGACGGGUCAAAGCUCCACGCAAGUGAAGUGCUCGCCGCUGGUUGGGUCGCCUUGCGCAGGAGAGCUGUCUGGCAGCGAUUGCGGCGGCAGUCCAAGGGCUGGCUGUCGCGUGCGGCUGUGGUGGCGUCUGAAGUGGGUGUGCGCGGCUGGGCAAGGGAAAACCAGACAGCGGCGGCGUGGGAAGCUGUCUGUCGCGGGCAUGCGCGCGAGCUAGUGGCGCUCGGCUGUGGGCAAGAGGCCGCGACGCUGGAGAGAGGGCUGGUGGGUCGGCGGCGCAGGCUGGUGACGACUGGUGGAGCUCGAUGCGAGGGGGACAGUAGCGGCGGAGCGCGCGAUUGGGGCGCGCGAUGGGAGAGGGAAUUUUAGCCGUAGAGCAGAUCUGGUGGUGGAGGAGGUGCGCCAGUGAGCGGCGGACAGGGGGUCUUCGGUCGACAGAGAAGAAAAAGAAACAGGGGAGAAGAAAGAAAGAAAAGAGAAAGAAGAAGAAAGAAAGAAAGAAAAAGAAAGAAAAGAAAAGAAGGAAAAAAAAACAGAAAUUGUUUUGUUUCUUUUUUCUCUUCUCCAGGCUCCAUUUAAGCCAUGGUGAUGAUGAUUUUUUUUUUUUUUUUGAAAAUUAUUUCAUUAUCAGUAUAUAACUAGUAUAUAUAUAUAUAUAUUAUUUUUCUUUUUUUUUUUCUUUUGUUCAACUUUUUUUUUUUUAAAUCCUUACCUUUCCCGCGAACGUGACGCGGGCACGUCAAGAGAGCAAGAGAGCUCCCAGAAGUUUCUGAUCGUGAGCUUCCUGCACGUCACCACGCGGGCGCGUCAUGACUGAAGGGCACCUAUAAAUCAGCAAAAACGAAAACUGAAACCCAAGAUCAGUCGAAUUCAAGGAGAAAACAUCUAAACUACCACACGAAAAUGAACAAACAAUUAAAAGGAACAAUUGGGUUGCCUCCCAAGGAGCGCCUUUCUUUAAUGUCUUUUGGCUAGACAUGGUAAAGUGUCACUGAUUAAGACACGGUGGUGCGUCUAGAUGUACUGUCUCCACUUCUCCACCUGAAAAACUUUCGUAAUAGUGUUUGAGACGGUGUCCAUUCACCACAAACUUGUUGUCUGUCUUAGCACUUCGGAUUUCGACUGCACCAUAUGGAAAAACGUGAGUAACAAUAAAAGGUCCAAUCCAACGGGAACGUAGCUUACCUGGGAAUAGCUUGAGCCUUGAUUGGUAUAGGAGGACCUUCUGACCAACUUCAAAUGUUUUUCUUGAAAUUUGUUGGUCAUGAAAUGUCCGGCUUCUCUCCUUAUAAAUUAAUGCAUUUUCGUAGGUUUCGUUCCGGAUCUCCUCUAAUUCCUGCAAAUCUAACUUCCGUUGGGCACCGGCCUCCUCUAAAUUCAUGUUGCAUUGCUUAAUCGCCCAAAAAGCCUUGUGCUCAAACUCCACUGGAAGGUGACACGGCUUCCCAAAUACUAACCUGUACGGCGACAUCCCUAUAGGAGUCUUAUAUGCCGUUCGAUAGGCCCAGAGUGCGUCCUCCAACCUUUGACUCCAGUCUUUCCUAUCGGGGCGCACCAUUUUCUCCAAAAUGGAUUUAAUCUCCCGAUUCGAUACUUCCGCUUGACCAUUAGUCUGCAGGUGGUACGACGUCGAGACCCUGUGGAGUACACCAUACUUGCGAAACAACGCAGCAAUGGUUUUGUUGCAGAAGUGCGUUCCCCUAUCACUGACAAUAGCUCUUGGCAUUCCAAAUCGCACAAAAAUAUUAGCCCUGAUAAAAUCUGCAACUACUUUCGAGUCAUUAGUCCUAGUGGCCUUAGCCUCCACCCAUUUAGAUACAUAAUCAACUGCCAGCAAAAUAUAUAUAAAAUCAAAAGAAGUAGGAAAAGGCCCCAUGAAAUCUAUACCCCAAACAUCAAAAAUUUCAACAAAAAUCAACGGGACUUGGGGCAUUUGAUCUCUACGGGCUAUAUUACCUACCCUUUAACAGCGAUCACAUGACUUACAGAACACAUAGGCAUCCCUAAACAAUGAAGGCCAAUAAAAUUCACUUUCUAAAAUCUUGUGAGCAGUUCUCUUGGAUCCAAAAUGACCUCCACAGGCAAAAGUAUGAUAGAAAGCUAAAAUCGAUUGAAAUUCCACUUCACUUACACAUCUCCGCAUCACUUGAUCUGCACAUCUCUUCCAUAGGUACGGGUCAUCCCAGAUAAAAUACUUGGCGUCGCUCUUCAAUUUAUCCCUCUUCGAUUUUGGCCAACCUGCAGGAAAAUUACCAGUUACCAAAUAAUUGACCAGAUCAGCAUACCAAGGCAAUUGAGAAUUUAAAGAAAAUAAAUGCUCUUCAGGGAAUGCAUCUUUCAACGGCUCGCUCUCCUCCCCAACUGGUAAGCGACUCAAAUGGUCUGCUACUAGAUUCUCUGAGCCUUUUUUAUCCCUUAUCUCUAAGUCAAAUUCCUGCAGUAGCAAUAUCCACCUGAUGAGCCUCGGUUUGGCAUCUUUCUUGGUCAUCAGGUACCUUAAUGCUGCAUGAUCAGAAAAUACAAUUACUUUAGCACCUAGCAAAUAUGACCUGAAUUUCUCUAAAGCAAAAAUUACUGCAAGAAGCUCCUUCUCAGUAGUGGAGUAAUUCAGUUGAGCUCCAUUCAGUGCUCGGGACGCAUAGUAGAUGACGUGAGCCGCCUUUCCUACUCUUUGCCCCAGUACAGCCCCAACAGCAUGAUCACUGGCAUCGCACAUGAUCUCAAAUGGCAAACUCCAAUCGGGGGGCUGGAUGAUUGGGGGUGAAGUCAACAGUUCCUUCAACUUGUCGAAGGCUCUCUCACACUUGUCAUCAAACUCGAAGGCUACAUCCUUUUGCAAGAGUUGGAACAACGGGGCCCCAAUUUUUGAAAAUUCCUUGAUGAACCUUCGAUAAAAACCUGCAUGUCCAAGAAAAGAACGCACCUCCCGCACAUUCACGGGGUAAGGCAAUGCAGAAAUAACGUCUAUUUUAGCCUUGUCAACCUCAAUGCCCUUAGACGAUACAAUAUGACCCAGGACUAUCCCGUGCUCAACCAUAAAAUGACAUUUUUCCCAAUUAAGCAUAAGAUUAAUCUCUAUACACCUUAUCAGGAUCAAUUUCAGGUUAUCUAGACAUGUAUCAAAACUAUCACCAUACACACUGAAAUCAUCCAUGAAAACUUCAAUUAUUUUCUCCACAUACUCAGAAAAAAUACUUACCAUACACCUCUGGAAUAUUGCAGGUGCAUUGUACAACCCGAAUGGCAUUCGUCUGUAGGCAAAGGUCCCGAACGGGCACGUGAAGGUUGUCUUCUCUUGAUCCUCUGGUGCAAUUGCUAUCUGAAAAUAUCCUGAAAAUCCAUCCAAAAAGCAAUAGUAAGCCCUACAAGCUAGACGUUCAACCAUCUGGUCAAUGAAAGGGAGAGGGAAGUGGUCCUUUUUAGUGACGACGUUUAGCCUACGGUAGUCUAUACAUUGCCUCUAUCCAGUGGGUUUGCGCACUGGCACGAGCUCACCCGUUUGGUUGGCCCCACCGUCACCCCUGCCUUCUUUGGGACUACCUGGACCGGGCUCACCCAAGGGCUAUCUGAUAUUGCAAAAAUAAUCCCCACAUCUAGCAAUUUCAGAAUUUCUUUCUUUACAACUUCCAUCAUGAGGGGAUUGAGUCUCCUUUGAGCCUGCCGUACAGGUUUGGCAUCCUCUUCUAGUCUAAUCCGGUGCAUACAGAUGGCCGGGCUGAUCCCCUUAAUGUCUGCGAUUGUCCAACCUAUCGCCUCUUUAUGCUCUCUAAGGACCCGGAUCAGUUUCUCCUCAUGGGUUUUUGACAGUGCCGAUGAGAUAAUCACCGGGAGUGUCUCAUUAUCACCCAGAUAUGCAUAUUUCAGGUGCUCUGGUAGAGUUUUCAACUCCAGUACAGGUGCCUGCAUCACAGAUGGCAAUACCCUCUGGUGAGGUUCGGGAGUAAAAAUAGGUAAGACUUCAUACCUUUUCGUGGUGGUCUGCAAUGAGUGUAAUGCACCUAUUGUGCAUUUUAGAUCCUCGCUCCACUCCACCUCAGGAGUUGUCUCCAACUCGAGGUUCUUUGUUAGAGCCACCUCUAACUCAUCCCUGCCAACAGUUUCAAACACUUCCUGCACUACAGGGUCAAUAGCACUCACAGAGAAAACUGAACUAAAGUUGGAGUUUGAGGGAUAUUUCAUAGUAUCAAAGAUAUUGAAAUGGACAAUUUCCCCAUCAAAUUCCAUGGACAAUGUACCCUUGUUAACAUCAAUUUUUGUCUGUACUGUACUCAUAAAGGGUCUACCUAAUAACAACGGUGAGAAAUCAGGGGAGUGAUCAUCAUCCAUAUCAAGUACAUAAAAAUCAGCUGGAAAUACCAAAUCAUUAACUUUUACCAACACAUCUUCAACCAACCCAUCAGGGUAUGCGUUAGUUCGGUCAGCUAAUUGAAUGAUUAUUCCAGUUUCUUUUAAUGGACCUAAUUUCAGAGAAGCAUAGAUAGAUUUAGGCAUGACAUUAAUUGAUGCUCCCAGAUCCAACAUGGCCCUUCUAAUCACAGUAUUACCUAUCCUACAGGGGAUAGUAAACAUACAUGGGUCCCCGCACUUGGGUGGAAGCUUUCUCUGCAGGACCGCUGACACAUUCUCCCCAACAAUGACCCUCUCAUCUCCCCUCAACCGCCUUCGGUUGACACACAAGUCCCUUAGGAAUUUGGCAUAUUUUGGUACUUGUUUGAUCGCGUCUAACAGGGGGAUAUUUAUCUCGACCUUGCGAAAAACCUCCAAAAUCUCCUUCUCCUUAUCCUGUUUCUUUGAUUUUUCCAACCUGCUAGGAAAAGGAGGCGGGUUAGUUUUAACUGUAAUUACUGGGUCUGGAAGUACCUUUGGGUCUGCACCACUGCUGUCCUCCCUCUCGAGCUCAUUUUCGAUCUUUUCCUCAUCUUUAUCCUUAGGCAUCACAGGUUCAAACCCCUGAAUUUCCUUGCCGCUCCUCAGGGUCAUGGCGCUCACAUUCUUCGGGUUCAACUCAGGUUGAGAUGGCAGCUUCCCUUGGUUCUGGGAAUCCAAACGGUUGAUUGUUGUGGCCAUUUGACUUAUCUGAUUCCCUAUGUCCUGCAUUUCGGAGUCAGUCCUUUGCUGAUUUUGCAUAAUGGUUGCCUCCGUCCUCUGCUGAUUUUGCGCCAUGGUUGUCAUCAUUUGUUUCAUCAUCUCCUCCAAAGAUGGACCAGAGCUUGGGGACAGAGGUGGUCGGGGUUGGUAUUGCUGCUGGUACCCUGGUGGCUUAUUUGGCACAAAGUUAGACUGCCUGUUCGGUGCGAAGUUGGGCUGCAUAUUUCCCCCAUAACUGAGAUUCGGGUGGUCCUUCCAGCCGGGAUUGUACGUGUUCGAGUACUGGUCAUAGGGCCUUCUUGGCGCGGGCGCGUGACCAGUCAUGUUCACCUGUUCUGCAGUUUCUUCCUGAAGCAUUGGGCACAUGUCUGCAGAGUGACCCAUACCAGUGCAAAUCCGGCACACCCUGGCCUGAGAUGCAUUCCCUACAGCCAGUUGCCUAACAAACGAGGUCAACUCAGUUAGCUGCUGCUGCAUAGAGGACGUCUCUACCUCAUUCACCUUACGUAUUGGGACGUCCUCUCUCGAACUGAAUUGUUGUGAAUUCUCUGCCAUCCCCUCUAUUAACUCUCGUUCUUCCUGAGGGGUUUUGUUCACCAGUGCCCCUCCACUUGCAGCAUCAAUUAUGCUCCUGUCUCUGAAAAGGAGCCCCUCAUAAAAAUACUGUAUGAGCAACUGCUCACUUAUUUGGUGCUGGGGGCACAUUCUGCACAACUUCUUGAACCGUUCCCAAUACUCAUAGAGUGACUCCCCUGAGUGCUGCUUGAUCCCGCAAAUUUCUUUCCUCAGACUUGCAGCCCUGGACGCAGGAAAAUAUUUAUCUAAGAACUUUUUCUUCAAUUGGUCCCACGUGGUGAUGCUACCUGGCGGUAGGUAAUAUAACCAGUCCUUUGCAGAGUCCUUCAAGGAAAAGGGAAAUGCCCUCAUUUUUAUCUGCUCUUCUGUAAUGCCCGGGGGCUUCAUACUGUUGCACACGACAUCAAACUCCUGCAGAUGCUUAUAUGGCUCCUCACCUGGUAAACCAUGAAAAGAGGGUAAAAGAGAAAUCAGACCAGAUUUUAACUCAAAUGAAGUGUUUUCACUCAAACUCGGGAAAGUAAUGCACAAAGGCUGCUGAUUUAAAUUAGGGGCAGCCAACUCCUUUAAUGUUCGUGCAUUAGCCAUGGGGAUUUCUUCUUGCUCCGGGUCACUCGAAGUGUCACCAAAUGAAUCUGUUGGUUCAACUCCUGACUCAGGUCUCUGAGAUGUAGCACUGGAGUGCUCCUCUCUGAGGUGUCUUGUUUCCUUUCUCGUUCUACGCGCGAUUUUCUCUACUUCAGGGUCAAAAAUCAAAUCACCUGUACGAGAAGACCGAGGCAUACACUAGAGAAAUACCAGAAAAUUAGAACAAAAAUGAAUUUUAAAAAAAACAAAUAAUAACGCCAGUCCCCGGCAACGGCGCCAAAAAUUGACAGGUUGUUAGCCUGUGCAAUAAUAAAACCUGCUCAAACUAAAAGUAAUUUCUGUAGAUAGCGGUAAGCAGGGUCGAAUCCACAGGUACUGGGAGUAAUUGUUUCAUUUCAAAUUCACAGUGACAAAGGGGGGUGUUUUUGUGUAGAAGGUGACACUCAAAGAAAUUCAAAUAAAAUCUAAAAAAUUACUAAAAAUUAAAUAACAAAAUAUUAAAAUCAAAUGAGUAAUAAUUAAAAAUCUAGCCAAGAAAUAACUUCAGCAAUGGUUCACCUAAUUGAUCAUCGAUGCAAAGCCAAUUCCAAUUAUUUAUCAAUAAAUAGGUUAUAACUACCAAACAAGCGAUGACAGUCAACCCCUCCUUACUGUGUCGGUGAUCAAGGUACGCCCGUUAAUCACUGCUCUAAUUGAGAAAUAAUCCUAGGUACGCCCAUAGGAUUUAAUUCCCCAAUUGCCUUACGUAUUAGAGGAGCCCUAUUCUAACCAAAUAACGCACUACCAGGGUUAUUUUAGAUUAACCCGCGUAUUCCCCUGACACAAACCUAAUCAUGCCAGUUGUCACUAUUUUAGAGCAAUUAAACAAUUACGGAUUUAAUGCCCUAAUUGACAAUAGAUUACCAAAUCAAUUAAUUAUCUGGAUCCAAGACAACCAAUUAAUUGAACAAUCAUAAGCACUGCAAUCAAGGAAUAUGUGAAUACCAAUAAUUAAAAGGGAAAGAUUAAAUUAAAUCGAUCUCACAAUUGUUAGGUAACCCAAAGCAUCCGUCGUUUCUUGACUAGAGUGAGGGGAUUAGCUCAUAUUGGAUGAACUACGCCCGCGGGAAAUUUCAGCAGAAGUCACGACCAUUGUCUGCGUUUCAGGAAGUUGCAAUUCGUCGAACAGAAAGAACGCAAAUGAAAGUCUCAAGCAGCAAUUGAAUCUAUUUAUUAUUCCCAGCAUCCGUAUAGCAAAACCACUCCAGCGGUACAAGGAGGAAAAGUCAAAGCUAAAAGAAAAAGUUGCUUCCUCCUCACAUGCGUGGAGAAAAGCCAAAGGAAAACUUAACAAGAAAAGUCCAAGUCAAGAAGAGUCAAAACAUUUCUGCUAAGCUACUGCCGAGAAAGCUAAGAAAAAACUCGCCGCCCAACUUCCUUCUUUUUACUCCUUUUAAUUGCGGCGCCCCUCAGCAGAACCAAGCCCUCCCAGGUGUCCUUCCCUCGCGGAAUUUACCAAAAUGGGCGUGAUAUCUUCAUUUCCAAAAAUACCCGUUGGACAAGCUCUAUCAUCUGCAUCCCUUUUCUGUCAAAUUGGUACCUGUUAUCAUAUUUUCGUUCUACUCCCUGAAAUAAAUGCAAUUUACGAAAAGUGAGUAGAAUCUACUAAUUAAUCCACAUCCGGUCAGAUAAUAGGGGAAAUUAAUAAUAAAAUAAGUAAUAGAAUUGCUACCUAUCAGAUACUCUUCUUGGACAUAUCCCCGGACAAUCAGAUUGCUUAAAGAGUCAAUAUGAGAAACAAUCAGAAUUGACCUAAAUUCUACAAUAAUUAUAAAUUGAAAUACCUUAACGUCAACAAUAAUUUUUAAGUAAUCUCGUGGUACAAGUAUUUUUUUUUUAAUGAUGAUGAAACGGGGUCUAAUUGAUAAAAGGGAUAAUUUCAGAAACCUCCUUUGAAGUUUUUGACAAUUUCACUUAGCUCCCCCCAAUUUUAGAAAAUCACACUAUCCUCCCUCGGUUCAAUAAAGUGACUACAAUGCCCUUUACUUAAUAGAUAAUUUACCACAUAUGUGGGUUACAAAAACCAAACCAAAAGUAAAAGAAAAUAUAAAAACCUGCAACAAUUCGUCAUCAUCCCUAAUCCUACUUUAACUAACAACAGUUUCUUUUCUCUUUCACUCACUUUUUUUCUAUUUCUUAUGAUUCUCUCCUUCCUACUUAUAACCCAACAAUCUCUUCCAUCCAUCAACUACACCACCAUGCAAACCUACUCGAAGUGUUUAUUUCUUGUCUAUUUCUCUCUUUCAUGGUACUUAACUAUUAGCCCCUUGUUUAUAACUUGCAUAUAUUAAAUAAUCAAAAUUUCCAAAAUAACAAAUUGAGGGAGCAAAUAAAAAUUUCAUGGUCAAAUUAGAUGGAGAUGAUGAAGAUGGUUGUGACAGAGAGGGAAAAAAUGAAAUUAAUGGGCUAUGGUUGGAAGAGAAAAAGGGAUGACUCUAGAUUAUGUUAUUAUGUCUAUUACGCACUAGAAUCUAAUAUCUGUAUUUAGUUUCAUUUUUGUUUGAUUUACAAGUAUUGGUGGUGGUUUGUUAUAAAGAUUAGUUUCUCUGUUUCUAAUGCCAUUGGAGUAUGGGUUUGCGCUUGGCAUAGACAUCACUAAAUUGGGAUUUUAGUGAUAUCAAAAUUGAUAGAAUUUGGGAAUUAAAUAGGAGUUUGCUUGAACGGUUGAUGAGAUUUUGGGCUUACAAUUAUCAUGGAAGCAUAGAAAAUUUGGAUAAAAGUAUUUGUUACUUUUUUUUGGUUAAAUUGAUCACUAAACCUUUUUUUCACUUUCUUUUGAUGUUAUGAUAUUGCAUAAGGGUAUUUUAGGAUACUUAAGUAUAAUUCUAGUCUAAUGGAUCUAUAAUGUUACCUAAAUAGUAAAAUCAAGGGAGGUUAGUGUAAUUUUCUAAAAUUGGGGGAGCUGAGUGAAAUUGUCAGAAACCUCAAGGAAGGUUUCUGAAAUUAUCCCUUGAUAAAAUGCUUUACUGUAUCCAACAGGUCCUGACUACAAUGUAUUUCUUUUUUCUAUUUGUUUUAAGUUGAUUGGAUUGUCAAUGGCGAAAUCAAAUGAGCAGUUAUUGGUCUGCGAAGAUUGAAAAACUUAGCCCAUCUUGACCUUUGCUUUCUAAUUUCCAAGCCGCAUAUAUGCAAGGACUUGCAAGUCUUCAGCAAAGAGCAAGAAAAGGGUUAUAACACAGGACCAAACUGGCUAUGAUUAUAUUCAUAUUUUUUUCUAAACAAUUUGUUGAUACUUCUAGCGCCAUAGCAAUUCGUGAAAUCUCUCCAUCACAGUGUCCAUUUCAUGUUUGUCUUUUUAGAAAAAGGGAUAAUUUCACAAACCUCCCCUGAGAUUUAUGACAGUUUCACUUGGUUCCCCUUAAGUUUUACAAAUUACACUAACCUCCCCUGUCACCAUAAAAUCACUAUAAUGACCUUCACUUAAUAAAUAAUUCAUAGUAUAAUGAAAUUAAAUUAAAAAAGAAAAAAAACAUGACCUCUUUAACUAUCCUAUUUACAAGUUACAGCUAACGAUGAUUGUCUCUCACUUACUAUCAUUCAAUUUUCAUCCAUCAACCUUUCCUCCUAUAAUUCGCUUUCAAAUUACUACCCUAUAAUUGUAGCCAAUCACACCACAAGUGAUCCCUCAAACUCUAUUAUAUAUUCUUAUUCCUCCUUUCUUCUCUUUGAAAUUGCCAAAUCACAAGUUUAAUCGAGGGAUUAGAUUUGAUGAUUAAAGUAAAAUCCAAUUUCAUGGACAAAUUAAAAGGAGAUGAAGAGGCACACAAUAAUAAUGGAACAAAUAAUGCAAUCAUUGGCCAAAAGAGGAAGAGGGAUUGAAAUUGGUAAAUUUGCUGAUUUGUCUAUUAUCUAUCCAAAAAAAUUUUUAAGAUGUUAAUAAGUACAUUCAUAUUUCUUUUUAUGCUUGACAAUUAUUGUUAUGGUUUGGCUAUCGAGAUAGAGUUUCUUAUCUGUAUUUAAGACGUUAACAUGCUUGAAGAUUUAGUGGUAGGCUAGAUUAUUUUGUUUUGAGAAGGUGUGGGCAUUGGGUUUGAUGUUUGGGGUGUGACUAGUUGUAAAUAGAUUUUGGUUUUUUUGGGAAAAUGAAUUUCUUAAAAAACUCUAUAGUUAUAAUGAUGUCUUUCCCUUUUUUUUAAACUUGAUUAAUUCCAUCCAUGUCUAAAUCUCCCUUAAAGAUUUUCUUCAAGGCCAUAAUUUGGUUCACAUAGUAGGCAUUAAGCCACUUAUAUGGAACCAAAUCAUGGCAUCCUAUGUUGAAAAUUAUGCAAAUAUAAGGGCAGUUGAUUGUGAGUUUGACCACUCCAUGGAAUCAUAUGGUGAGAAUAUUUCUGAAAAAUGGAACAAAUCUUCAGAAUUGAAUGCAUGCUUUAGGAGAAGCAAUUUUAUGACUAUGCUGAUGGAAUUGCUUGGGUUUAGAAUUUGAAAUUAGACUAUUUGUUAGAUUGGUUUGUUAGUACAGUGGGUUUAGUUGAAUUAUGAAACAAAGCAAUUGUCAAAAUAAAUUUUUUAAUUUUUGUACAAAAAGGGUAGUUUAGGAUUUUUGAGAAAAAAUUUAGGCUUUUGGGCCUAUAUUAUUAUAUAAAUAGUAAAAGUAAGGGAGGUAUGUGUAAUUUAAUAUACCUGAGGGGAGGUCUCUGUAAUUGCUAGAAACCUCAAGGGAGGUUUCUGAAAUUAUCCCCCAGAAAAAUAGUUUAUGGAACAUCCAGUAGCUCGUGUAAAAAAAAUUGAAAGAAAAAAAAAAACAAAUGCUGUGCAUGUCCCAAUGUCUUUGGCACCUUCUGAAAGUUUUCAAUAGCGGAUUUAAACUUAAGUCAAUUGUUAAAGUGUUAACGAACCAAUUAGAGGCUAGUCAGUUUGACCGAUACAAUUGUUAAAGUUUGGCCUUAUUUAGAAUUGUAGUGGCUUUAGAAAUUAAUUUGUUAUUGGAGCUUUUUUUUGGGGGGUCAUUGGAGCUUGCUGUAUAGGAACUUAAUUAUUGAAAUAAAGUGUUCAAACAUGUAGUAAAGACAUAAUUUAGUGAACUGGAGAGUGAAUUGAUAGUUGGAUUAGAUAUUGUUCAUAUGUGCAACUAGAUGUUAGUGUUCAGCUUACUAUUUGUGAUUAUGAGUUGCAAUUUUAGCGAAUUAUAAUGCCUUAAUUACAUAUUGCCCACUUGUAGUAAGCGGUCAAUAGUAGUUUACUCUCUAUUUACAUGAAAUACACAAAAUGCUUACUGUGACGGCCCCACCUCCCCCUAGGGCGUACCCCAGGGUUCGGCGGACCGCCUGCCCAACUCUCGUCAGGACUCACUCACUCGUAUCUUGAGAAAUUAACUGGCAUCCAUAGAAAAGUAAAUAACACGGAAAUUCAAGCUUAUAAUAUACAUUGAUGCCCAAACCAAGAUACAAAGCUUCUAUACACAAAAAUAUUUCAUAGCAGCUACACUUCAAGUACAAAUCACCCUAGUUGAGAUAUAGCGCGAGUACAAAUUCAAAAUUCAAAAUAACUAGACUACGCUAGCCUGUACACGUCUCACGCCUCGUUCGUACCCCCUGUAAUGAAAACAAAUGGCGUGGAAUGAGCUAAAAACCCAGUGAGAUUCCAAAUAACAAAUUGACCAUUUUUAAAAGUACGAAUAUCAACGUAGCAAAUUAAUGAGCAUCAAGAGUUCAUAAAAGUGAACAAUAAUACUUCAUGUAGCAAAUCUCAAAGUGAGCGAGUGUAAAAGUUUUUCAGAAGAAACAAUAAUCUAAUAAGCAAUAAUCAUUCCAAAGUAUAAGGAUACGGAUGGCUCUCAGAAGCCAAAUUCCCAUUGCAUCACCAGAGUUUGAUCGAGUAAUAGUUGACACUCCGUCAACCUUCAAGUAAGUAACCAAUCCAGUAGAGCACCACUUACACUACUCUCCGUCCACCAUUCACACCCCCUAUUGGGCCCAAAAUUCUCAAUAAACACUGGUGAUAAUAUUCGAAUAUACCGAUUAGUCGAGGAGAUAACACUCCACUCGACAUCACUAACUACCCAUGGUUCGUUAUCUAAUCGACCAAACCCUUGUCGGCUCGAUUCGAUUAACUAGCCAGUGGGGUUUGGGUUCCCAAGAUUGUUGAUGAGAUAAAAUCUCCAACCGAUUGAAUCAAAAUAAAAGUACGGAGACGGGAAUGAGAGGCACCUCCCACUCCAAUUGAGUGUGGUACAUACUGCUGCUCCGCACUUACAACUCAAGUACAAGUAUAUCAAGUUAAUUGCAGCAAUGAACAAGUAUAUAUCAUAUUAGGGCAAGUGCGAUAAAGUACACUCUUGUCCGAUCAAACAAAUGACAUAUCAUUAAAUCACAUUGGUCAAGUAUUGAAAACAAGUGUCUAGUUCAAUCAGGCAUUUGAAAGCACUCACCAAAAGUCUAGUGCCUUUUCAAAAAUCACGUUCCAGUCCAACUCUUUGGUUGGAGUCCGAAUUUGCGAUAAAAUAUCAUUUACGAAUGUAAACCUUUCUAGAGUUCAAAACAUAGGAGUUUCGCUUCAAGAAAAUUAAGUAAAUGCAACUCGGGAUGUAGUAUUCAAGAUACUUAUCAAAUCUCGAAAAAAAUUCAUGCUCGCUCGUUUAAUUUUGAUAAGGAAGCGGUUAAAACUUUAGAACUCCCAUUGGAAUCGAAAGAACAAGAAAAACAUAUUUCAAUUAGUCGUUAUUUCCAUUUUCCAAAGGGUACAAGGUUCGGCCGAAUUCCAACUUAUGUAUCUUGAUAAAAGAGGAUGCAAAUAUAUUAGAUGGUUCAAGUGGUAUUCGCCCUCAAGCCUUACUCAAGUCGCAAGUAUAUCUACCUAGUCCUCGAGCGUAAAUUUGGGCAGCACGCCCUUUGUAUUUACCUAUUUUCCAUCCAUUUAUGGUUUCAUUGUUUUCCUCAAUCAAUCCCAACAUUACACACAACAUAAAUGUAUUACAAUAGUCAUUCAAUAGGCUCAAUGUCAUAUGAUUACCAAACCAAGCUAGAAAAAUUGACCGGAAAUGAAGUUUAAGGCCUAAAAUCAAAGGCAGAUUUGACGUUGUUUUGCGUAACGGACACAACCGAAGCUACGCUUAUCGGAUUGAGGUGAAAUUUAUACCUUUUCGAAGCUAAGACAAAGGCCUACAACUUUGGUGAAGAUAGCUCAGUCCAGUUUGUAGGAUAUCUAGGUCAAAAGUCCGGAUUGCAAAACCAAAAUCUCACAUUUGGGCUAGUUAACCACACUAUGCGUAAAUGACAAUAACUUAGGCUACCAAAGUCUAAUUGAGUUGUUUUCAGUUGCGUUGGAAAGCUAAAACAUAGGUCUAAAAGUUUUAUGUUUUGGCCAAAGACUGGUUUGGAACAGAUCAAGAUGAAAAAAGCAGCCAACAUGAGAAAAUGUUAAAACUGUCUGCUGGACACUACCUAGGGCAGUCUCAGGGGUAUUUUUGUGUUUUCAUGAGCUACAGUGUUCAGAUUUGGCUGAAAUUUUGUAGGAAAUUAUAAAACAUCAUUUUCUACAACUUUUAUGUUUUAUACUAAGCCUGAUUCGGCCUCUAAGAUGGUGAACUAGAACCAGGCAGAACAGGGUGCAUACUAACUUCAAUUCUGGAAAUUUGCUACAAUCAAGAUAUAAAUCUCAUUUUUAGCUUGAACCCAUCACUACCACCUCUUAUACCAACUUAUAUACAUCAUAUACCACCCAUACAACAAGUAUGAUAAGUGAAUCAUUCAAACCCUAACUCAAAUUCAUCACCCCAACCAUCCAAAAUCACUUGAUAUAAGCAUUACAACCACAAAUACAAGCUACUAAGCAACUCCAACAUGAUUAAGGGAAAAGAAAAGAGUGGUCAGCCAUAUUACCUCAAAAACAAAGUUUUCUAGAGUUAUCCUCCACUUCUUCUCGAAAUUUUGGGUUCCUUAAGCUUCCCAAACUCUCAAACUAGUAAUUAAUCGGUUUAGUUUUUCUUGUUUUCACUCAAAUGAAUCAAACUCAAGAUGAAAUGGAGUUUCUUCCCCUUGCUUUUCUCUCUCUCUCUCUCUCGGCCAAGACAACCAGAAAAUGAUGAAGAAAUGGAGCCAAAUGAAGAUAAGAAGGCAAGACAAUUAGUUUGGUCAAAGGCCGUUAGAUGGCCAACAAGUGUCUCCACCAACUUCCACUCAUUUUUUUUCUCUCUCUUGGUCAAGAAUUUUGGCUGCCUUGACGGGCAUUUUGGGGUGAUUUUUGUUGAUAUCAAAAUAAGGAGAUGAAGGUAAUAAAGUAGUGUUCAAGUGGUAUGUUCAAUCGGUAGUGCGCGACACCCGUCGGUCCGAGCCGAUUUUCCUUAAAUCGCGUAUACUAGAGGUUUAACUUAUAAUUCACUAGUUUAUUAGUAUCACUUCUAAUCACACACUUAACAACACCUAAAACUCACUCUUAAUCACCAAAUUUUUAUCGCACUAGCGGGUCCCACGUCUAUAAUGCGUUUCAAAUUUAAUGUACACUAACUUAUACUAGGAAAAUGAUUUAAAACUAUACUCGCUUAUCAAAAUGCAUAGAAACUUUAAUAUUUUAAAGGCAAGUAUAAAAAUGUAGGCAAAAAUAAAAAUGCCUAGAAAAUGUGAAAAUUUUCGGGUUCUCACACUUACUAAUGACUAAUGCCAAACAUUUUAACUACUAGGAAAAUGCACCUGUAUUGCACGUGUUUGAUCAUACCAAAACUUGUCUUACUUUCAUCUAUAUUGUGAAAGACUCAACUCAGAUUUUGCUAAAAAAGCCUCUGAUUCAUUGCAUGCCAAACAUGGUAGUUUGAAGCAGCAACCAAGGCUCAUUAACCAACAAGCAAUGCAAAACCUGUAAUUAUGCUGUAUAAGUGGCUGUAAUUCAGUAGAACAAGGAGAAGUCACUUGAUAUGUCUUAGAUAGGAGCUAAAUGCUUCUCCAUUAAUCUUAGAGUUUCAGCCUUUAUUGUUAUUGCUAUUGUAGAAUCUUGAGAGCCCAAAGGGGUGAAUUCCAAUAUUCCUAACCAUUUUUUCAUUGGGUUAAUUAAGAUGCAUUCGAAAGAAUGAUGACAAGUCAACCUUUCGACUGCCCUUGGGAACGGUAAAUAUAUGACAUGCUCCUUGUAAUAUUAUAAAUCAGCAAUACCUGUCCCUUUUCUUUUGGUAUCAUCCCUUGCUUAGAGGCCCUUGAUUUGGUUUUUGAGCAUCACUGCUUGUAGGAUAAAAUGUCACAGUGGAAGUGAGAAGCAGAGUUAGUUAGAAAGGCUAUUUUCAUCUAGGCAUUCUAGCUGUAGAAAUGGCAAGCAAUACAAAUAACCUUAUUACCUAAUAAAUCUCAAUUGGAAGAAAUAUAUUUUGGCCUUAGAUAAGCAUGGAUGGCUUACUAACCAUUUUCUUGCGUGAUUUUACACCUUUAUGUCUCUACUGUGAAAUAAGAAACAUGGCUUAAAGUACUGAACUGUGUCCAGUUGUAAUUCUUUCAUUUGGUAGAACUGACUCCAAAACUAUCAAAGGCAUUCUUGGCUUUCUUUGUAUUUCAUCAGUACGAUGUUGGUUGUAGGGGGAUUGUGAAGAUUUGCGCCGAAGAUUUAAUGAUGUUUUACUUAAGAGGCCUAUGACCAGAAGAUUUUUUCUGCACUUUCUUUGUAAUGGUAGUGCUAUCCUUCCAUACUACUGCUGUUUAUAUUCACUGGAGAAAAAAAAACACGUACAUGUUAUAGGACAGAUGUCAUUUGAGUUGGAUAGCUUUUGAUACGUCUUUCUAUUUCUUAUCUUUUAGAUAAAAUAGCACAAAACAUUCUAUACAUUUCGCCAAAAAAUUUUUACAUCCUCAAAUUUAAAAUGCUAAUGUUAAAUUCCUUAAAAAAAUAAACCAGUCCAAUUUGGACCAAACCUCCAAUUCCAACCAUCUUUUGUCAUGAAACCACACUUCUGUUAGCAAUAAGUUAUCCAGAAGUCCUUUGAAGCCAUUUUGAAAACACCCAAUUUUUUUUUAUUCUCCCUCUGGCUUUAGAAUGAGUAUCUAUUCACUCUCAAACACAAAGGUUCAAAGUUCUUCACCAAAACAUGCUUCAUUUAUGCCGGAUUUUGCCAAAAUAAUCAAAUAACCAAUGUCUUUAGAUUACCUUAUUCUUUAUAGGCAAACCGAAAGAGCUUUAAUUAUAGAGGAAUAAGUUUUGGAUUAUUUGGUUGUCUGUUGAUUUUGUCAAAGCCCAAAACUUUGACUAUUGUGGCAAAAAUUUUAGUUCCACAUCGGUGGGAUUAGUUGUAGGUGCAAGGCUUGAGAGUUAUAAAUUAACUCUCAAGCCUUCCAAAUAAGAUGUACCAAAGAAAAAGAAAAAGAAUUCAUUUGUAAUUCUUUCUUCUUCCAAAAAUUAUUAAGAGCGGGUCGUUUAGGCGGUACUCGGAGAUUAGGCAAAAUUGGCCGAACUCCGUUAUCAAUUUUUCGAGUGCGUUCUUUCCUUAUCUCUUUUAUUUAUUUCGCAUUUAUUUAGAAGUUUCUUUUCUAUUGUAGUAUAGUAUUCAAUAUAUUUGUCGGGUUUAUUUGUAGUAUUUUAUACGGUUCAUUUGGGUGUAUUUUCUUAUUCGUGUGUACGUAUUAUUUAUGUAUACACGGGUUUAGUUAUGAUAAUACACCGUGCACGUAAAUUCUGUCUCGGAGACUGGGUUUUAAGUGGGAUCGCUUGUGACCCCUCCAGCCUUUUCUGAAAAUUUACUUGGAAUGGUAAUUCUGUCUAAGGAGAUUGUUUGACGAUCUUUCCUGAGAAUUACUGAAUCAGUUUAAUCAGUAGUUGAAUUUUUGAGUGGAAAAUUACCCGAUUUUCCCAACAAGUGGUAUCAGAGCCGAAGGUUCGUCCUUUGGCUUGUCUGUAAUUUGUUAUAUAUUGAAUACUAUCAUUUUGAGUCUGUAAUGGCAUCAAACGAUUCCAUGUCAAGAAUUACAUCUGGGGCAUCGGCUUCCUUGUCCACAUGGUCGAGGACUCCAAUGUCAAGUUCGAAGCUGGCGGUCGAGAUAUUUGACUGUACUGGUCAUUUUGGCAUGUGGCAAUGCGAGGUCAUAGACUCCCUUUUUCAACAGGGACUUGACAUUGCCAUCGAAGAAAAGAAACCAGAUGAUAUAGAAGAGAAAGAGUGGAGUAUCAUAAAUCAAUUGACAUGCGGAACUAUUCGAUCAUGUUUGUCCAGAGAGCAAAAGUAUGCUUUCAAGAACGAGACUUCUGCAUGGAAGUUGCGGAGGGCAUUAAAGGAGAAAUUUCUGAAGAAGAGUGGUCAGAAUAAACUCCUAAUGAAGAAAAGAUUGUUCCGAUUCAAUUACCAAUCAGGUACUACUAUGAAUGAACACAUCACUAUGUUUAAUCAGUUAGUAACAGAUCUGUUAAAUUUAGAUGUAAAAUUUGAAAAUGAAGAUUUGACUUUGAUAUUGUUGCCAUCCUUUCCUGAUGAAUUUGAACAUUUGGAAACUACGUUACUUCAUGGGAAGGAGAAUGUGUUUUUAGAUGUUGUAUGUUCUGCUUUGUAUAGUCAUGAAUUGAGAAAGAGAAUAAAAUGAAAAAUAAAGUAAUUACAGCAGAUGAAGCGUUAGUGGCAAGAGGUCGUCAACAAAUCCAAUCAAAGGGAAGAAGAGGAAAGUCCAAAUCGAAAAAUAGAGUUGCCAAAGAUGAGUGUGCUUUCUGUCGUGAGAAAAGGCACUAGAAGAAAGACAGUCCAAAGUUGAAGAAGAAAGGGAAAACUUCGCAAGAUGUAAAUGUUGCAGAGUGCAAAAGUGAUGCCGAAUCAGAUUUCUCUUUGGUUGUAUCACCUUCAAUAUCCUAUCCAGAUGAGUGAAUUUUGGAUUCAAAUUGUACCUACCAUAUGUCUCCCAUGCGGGAGUGCUUCUUUGAAUUUGAAGAACUUGAUGGUGGAGUUGUUUACAUGGGAAAUGACAAUCCUUGUAAAACAGUUGGGAUAGGUUCAAUCAAGUUGCGUAAUCACGAUGGAUCCACCAGAAUCUUGAAAGAUAUUCGGUACGUGCCGAAUUUGAAGAGGAAUCUCAUCUCCUUGGGGCUCUUGGAGUCAAAAGGCCUAGAAGCGAAGAUGCGAGAUGGAAUUCUUAAAGCAACUUCGGGAGCACUUGUGAUGUUGAAAGGUGUGAGAAAAAAUAAUGUGUAUUACUACCAAGGUAGUACAAUUGUUGGGACAACAGUAGCAGCAACAUCUUCCAGUAGCAAGAAGGACGCGGAGACAGCAAAGUUAUGGCACAUGCGAUUGGGACAUGCUGGUGAAAAAUUCUUGUAAAAUCUUGCCAAGUAAGGAUUGUUGAAAGGUACGAAAACUUGCAAAUUAGUAUUUUGUGAGUAUUGUAUUCUGGAAAAACAAAGAAGAGUGAAAUUUGGCACUGGCAUCCAUAAUAGCAAGGGUAUUUUGGAUUAUGUGCACUCAGAUGUGUGGGGACCUACCAAAACUCCAUUCCUUGGAGGCAGGUAUUAUUUUGUCACUUUUAUUGAUGAUUUUUCCAGAAGAGUUUGGGUGUUUACUAUGAAGAACAAGAAUGAAGUGCUAGGAAUUUUCCUUAAAUGGAAAGCUCAGGUUGAAAAUCAGACGGGAAGAAAGAUCAAGGUUCUCCGAACAGACAAUGGUGGAGAAUAUAAGAGUGAUUCCUUCCAGAAGAUAUGCCAAGAGUGUGGCAUAGUUCGACACUUCACAGUUAGAAGAACACCGCAGCAGAAUGGGGUAUCAGAGCGUAUGAACAAGACACUAGAGGAGAAAGUACGUUGCAUGCUGUCUAAUGCUGGGUUAGACAGAAAAUUUUGGGUUGAGGCUGUGACAUACGCUCAACAUCUCGUCAAUCACUUGUCAUCAUCUGCAAUCGGUAGCAAGACUCCAUUAGAGGUAUGGUUUGAAAAACCUGCAUCAGAUUAUGAUUCUUUGCAUAUUUUUUGUUCUACUGCAUAUUAUCAUGUAAAUGAAUCAAAAUUGGAUCCACGUGCAAAGAAGGCUCUCUUUAUGGGCUUUAAUACUGGAGUUAAGGGAUACCGUUUGUAGCGUCUAGAAGCAAAGAAAAUCAUUAUCAGCAGGGAUGUUACCUUUGAUAAAUCUGCCAUGUUGAAUAAGGUAACACAAGAUGAGACCAGUGGUACUCCGUAAUAGGUGGAGUGUACGCCGAAACAGGUAGAAUUUGAGCAAAUAGUGAGCCCAACAAAUAGCACCAUCAGUGACUCUCCCAUGGCAGAAGAGGAGUCAGAUGAGAAAGAGGUCUCAAUCCACGAACCUCAAUAGCAACAAGAGUCAAUUGUCGUUAAUAGGUCAAGACGAGAAAUUCAAAAACCUGCUCGUUUUGCUGACAUGGUGGCCUAUGCACUUCUAGUUGUUGAUGAUGUUCCAACCACCUUUUCUGAAGCAGUUCGAAGUACAGAAAAUGGUAGAUGGAAAGAUGCUAUGGAAGAAGAGAUGCAAUCUCUUCAGAAGAACAAGAUGUGAAAUUUGACGCAACUACCGAAGGGCAAGAAGGCAAUUGGAUGCAAAUGAAUAUUUGCAAAGAAAGAAAGAUUUCCUGACAAGAAUGAUGUUCAUUAUAAGGUAAGAUUGGUGGCUAAAGGCUACACUCAAAAGGAGGGAGUUGAUUAUAAUGAGGUAUUUUCUCCAAUUGUUAAACAUUCCUCUAUUAGAAUUUUGUUGGCCUUGGUAGCAUACUUGAAUUUGGAGCUAGCUCAACUUGAUGUGAAGACCGCGUUCCUUCAUGGUGACUUGAAGGAGGAAAUCUAUAUGUCUCAGUCAGAUGGAUUCAAAGUUGCUGGUAAAGAGAAUUGGGUUUGUAAGCUGAGCAAAUCGUUGUAUGGAUUGAAACAAUCACCGAGGCAAUGGUACAAGUGAUUUGACCAGUUCAUAAUGGGUCAGAAGUACACAAGAAGCAAAUACGAUCACUGUGUGUAUUUGCGAAAAUUACGAGAUGAUUCCUACAUCUACUUACUUUUGUACGUUGAUAAUAUGCUGAUAGCAUCAAAGAGCCAAGUUGAAAUUGACAAAAUGAAGGGUCAGUUGAGUAAAGAGUUCGAGAUGAAGGAUUUGGAAGAAGCCAAGAAGAUUCUCGGCAUGGAGAUAAGCAAGGAUAGAAUGAGAAGCAAGUUUUGUCUGACACAGAAGCAGUAUUUGAAAAAGGUACUACAACGAUUUGGUAUGAAUGGAGAUUCAAAACCUAUAAGUACUCCACUUGCUCCUCAUUUGAAACUUAGUAACAUAUUAUCUCCAAAGACGGAUGAAGAGCGAGCAUACAUGGCGAAAGUCCCGUAUGCUAAUGCAGUUGGUAGCUUGAUGUAUGCAAUGGUGUGUACUAGACUCGACAUUUCACAAGCAUUUGGUGUGGUAAGCAGAUUCAUGCAUGAUCCGGGCAAGGGUUAUUGGUAAGCUGUGAAAUAGAUUCUAUGGUAUAUCAAAAAUACUGUAGAUGUUGGAUUUGUUUUUGAACAGGAUAAAUCACUUGGUCAAUGUGUAGUUGGAUAUUGUGGUUCUGACUAUGCAGGUGAUUUGGAUAAGCGACGUUCUACAACUGGCUACUUGUUCAUGUUUGCUAAGGCGCCAGUUAGUUGGAAGUCUACUUUGCAGUCAACGGUGGCUUUGUCUACAACGGAGGCAGAGUAUAUGCCGAUUACAGAAGCUGUGAAGGAGACAAUUUGGCUUCAAGGAUUGCUUGAAGACUUGGGAGUUGGUCAAAAAUAUAUUGACGUGUUUUGUGACAGUCAGAGUGCUAUUCACUUAGCGAAGAACCAAGUCUUGCACGUAAGAACGAAGCACAUUGAUGUUCGCUAUCAUUUCGUGUAGGAAAUUCUCAAAGAAAAGGAGAUUUUUCUCCAGAAAAUUCAGACUACGGAGAAUCCUGCAGAUAUGGUGAUCAAGGUGGUUACAAGGUCCAAAUUUGAACAUUGUUUAGACUUGGUCAAUAUCCUGCAUAUUUGAGUUGGCGCCUGAGGGUGCAAAUUUGAAAGCACCGAAGGACCAUUUGUUAAUUUUUUUUGAAGGAGAAGAUUUGUAUUUUUGGUAGGACUAGAAAUUAUGUCAAGGUGGAGAUUUGUUGAUUUUGUCAAAACCCAAAACUUUGACUAUUGUGGCAAAAAUUUUAGUCCCACAUCGGUAGGAUUAGUUGUAGGUGCAAGGCUUGAGAGUUAUAAAUUAACCCUCAAGCCUUCCAAAUAAGAUGUACCAAAGAAAAGAAAAAGAAUUCAUUUGUAAUUCUUUCUUCUCCCAAAAAUUAUUAAGAGCGGGUCGCUUAGGCGGUGCUCGGAGAUUAGGCAAAAUUGACCGAACUCCGUUAUCAAUUUUUCGGGUGCAUUCUUUCCUUAUCUCUUUUAUUUAUUCCGCUUUUAUUUAGUAGUUUCUUUUGUAUUGUAGUAUAGUAUUCAAUAUAUUUGUCGGAUUUAUUUGUAAUUUUUUAUACGGUUCAUUUGGAUGUAUUUUCUUAUUCGUGUGUACAUUAUUUAUGUAUAUACGGGUCUAGUUGUAAUAAUACACCGUGCACGUAAAUUCUGUCUGGGAGACUGGAUUUUAACUGGGAUCACUUGUGAUCCCUUCAGCCUUUCUUGGGAAUUUACUUAGAAUGGUAAUUCUGUUUAAGGAGAUUGUUUAACGAUCUUUCUUGGAAAUUACUGAAUCGGUUUAAUCACUAGUUAAAUUUUUGAGUGGGAAAUUAACCGAUUUUCCCAACAGUCAACUCAUGUUCACAUGACAAAUCCUAUAACUUGCAUAAGAAACAAAAAAUCAAGAGGAGUAUUUUGACUCUUGGAAUAUAAUGAUUUUAAGUUAAUAUAAUUAUUUAUGUGAAUCGACAACUAUCUUAUUACAAUUUUAGUUGAUACCCAGUAGAGGUUCUGGAUUUGAAUUUCUCUUUCUCCUUCCUAUUUCUUAAAUCUCAACUCUCAGCUAAUAAAAAAUUUUUAAAAAAAUGUCUCAUAGUUAAUUCUAUAAACAAAUCAAAGUCACUGCCUUUAAUAUCAAUCCAAAAUAUUCCAAAUUCAUAAUAUGGGAUUUAAUUUUUAAUGACCUUCAAUUGAUUGGUUAUGGUUUGGAUAGGUUAAGUUAACUUGCUCAGAUAUAGAGUUAAGGCUAAAUUGUAAAACAAACACAGUUCUUCAAUUUUUUUUUCUUUUCUUUUCUAAGCAUGGGGCUAAAUUAUUGAAAGAAAUUAAAAGAUAGUAUGAAUUAAAAAAAAGUAAAAAAAUUGUACCAAUAUAAUUAAAAUCCAAGAUUUGUCUAGCAAUAGCUCAAAGUGUGAUAAAAUGUGUAUAUGAUUCGAAAACUACUUUUUUUGUGGAAGAUGAAUCCUAAAAUAAUAAUAGAAAUUUUUAUUAGAAAAUGAAAGAUAUAUUGAUAGAAAUGAAUGUAAUCGUGAUCUUUAGUUUUUGUGAAUGAUUAUGAGAGUAAGAUACGUUAUAAGAGUUAGAUACGUAGAAUUGUGGAAAUUAUAAUGCAAAUGGGCUUCUAAAUUUUGGAUAUGUAUUUUUCAUAGCAGUGAGUUCCUGAGUCAUGUGGUAAGUGUCAGACGUGGUUUACAAUUUGCAAUUGCGAUUUUGCAAAGGUCGUAAAUAUCUAUUAGUUAAAAUUAUGGAGUUAUGAUUUUGUAAGUUAGUGAGUCACUUAAAUUGGAAAAGUGAAAAGGGAUGCUGAGAAGGAAUAAGGAUUACUGAAUUAAAACAAAUCUAAAAUUGUGGAGGGUCAUUGUUAAAAAUUUUCCCUCCAAUACAUAUAGAUAUAGAUAUAGAUUUUCGGCUAAAAAUUCUCUGGAUUGAACUAAUUCUAAUAUGGGCUGGUUUAUGAAUAUCAUAUGGUUAACUUAGCAUUGUAGAGAUAAAAAUCAUCAACCUUAAACAAUCCCCGUAGAAAUCCUAAAUUUUCAAAAUCAAAAUAAAUUCUUUUUCACGGUAUACAUUUUAAGUGUCAAGCUUUGUAUAAUCUGAUUAUUAUGUCAAAGCAAGCACAUGAAGAAGGAAGAAAAAAGAGUCAAAUUCUCAAACCAAAAGGUCCAAAAUUCAUAAACAAGUAAUAUGCAUUUAACCAAGGUGCCAAUCAAACUAUUCAGUCAUGAAUAUAAUCGAUAGAUUAAAAUACAACAUUAAAUUAUUCAAGCAACAACAUAAGAGAGGUUUUGAAUCAUACAAGUUUUCACUUUAGAUAUGAUUGUGGUAUUCUGACCAAUCAGUCAGUGAUGGGUCUUCAUCUAGCAUUGCAGCCAGAAUUUUUAUUUUCCCCUAAGUUCUCUUUUUCAAUGACUUUUGCUCGAAUCUUAAUAAACUCCAAACUCUCUGUGUAAAUUGACUUCUAGUUUAAAUCAUCUAAGUCAUAAAAUGAGACUUUGUCUGAUUUAAUACAGUCCAAGUUUAGUUCACUAUUUGAUACAUUGACAUUUUUUAAGUUCUCUUUUCAAUGACUUUUACUAGGCUAAUUUCUCAAAAUAUACGUUAAAAGAAAAAUCCGUCAAAUGUAGCUCUGACGGGGAACUUUUCUCAAACUAUACCUGCCGUGCUGAGCAAAAAUAAAAUUUUUAAAUCGUUCCGGCACAAUUUUUAUUUUGGAAAAGUCAGCCGCUGCUGUGCUGACUCUAAUUUUUUUUUUUAAAUCUGUCUGUCCCCUACCGUGCCCAGUUAGCACAGCAAGGAGACAAGCGGUCAAAAAAAAAGAAGCCAGACGCCUUUGUCAGCCUUUGCAAAAAAAAGAAGCCAGGCACCUUUGUCAGCCAUUGUCAGGUGCCUGCAAAGGCUGACAAAGGCCGACAAAGGCCAUGUGACGAGCAUAGGUAUCGUACGCAAAUUAUUGCCUAAUUUCCACCGCUACCGUGUCCAAUCAGCACGGUAACGGUGAGAUUUUUGCAAAAAAAAUUCUAGCCGUUCAUCCUAUUCAUAUGAACGGCUAGAUUUGAUUAAAUUCGCUAUAUAAUGGUUUGUUAUGGCCAGUUUUGCUCGCUCACUCUCAUUUCUCAUUCUCCUCCGAAGCUACUCUCUCGCUUUCUCUCAGUCUCAAAUUUGAACUCCUUCUGGUUGGAUUCGAAAUCUAUGAAAUCGGCACCGAGGUUAGGCAGUUUUGCUGGAGGCUCAAAUGCGCAAGGCUUGAAAAUUUGUUGGCCGAAACUGUCUUUAAUAGAUUGGUAGUAGUAGAAAAUCUGUCGGCCAAUUUUGAUAGCUUGCAGAAAUUAUACUCAGACAGGCAGCUACAUUACCAGGUUAAUUGGUGCAGAAUAGUGAAAAUUGAUUGUCUGAUUAUAGUUAAAAUUUUAAUAAUUGGUUUUAAAAAAUUGAGGUUGAUUGGUGGAUAAUAAUAUUAAUUUGUACAGAAAAGUUGAUUUGCUACUAAAGUGAAAAUCGAGGGUUAACAUCAGGGACAAACUGUUGGUAUCGCCGUGUUACAUAAGACCGUCAUGCUAAUCCAUUGCGGUGCUGAUAAAGGCAGAAUUUUUUUAUAGUACAAUCGUAUUCGUACAGGUUAGUAAUUUAAAUUAUUAUUAUAUUAGUUAUUAAUUACAUUAUUUAUAUUAUGUUAAUUAAACAUGUAGCUUAUUUAUGUAUUUACAUGUUAUAUUAUACUGUCAUCAAAUGAUAUUAAUUAAACAUGUUUUCUACAUAGUGUGUUGUUGUUAUACUAUAUUAAUUAAUAGUUAAUGUAAAGUGUGAUAAAUUUAUUUAUAAUUUUAUAAUAUUGAAGUGCUAAAAAAGAGUUAACUAGUGUAUAUAGUGCUAUAGUGUUGUCGACUACGACUUAUAUAAAAUUAUAUAAUUUAUAUAGAAUUACUAUAUAAUAUAAUUCAUGUAGAAUUACUAGAACAAUUAAUUAAAAUUAUUGGUUUUUACAUGCAUAAAAUACAUUAAUUAACUAAACAUAAGAAACCUGCCCGUCAAUCGAAGUACGACCUUGUCGUGCUACGGGACAAAAAUUUUGCCUUUCACCAUACAUUAUUUAAUCAAUAAUUUAAUUCUUACCAAAAAUAGAAGUUGGACUACAUGUGGCUUUUUACAGCCCAAAUUCCAACAGGUUUAUCCGAUUGUAAAUAUUUUAACUCACGAUCAAUUGUCAUGACAAGUGACGAGAACAAUAAAAAAGAAAAAAGUUAUAAUCGGCAAAUAUCAAUAAAAAAAGUUUGGGGAAGAGAUUGAUAUAGAUGAAGAAUUCCUAUAUGUAGGACUUUUGUAAGAUAUCAUAUAUGUUGCGUGCGAGGUAAAAAUGUAGUUAAAAAACAUAUAGAAUGGAAGAUUCUUGGAAGAUGCAAAAAUGUUGUCUCGAAAAAAAUAAUGAUCCGAAUUGGUUGUGUUAUUACGUACGCCAAGCCAAAGUAAUUACAAUAAUUAAUUCCUGCUUAUUGGAAUACAUGAAUCCUUCUUUAAUUAACAACUAUUAUGCAUUUAAUAAUAGUUUAAUAAUAAUACAAAAUUUAAGUAAAAAACAAAUGGGAUAUUUACAAUACAAAAGGCAUCUGGGGACAUGAAUAAUGAGGUUAGGUUAAUGUAUUUAUUUUAAAAAUUAAUGAAAUGAAGUAUAUUUAGGAUUAUGGUUAAAAUUUAGUUUAAUUAGGUUAUUUUGAAAAUUAAAGUGAUGAAAUUUAUUUAGGAUGGCUGUAAAAUUCUAGUUUACUAAGAUUAUUAUAAAAAUUAUAUAAUCAACUAUUUUUUUAAGAUUAUAGAUAAAUGAAUAAAGAUAUAAUCAAUUUACUCGUUACUUGUGAUAAUGAUUACCAGUUAUAUUUGAUAAUUAUGUUCAAUAUUUUACGGUAACCAAGCAUGUAAAUAUAUAUGUUCAUUAAAAAGUUUAUAACACCUUGCUACUUAUAUGUAAAUUAGGCUUAAUAUGUCGAACUGUACAGGAGCGCAAAUAGUUGGUGAUUCGGAAGAUGCAAUGCUAAAUGGUGGCCGCCUAAAGAUGUCGUCUAUGUACAGACGGUUGACUACGCCAGUACCGCCGGAUGCACCCGAUUCGGCAGUAUGCUCACAUCUACAUAUUGAUUUUAUUGGGUGGUCUACUAUUCGGGGAUUCAUGCGGGAAUCUUGUUAGUCUGAAUUGGUUAGAUUAUGUUCGAGAAUUGGAAGCGAUAAGGGAGUACAGUUGGGGGUCAGCGACUCUAGUCUGUUUAUACUCACGUGUGUGUCACGCUUCGCGUGCUUCUACUACUACCACAGGUGGCCCUUAUCUAUUACUCCAAAUAUGGGCAUGGGAACGGAUUCCCAGCAUUCGACCGGGUAUGCAUCCAGCGCCUGAGACUGGUGAAUUUCCGAUAGUGGUAGAUGGGCAGCCGAAUGUACAGGGGUUGAUCCGCCGGGUAGGCGCAGCAAAUACUAUCAGGAGUAUAUUGCAUUGCUACGCAUGGAUGAGGUAAUAUACAUGUUAUAGCUUCGGUUAUUAUUUGCUAAUAUACACCAUUCUUUGCGAAAAUAAAUAAUUACUUUUUGUUAUGACAAUUCAUAUGGAUGCUGUACAGUGAUGAAAGAUUGGCCGCACUACCACGAUACUGCAGACACGGCGAGCGCAUUUCACGGGUCAGAGUUCCCCUCGUAUUUUGGUACAUUAUUGAGUUUCACUGUCCAGAUCGGGUCAUGCGUCAGUUUGGACUACUUCAAAAUAUUCCCGAAGUUGUUAACACAAAUCUGAACGGGGUUUAUCAGCUCAAUCUGUCUGGCUAUCCUGGAAGGAAUUGAGCCCAAUUUCAUAGGGGGUGGAAACAAUAUUAGAAUGCUCGCGCAAAUGCGGAGGUCACAGGUCAGUUUGCUAAUACAUUCAUGCCAUCAAAUGAUUACCUCAAAUGGUAUCACGAGCACACUGUUCUAUAUAUUUCGAACCCUAGUGACCAAAAUCCGUAGAUGGGCCAAAUGCUUCAGGGAGUCUCUGGACAAUUUGAGUAUAUGGUAUGCAUUUACUUGAGACUUCUGUCAUUGGGAACGUUUUUUAGCAUAGGUGCGUUAAACAAUUAUUCCUAACAACUGGCCUAAAAUUUUUUGUUACAUAUGGGUGCUAUGCAGCGUAUUGGUCAGCAGACACAGGAUGCUAUCAAUGUUGAUGAUAUCGGUGACAUUGCAUAUCCACGUCUGUUGACCAUCAUGGAUGGUGCAUAUGGUUCGAUGCAAUACCUCUGACGUUUUGAUCGUAUGGUUGUAGGACAAUCCGAUCUAUUCGAUUUUGGGCACCCUUCGGCAUCAAAUGUCCCAUUUCAGACUCCAGGUCGACGAGUUCCAUCUCAAACAGGACCUUCGUCUAGUCGUGGUAGACAUAGGAGACAUGGUCAGCACGAUGGAUCAACCGUUGCUGAACCUAGCGUUCAAGUCACUGGAAUGGAUACUCAUCAUCUGCACACGUCUCCGGUUCAGCAAUUCACCACAUUCGAAUUUUCACCAAUGCCGGGUGUAGAUGCAGGGAUGGCUGCACACUUUCAUGUAUCUGGGGACAUGUUUAUUCCACCGCCGGCGUCGAUGACCAUUGGUGCACAAGCAACACCGUUGCAACAAUUUCAUCCAUUUGCUGCACCACCAACGCCAGUUGUAGACAUGCAUGGAUUUGAUCCACAAUUUCCUUCUUCAUCACAGUUACCUCCAUAUGAGCAUGUCCCCAUGACAGGAGACUUUUCUUCCCCUGCGGCAUUACACCUUAUAUUUACUUUUCUUAGUGGAACGGGAGGUAUUUCUUCAUCGUUGGAGCUUCCUGAUUAUUACAGUUUCGGACUGCCAUCGCUUUUUCCAUCUACCGGCCAACCAAGUUAUGCAUCCAAUCAUGUAUCGACAGGAGAUUUUGUCACCUAUCGUUCCACGAACGAUUCUGAGAGCAGCGAUACUUCCAAUGCGUUUCCAGGGAGGAUCCGCCGUUCCGUGAUUAUCCGAAUCAUCCUAGUGUCGUUCUUGACAAGCGUCAAAUACGACGACCGAAGAGAUUUUGCUGCCCUUCCACAAUGCUGCAAAAUGUUGGUAAGGGUAAGGGCAAGAGUUAAGGCAACAUGCGCGCUAAGCAUUGACUUUGUAAAUAAUGACUGUGCUAGGUAGUUAUCUAAUGAAUGCUACUUUCCUUAACUUUAAACUUCAUCUACGUUUAAUUUCAUUUCCAUCUCAAACCCUAAUUACUUAAAUCCUAAACCCUAAAUACAAAAGUGCAACCCUAAAUACUUUAUUCGAUGUCAUUAAAAAGAAACCCACUAACGUUGCAAAGCAAAUAAUAAACUAAUGUUACAAACAUAAAUGGCGGAUUAAAGAGUUUAGGACAAUCUUAAUGACAAAGGCAACAAAGAUUCAUGGGGGCUAAAGUUAAAAAAUAAAAAAUUAUGGGUAAAAAUAUAAAUUUUAAAAUCUAAGGGCCCAAAUGCAAAUUCUGUAAAAAUCACUUUUUUUUACUAACCUUUUAUUCAUUUGCUACUCAAAUUUAGGCUAAUUGGACUACCAAAGUGAUUUACAAAUCUACAAACAAAAGAUUAUUCAUACUAGUUUCUAAAGUUGUUAAAUUAAAAUCCUAAACUUAAUAAAUUUACUUAAACCCCAAUUUAUACCUGAAAAGUCAGAAUUAAUUCACCAAAAUACACAUUAACAUCAUAAAGAUAGGCUAGGACUCCACAAAUGAGAAAUUAUAUCCAUUUUUUGCAAAUCUUGAGGCCCUAGCAUAAUUAUGCAAAAGUUAGGGGACAAAUUAUAAAUAUAUUUUAUGGACUUAGAUGAAAAUCAUUGAACAUAAGAACACAAUCAAAUUUUCAGAAAAUUAAAGAAUGCCUAAAACACAUAAAAUAUCUAAAACUACAUAUUAAAAGAAAAACAAAGGAAAGAUAAAAACAAAAGCUUGGUCCAUAUUCCUUAACCCAACCGAGUUCCAUAACAAAUUUGGACAUUUGGCUGAGGCGUCUGAUCCAAACAGAAAUUACCUACAUGAGUCUAAUACAAUGAAUGUAAGCCCAAAUGAAAUAUACGAGUAAGUCCAACUCAAAACUAAAGUAAUUAAAUUUAAAACCUAAACAAGGCUAUGCUCUACCCACUGAUGAAGGCCAAAUAUUAGUCCAUGAAUAACUCCCAAAUUUAAGCCCAAUAGAAUUUUUUUUGUUAUUUUCUAAGAAACUAGCCCCUAAGUCAGAGUAUUUUUAAAAAUAUAUACAUUGAUUACUUUAAGUAUACACAAAACAAAAGAAAGGAAAACCCCUUGUCGUAAUUUGAUAAUGGUUUAUUGAUUUACAGAUAAAAUUAGACAACAAUUAGCGUUAGCCUUGUUAUUAAUUUGAAAUACUAAACCCUAAAACCCUAAACCCUAAACUCUAAAACCCUAAACCCUAAAACCCUAACUUUAAAACCUUAACGCAAAAACCCUAACCCAAAAAUCCUAAACCCUAACUUUAAAAACCAAUUUCCGUAAAAACUUUUUUUUUGCCACAGUCAGCACGGCAGCGGCCUGCAAAACUGCUGCUACGUCUGGAAGUGUCAGCCGCUACCGUGCUGACUGUGCACGGCAGCGGCUGACACCUUCUGACCAGCACUGAAAUUUUUGCUGAGCUUCUGACCGGCUGACAGCUUCUGAUUGGGAAGGAAAAAUUCAUUUUGGCAGGUAUAGUUUGAGAAAUACCCCCUGUCAGAGCUUCAUUUGGCGGAUGUUUUUUUUUUAUACGUAUAUUCUAAGCAAUUAACCUUUUUAUUGGGAUCUUAAUGGAUUCCAAACUGCCUAUGUAAUUUGACUUCUAGUUUCAAUCAUCUUGUUAUAAAACAAUAGCUUGUCUCCGAUUUAGGGCUCGUUUGGAAUUGCGGUAAUUUAUUGAAAAGUAUUUCCCUAGCAGAUCUUUAAUAAAAGUACUUGUCAACUGUUUAAAAUAUUUUAAAUAUAUUGUUUGGAGACAUAGUUCAAUAAGUACCGAUUAUAUUGGAUAAUAUAUAAUUUGAAAAUUUUUAAAAGUGUUUAUCUCUUUAUUUGGUUUAUAACAUAGAAUAAGAUGAUUAAAUUUGAUAUUUUAUUUUUUAAAUCACAAAAGCUACUCUAAAAGUACCAAAUUUGAGUUUUUGGUAAAAAAAUUUUAACACAAAAAUCUUUACUCCUAAUUUUAUGGGAUGAUAUUCACCAAACAAUUUAAAAAUACUUUUAACAUCUAAAAGUACUUUUUUACCAAAAGUAUCGCAACCCCAAACGGGCCCUUAAUAGAGUCCAAAUUUAGUUCAACUUCUUAUCAUGAUGCAAUUAGUGAGUGGAAAAAUUCGGCCAUUAUUUGAUACGUUAACAUUUCUAAUUAAGAAUUUUUAGUUUGAUAGGAGACGGGGAGUAAAAUUGUAGGAGUCCUUUAUAAGUAAAAUUGUAAGAGUCCUUUAUAGAGUAAUGAGUAGGGACUAAACGAUAAAUCAUCCAAGAGACUUUCUAGAGUGUGUGUGUGUAUAUAAUAUAUAUAGAGAGAGAGAGAGAUUGGUCGAUGGUCACAAAUAUGCCCCUGCAAUCAUAUAAGUUUUAUCUUUUAAGUUUAUUCUCAUUUUUCUUUUUUUUUUCUUUUCUUUCUUUCUGUUUUGACCCUUUUCUUUCUUCAUCCUUUAAUGUCGUAAUGCUUUUUAUUUUCUCUUAAUAUGUGUAUAUUCAAAAUAAAACUUUUGAUUGGCUAUAGCUCAUUCAAUUUGUUGUCUGCUCCGGUUUUUAUUUCUUUCUACAAAACGCCAAAACCAAAGAUAGAGAGUUUGUAUGGAGAAGAGAUCAACAGAGGAGGCAUAAAAGGGGACAAAAUUUUAACAUUUUUUCGGCUAUAAUCACAUAAGACUGUGAACUUUUGUUAAGAAUAUUUCUACGAUAUUUUCAAGGUCUAAAUUUUUCCUUGGAAGCCCUAUGUCUAGACAUGGGAUGGGUGUAGACUUUGUAUCUCUAAAUAUUGGUUUCAACUUAAUUGAUAAUAUCUUUUAGGACUUUAUAAUUUCUAGAAUUAUUUGUCUGGAGAAAUAGAAUUUCAUGGCACACAAUUUCACUUGAAGACAGGCCGUUUGUACAAAAUUAAAAGACAAAUAAUUAAUGGUUGUGUUUAGUCAUCCAACUUGUGACUUGGGAAAUAAGUUAGUGUCUAAAUUGUGCCGUACAACUUGAUGAGAUGGUGUGAAACAAUUUUAACCAUUGAAUUUUAAAAAACCAGUGAUGAUGAUAAUGACCUGAUGAAGAUCAAAUUCAGUUGUUGAUGCUGUUGUGGUCCUUGUGGGUUUCAAUUAAUUGGAUCAUUUGUUUAGUUCAUUGGGCUGAGGUAUUAUAACAAACUCUUGGGUUGUUUUUGUUGGACUGGUCCAAGUUUUAAUGGCCUUUCACAAUUAUUUUUUGCUUUUGGGAUACAAAUUCAAUGUAUGCCAAAAUUUAAAAGGGCCAUCUGAAAUUAUUUUUGGGAUUAUUUGGGGCUAAUAUAAUUAGUGGGCCGAAUGGUGCAGUUAACGGUUAAAAAAAAGAAAGGGAAACUGACUUUCUGGGCCUGUGCAUGUAGGGCUUUUGUUCUUAUAGUGGACAUUUUGUUUGUUCUGUAAUUGAACUUUUGGAUCAUAAAGCCCAACUUGAAAAUUCCCAGCUAAUCAAAUAUGUUUAGAAACCGAAAUAUGUUUAAAAAUACCCAAUUUAGAGCUGUAUACAUCCAAGAACUUAUUUAAAGGCUCGAUUUUAUUAUAACAACCAAAAUUUUAACAAAUGAACUCAACAACACUAUUAAAAGUCCAAGUUUGCUUAUAUCCAAAUUAAAUAAAAAGAAGCCUUUUUUAAAGAGUAGGCUUAACUCUAAGGUUAAACCCAAAUUCAAAUCCAACUCGAACCAAUAUGUUCCAAUUUAUAUCCAAAUAGAAACUUUUUUUUAUAGAUAAUUGGAUUAAAAUACUUUCUAAAAAGAGAGGUCUUUUCAAAAGGGGAAACUUUUCAAAAUGGAAAACUUUCGGAAUAGGGAAAUCUUCAUUUCUUUUCUUUUCUUAGAACCCUUUUCAGUUACUUGUUAUAAAAGGUUGACAUGUUUUAUAGGAUUAUUUAAGAUAAAAAUAAGUAAAUGAAAUAGCAUAUAUGAACUAAUUAAGUCAUAUAUAUUAUUGGCUAUAAGUUGGAAGCAAGAUUGCAUAUCUUUAGAAGAUAAAUGAAGAGGUAAAUAGAUUGGCGAUCGCGUUCUAAGAAUUAUACAGUAAGGUGUUUAAUAGGUGUGUUAAAUGAAGAGUUUGAAAUUCUUAAGUUAGGGUUGUAUAAAUUAGUAAUGAUAAUUUGAAAUAUUUGUAGAUUUUAAUUUUAGUGACAUUAUCAUUUUAAAGUAAUUGUAAAUUUUAGUGAAUUUUUGUAAGUUAUAAUCAAGAUGUCUAGUUUUCACGAGAAUACAGUCUCACGGGUACGCCAUGUGAUGUUGCAAAUUUAGUCCAUGGACCCAAAUUUGGAGUGAAGCGUCUUCACAGACUAGUAAGUGAGCAUUGGUUUCUCCAUAAACAUUCCAAUUGACUUCAGAAAAGGAAAAAAUAAAAAAGAGGAAAAGAAAGAAAGAAACAUGUGCUUAUAUAUAUACAUACAUAUAUACAUAUAUAAUUCUACAGUCUCUACAAUUCUGAAUAAGGCCCAACAAAGAGACUUACAAUAUCAUCAAGGCAGGAAAUGUAGGGACUUAGUAAAAAACAAGAACAAGAUGGGCAGAAUGAGAUCCCGUGAUUAGUUUCCUCUACAAAUCUGCAGUUGAGCCUACGUGCCAACAAAUAUUUUACCUGAAAAAGAAAAAUAAAAUAAGUAGAUAGAGUAAGAUUUUGAACUUAAAAAACACGAAACUUCAUUUGUACAGGAAAAAAAGUGAAAAUCAGUAAGAAAACUGAACAAUAAAUAAAAGUGAAAAUCAGGAACUCUAAAUCUCUGAAUACCUGAUGCCAUCACUGCCUAUUCUCACAAGGGGAAUCUCUUCAAUCACGGGCCAGUAGUCUCCUCUAUCCAUCAAACACCUUUUCUCAAGAAGUGGGCAUUGAUAAAUUAGUAGAGUUUGAAGCGGAUUACGCAGCGAUUCCUUUGGUAGGGAUCCAAGCUUGGGGCAGUUAAAGAUAUGCAGAUAUUGAAGAGCUGUAAGACCUCGCAAGAACGUGGAGAGCGAUUUCAGAUUUGGUAAGUCACCAAUGGCGACGGACCUAAGAGUUGGAGGAAGCAAAGCCAAUCCAUCAUCGCCACUACCAGAAAAUGAUUCCAGCUCUGGAUAUCCACUGCAGAUGCUGAAACUUUCAAGAUACGUGAGUCUGUUGAGUCCCCAUUCUGACAGGGGCUUCAGCUGUAAGUUUUCUCCUGCCCCUAUGUGAAGAAACUUCAGACUGGGAGGAAAAUCUCCUUGUGGAAAUAGAGAUCUUAGUCUUCCCAACCCACUGGGCAAGUAACUAACAUUUUUGCAUCUGUCCAAGGAAAGAUAUUCCGAACUUGGACUGGGCAAUUGAUCCAGAUGAUGAUCACAAUCGCUGAUAUACAAAGACCGGAGACUUGCAAAACAAUAGACUGAACCAAGCAUUGUCCUCAAAUUCAGAUAUGGGCAACCAACGAUUUCCAGUCUCUCAAUCGAUGUGCUGGUGUCCUCAAUGACAAUCUCUGGAGUAAGGUUCAGUUUCUGGCACUGCCAGAUCUCAAGAUUCCUAAGCUGAGGGAGGAGCAACUUCUCCAUUGGCAAGCAACUGAGGGCUGAGCAUCUGCUUAUUUGCAAUGUGUUAAGACCAGAUAAUGUAGGCAAAGACUGGAGAGCACUGCAACCUUUUAUCUCAAGAUAUUUGAGCGUUGGUAAGACACCAAGCUCCUCCAAGGAUGAAAGCUGUGAACAUUCUGAAACAACUAAAGAUUUUAGCUGCACAACGUUUAUAGUGUUACUUGAGCCCCACAGAUUUUUCAGUUGACGGCAUUCAUGUAAUGUGAUAUCUUCAAGGCCUGAUGGAAACUGCUUGAACACAUCCUCGAGGGAUGCGAGCCCUAUAAUCUGCCGAAACUCCAAUUUGUAUAAUGAGGUCAAAUUGUGAAAACAUUUCGCAAUUCCCAGCGAGCACUGUUUUAACUUUAGUUCAGAGAGUGAAGGAAGAUGCAAAACAGGAAUGCUUUUCAACUCUGGGCAGCAACUUAUACAGAGCUUUCGGAGCAGAGGGAAGUGGCAUUCGUUCUCUCCUGCUGAACUUAAGCAAGUCCAUUCCUCCCAUUGUGGCAUGUCAUUAAAUGUUAGACUUUCAAGCGAUGGAAAGGAAAAUUCCCAAGAGCAAUCUUUGCCACAAAACUCCGUACCUACUGCCUUCACCCCAAGCAUGCUUUGAAUGCUCAAAUCCUUGAGCGCAGGCAAUUGCCCGAGUGAUGGUAAACACUUGCAGUAUGUACAACCUCUAAGGCUUACUUUUACUAAUUUAGUAAAUGAAGAAUCCCCCACCCAGGAAGAGAAUUUGUCUCCCCUAUAGAACUCAAUUUCAAGACUCGUUAGGUUUGUGUAUGGUCGUAGCGCCUCAAGCAAAUCUUGUUGAAGAACUUUACUCAGAGAAUCAUCAUAUUCACUAUUCCAUGCCAAUACUAUGUUAUCAAGGUCCCUCUUGUUCUUCAAGUUGGCAUCCCGUGCUUCUUGAACAUUCGUAACAUUUUGCAACUCCAGAAUGGCGAGUGACCCUGCCAGUAAGGACAAGUUCCCCAAGUCAUUCAGCCUGAACCCACCAUGUUUGCUCACAACCACUUUGGAUAGUGUCUGCAAGCUCGUCAACUGAUCAAUCCCUGAAGGCAUCUUACACAAUUGACUAGUAUUGGAAUUUUCAAGAUGGCGCAGGUUAAUUAAUUUUCUAAUACCUACCGGUAAGUUAAUCAGCUCCCUGCAGUUGCUCAAACGUAGUGUUUGUAAAUUGCAAAGAUUACUCAAUGAUUCAGGCAACAAUUUCAGCCAAGUACCAGACAAAUUCAGGUACCUUAGAUGUAUUAAUUCACCGAUGGAAUUUGGUAGAUCAGAGAUAGCAUAGCCACUGAAUGAUAGCACCCUUGAGUAUCGCAAUUCCAGCAAAAGUUCUGCUACGACCUUUUUAGCGAUGUAAAACGGCAAGCCUUCAUACUUGACAAAAAUGGGCAAUGGUAGGAAACUUCGCAAAUGUUUUGCUUUCUGAAGAGUUUUAAACUUUUGUGUAGCUCCAUACCCUGAACUUGUGAAUGAUGCGUACCUAACCUUGUCAAGGAUCGUGCAUUUGAUGUUCUCUUCCAAGUCGUCUGUCAGUCUGGAACAAAAAUCUCCAGCAACAUAUCUGGCUAGAUCGUUAAUAAGGUCAUGCAUCACAAAACGUGAACUAGUGGAACUAGACUGCUGGAAGAAGGACCUCAUUAGUAGCUCCUUAAAAUAAUUGUCCCCUAUGUCCUCCAUAAGUUCGCUUGCUUUUGACUCCUCGAUAAAACCCUCUGCCAUCCAGAGCAAUACAAGCUCAUAUUUGUCAAACUCAUAGUCCUUGGGAAAUAUGGAGCAGUAAGCAAAGCACGGUUUUAGGUGGGCAGGAAGAUGAUAAUAGCUUAAUCUUAGUGCUGGAAGAAUGUCACUUUGAUCCUCUUUUAUUUCCCAUAUCUCACUGUUCAGUAUAUCCGUCCAUUCAUCUGGGGUCGAUCUAGCACGCAACAACCCUCCAAGAGUCUUCACGGCCAAGGGCAAGUUCUUACAUUUCCUUACAAUACUCCUACCAAUGCCUUCUAGAUUGGGGUACCUGUCAAAAUUUGUCCUUCCCAGUGCAUGUCUUGCCAGUAAGCAUAAGCUGUCAUCAUCUGUCAACUCCUUCAGACUAUAUCCAGCAGUGGAAGACACUACUGAUGCCACCCUAUGAUUCCGAGUGGUGACAAUUAUCUUGCUCCCAGAUGAACCAACUAGAAAUGGGCGGCACAGGAUGUCCCAGUCCUCAUAUUUUUCAUUCCAAACAUCAUCUAAAACAAUUAGAAACCUCUUCCUGGUCAAGGCCUCACUCAGUUUCACUUGAACCAUAUUCAGAUCCUCAUAAUCACAGCCACCCGCUGUGAUUGCUUUAAGGAUUGUCUUUGUUACCCCAAAAAUGUCAAAAUCAUCUGAAACACAAGCCCAAGCCUUGGAAUCGAAAAAUUUGUUGACUCUGUCAUCAUUGUACACCAUUUGAGCAAGAGUUGUUUUACCAAUCCCUCCCAUGCCAACAAUUGGUAUCACAACCACUUUAUCAUCACUCGAUUCAUUUGAAAGGAGCAAUUUGAGCAGCUCUUCUUUGUCAUUCUCUCGACCAUAAACAUAAGACUCCACUAAGGAAGUUGAUGGCAAUCUAUCCCUAGUUUUGUUCGGCCUCUUUGCUACAGUCUCUACCAAAUGGAGGAUAUUGAUUUGUUCUUUCAGGCUCUCCAAUCUUCUAGUUAUUUCAUCCACCUUGGGAGCCAUAUUUCUGUUGAACUUAUAAUCUUUAACAGAAAAUUUUGUACAACAGGAAGGGAUUUUAACCUUUCUUACCUUGCUAGUAGAGCCUUGAGCUUCCAGCAACCUUCUUCGACAAGCUUCUGUGGAGAAUUCGUCAAUCACAUCAUCCAUAUCAUAUGCCAAAUCCUGAAGAUCAUCUAGCCACUGCUUCACAGCAAUCCUCAUAUUCUGCUUGUCCUCUGCAUCAUCAAGCACUACCUGAAUCAGGGAUAGCACUUGGCUCCAUCGUUUCAGCUGAGUAUCUAAGCCUUCUGAGCGCGCAAGUUUCUUCAAAUCAACAGAAGCAAGCUUGUCAAAUAUCACCUUGAUGAUUGCACCAAGAAAGACUUCUAUCAGUGCCAUUUUGUUAUCUAAUCUUUGUUUCCUUUUUUUUUCGGGAUUAUCUUUUGUAAGUAAGCAACAAGAAAAAUAAAACUUAUGAAAACUCAAAAGGGGAGAUAAGAUUGAAAGGUAGAAAAAAAGCAGUUUCUUCACCAGAAAUGGAUCAGUGCCAAAUACUUGCCCCAGUGAUUUUUGAACUGGUGAGGAAAAAGUUUCUAAAAGCACGUCAUCAAUUUUUAAAUUAGCUCAAAUAAGAUAAGCUUUUAUAUGUUGAAGUUGACCAACAUGCUUAAUUAUUUUAUGUCAAUUUGUGUAAUUUGAUUGUAUUCCAAGACAUCAAAUUAAUUAAUUAUCUAUAACAUGAAAUCAUACUAAAUACAGUUUCUCCUUUUGCUACUUCUUUUUUUUUUUUUUUUUGGAUUUUGAAAAUUGAUCUCUCCUAAUAUCUGACAGAUUUUGAAGUAUGAUUCUGAUGUAACUAUUUGCCAUUCAACAGGAUAGGUGAUUAAGUACAUCAGAUUUACCUGUUAGCCAUGAAUUGUAAAACAGAACGUAUGAAAUAAAUUUUAAGAGAGAGAGAGAGAGCUUGUAACGAUGAUAACUAUAAUUAUUCGUCUCACAGAAAUAUCAAAUAAUAUUGGAAGUUGACUUGACUAUGCUAAUGGGUAAUGUACCUAUCUAAUUUGUUUUGCUGCAAGUUUUUUUUUUAUUUUAUUUUGGGUGGGUGGGAGGGGAGGGGAGUUCUUCUUGGGUUUAAUCAACAAGUAAAGAAAAGCUGGCAGUGUUGCUUAAGACAAUUGAAGUUGCGGGGGAGGUUGUUAAGACAAUUUGAUUUUUAAACCAACCUUCCACACAAACUAAAACCAGAAGCUCCAUACGAAGUUAAUUUAAAGAUCUUCUUGCCUUCGAUCUAAGGGAUGGGAAUGGAACUUGUGGUAGACAGAACAUAUUAGUUGCCGCACAUCAUGCCAUCUACUAUGAUAUUCCACAUCGAAACUCUCGAAAGAGGAAAGUAAAGAUAUAUAACGGUUGGCCCGUUGAAUAAUUAAUAACAUUGGGUUAAUUUAGUGACAGGUUGUCAGCCUGUGCAAUAAUAAAAACCUGCUCAAACUAAAAGUAAUUUCUGUAGAUAGUGGUGAACAUGGUCGAAUCCACAGGGGGACUGGGAGUAAUUGUUUCUUUUCAAAUUCACAGUAACCAGGGGGUGUUUUUGUGCAGAGAGUGACAAUCAAAUAAAUGCAAAUAAAAUCCAAGGAACUACUAAAAAUUAAAUAAUAAUUUACUAAACUCAAAUGAAUGAUAACUAAGGUUCUAGCCAAGAAAUAACUUCAACAAUGGUUCACCUAAUUGAUCAUCGAUGCAAAGCCAAUUCCAAUUAGUUACUAAUAAAUAUGUUAUAACUGCCUAACAAGCGAUGACAGUCAAUCCCUCCUUACUGUGUCGGUGAUUAAGAUACGCCCGUUAAUCACUGCCCUAAUUGGAGAAUAAUUCUAGGUACGCCCGUAAGAUAUAAUUCCCCAAUUGCUUUACGUAUUAGAGGAGCCCUAUUCUAACCAAAUAAUACACUACCAGGGUUAUUUUAGGUUAGCCCGCAUAUUUCCCUGACACAAAUCCAAUCAUACCAGUUGUCACUAUUUUGAGACAAUUAAACAAUUACGGAUUUAACGUCCCAAUUGACAAUAGAUUAUCAAAUUAACUAAUUAUCCGGAUCCAAGACAAUCAAUUAAUUAAACAAUCAUAAGCACUGCAACUAACGAAUAUGCGAAUACCAAUAAAUAAAGGAAAAGAUAAAAUUAAAUCGAUCUCACAAUUUUUUAGGCGAACCAGAGCCUCCGUUGUCUCUUGACUAGAGUGGAAAAAAUUAGCUCAUGAUUGAUGAACAAAACCCACAGGAAAUUGGAGAGAAAAAUGCAACCAUCAAUUGGAAAAUGGGUAAACUUGAUUCGAUGGAGUGCUGACUAGAAAGAAAAGCUACAGGAAGUACUUAAUUGUUUUGCCUCUCCUAACAUACGAGGAAGAGACACUACUCAAAGCUAAAGAAAAAGACAAGUCCCCCAAAAAGCUAAGCUAAAAGAUGAAAACCACUAAGAAGAAAUAUAAGUCCAGUUCUCUGCUCUCCUUGUGCGGCGGCCCAGCACCAAGAAGAAGCCCUCAAGCCGUCCUUCCUUCGCAGAAUUUACCAAAAUGGGCGUUACAUCUUCUUUUUCAAAAAUGCCCCUCGGACAAGCUUUAUCAUUUGGAUUCCUUUUCUGCCAAAGUGGCACCUGUUAUCAUAUUUUCGUUCUAUUCACUGAAAUAAAUGCAAAAUACUAAAAGUGAGUAGAAUCCAACAAUUAAUCCAUAUCGGGUCAAGUAAUAGGGGAAAUUAAUAAUAAAAUAAAGGAGAAAAUUGCAACCUAUCAUUUAGCUUUUAUUGGGCCAGUCCAGCAGGCACGGACCAUUACAAAUGGUAUUAGAGCGAAUCUCGUAUGGUCUCUAUGUAAGGUGAGCCUAGGUCAAGUGGUGUGGUUCCAACUAACAACUAAGAGUUUUAGUUUGAAAUCUAAAGUUUGAAUCCAUUAAACUAUUGAAUUGUUAAGUAUUAAAUAUAAUACAUUUGAGUACAUAUCAUAUGAGAACCCAAAAAUUUUCACAUUUUCUCAACAUUAUUUUAUUUCUUUGCCUACAUUUUAUACUUUCCUUGGAAAUAUUAAAAUUUCUAUGCAUUUUUACAAGCAAGUGCAAUUUUAAAAUUAUUUUCCUAAUAUGAAUUAGUGUACGUUAAUUUGAAGUGCGUUAUAGAUGUGGGACCCGCUAGUGUGAUAUAAUUUUGGUGACUAAGUGAUUUUUGUGCUAAGUGUUAUUAUUAUACAAGGUGCUAGAGGAUAAUUAGAGAUUUGUUAUAUGAUGUAACCAUUGGAAGCCAAAGGAUUAGAGAAAACAAUAGAAGGGCCAAGUGGUGCAAACCCAUUGGAGGUUGGAUUUUGACCUCAUUUUCAUCUUUACUAAAAACCAAAUUUUGACCCAAAAUAUCUUCACUUUUCUUGCUUCUUGGCCGACUCUCUUGAGGGGAGAAACAAGAGAGAGCUCUUCAAUUUCUUGCUUCCAAACUUGUUCAAAUCUUGUGUUUUAGCCAAUCAAAUUUGAAACUACACCAUACAAGUGCUCAACUAGGAAGUUUGAUGGUUUUGGUGGAGUUGUUUUGGAGGAGGAAAGACUAAACCACUAUCUUCUUGUGGUUUUAAUGUAUCUUGCCAAGAAAUCUCUCUUUACUUUUAAUACUAGAUUUGUUGCUAGCUUAUUUGUGGUUCAAGGGUGCUCGUAAUGCUUAUAUCAAGAGAUUUUGGAUGAUUGGAGUGAUGCAUUUGAGUUAGGGUUUGAAUUAUUCCCCUCUCAUACUUGUUGUAUGGAUGGUUUAUGAUGUAUGUAAGCUUGUAUAAGAGGUUGUGGUAGUAAUUUAAGCAAGAAAUGAAGAGAUUUCCCUUUUAAACCCCAAAUUCCAGAUUUCAGGAAAUCUUGUUUUCAGUUCUGUCCGUUUCUGUUUGCCUAUGAUAGAGGCCGAAUUAGGCUUACCAUAAAACAUAAAAGUUGUAGUAUUAUGUCUUAGCUUUCCAACGCCACUGAAAACGCCUCAAUCGCACUUCGGUAGCCUGAGUUACUGUCAUUUACGCAUAGUGUGGUUAACUGACCUGUUUGUGAGAUUCUGGUUCUGUAAUUCAAAAUUUUGACCUAGAUACACUACGAACUGGACUAAGUGGUCUUCAUCAAAGUUGUAGCUCUCUGUCUUAACUUAAAAACGGUAUAAAUUGCACCUCAAUCCGAUAAGCGUAGCCUCGGUUGUGUCCGUUACGCAAAAUAACGUCAAAUCUGUCUUUUGUUUCUUGACUCAACCUUCAUUUCCGCACAUGUUCCUAGCUUGAUUUUGUACUUGUAUGACUUGGAGCCUAUGGAAUGGCUAUUGAAAUGAAAUGAUUUUGUGUGUGAAUUUGGGAUUGAUUGAGGACAAUAAUGAAGCCAUAAAUGGCUGGAAAACAGGUAAAUACAAAGGGCGUGCUGCCCAAAUUUACGCUCGAGAACUAGGUCGAUGUACUUGCGACUUGAGUAAGGCUUGAAAGCAAAUACCACGUGAACCAUCUAGGGUAUUUACGUCUUCUUUUAUUGAGAUAUAUAAGUUCGAAUUUAGCCGAAACUUGUACCCUUGGAAAAAAUGAAAUUUACGACUAAUAGAAAUACGUUUGCUUUGUCACUUCGACUCAAUUGGAGAUUUUAAAGUUUUACGAGUGAGCAUAAGUUUUACAAAUAUUUUACUUAUGUUCUUUGGUUUCAAUGUACUCUUUUCACUAUCAAAACCAUAUUUAUAUUUCAUACUAGUACGUAUUCGAAUUUUCUUUGAAUCACUUAAAUCUUUGAUGGUUGAAACAUAAUGUGUUCUUUUGAUUAUAUUAGGGUUCAUCGGUGACUGACGGUAUUAUCCGGCAGGAUAUUUUGGAUAUUAUUUUGCGUAAAUAGGUGAGUGUUCCUUGUUUGUUUUAUUUUCAUUGACUAUGUGGCUUGUUCUUGAUUAUAUGACUUGUUAUGAAUGAAUGAUAACAUGUUAAAUGUUUUCAAUGAUUACUUAAAAUGAGUUUUCUAGGCGAGUGUGUAUUUUAUCGCACUUGACCUAAAUGAAUGUGAAAUUUUCAAUGAUUGAAUGAUUAUAUGUGCAUGAAUGUAAGCCUCUCGGCUGAACUGAGCCCUGCCCUUCGUUACUGAUUGACUCGAGCCAGAAGCGGACUCGGUCGGGCGAUUUAGUGACCCUGGGUGAACGUUUGGUAUACUCGAGUAUUACCUUGUAAUCUGGUGGAGCCUGGCCAACGUCCAGGAGGGGGUGAAAUGAAAUGAAUGAACGAAUAUCAAUGUAAAUGAAGGGUUUUACUUAUCAAAAUGCAUUUUCAAACGAUAGGAGGAAUAAGGAAAUGAAAGGAGAAUGAAUGAAUGGCUCCAUGUGAGCAUUUAUCCUUUUAAUGAAUGUUAUUAUUGAUUUAUAUUGUCAUGUUUCUUGAAUUACUUGCUAUCUAUGGUUAAUGUAUUGAACUCAUUGUUUGUUUAUGUGUUUGGAACUUCACUGAGCUUUUAGCUCAUUCCGUUAGUUUUGUUUUCCUUAACAGGGGAUGUGAGCAAGGACGAGAACUCUGUAUAGACUAGCUUAGUCUAGUUCUUUGGAUUCUUUUGUAACGGUUCUCGCCCUAGCACUUGGCAAGGGUGGAUGUAUGAGGAAUUGGGAACCUUUGUAUAUUUGAAGUUUGUAAUUCCUUUGGAGAUAGGAAUGUAUAUAAGUUUAUGUUUUAAGUUUGGGAUUGUUAUUCGCUUGUUUUGUAAAUUUUAUCUUCAAUUCCUUGAGGUGAAUGAUUGAGUCCCGGCGAGAGUUGGGCAGACGGUCCGCUGAACCCUUUGGUUCGCCUUAGGGUAAGGUAGGGCUGUCACAUAUCACAUCUAGUGAUAAGUGAAUAGUUUAUCAUUUAGUUUUGAGAGCAAAUUUUACCUAAAAAAUUCAAUGCUACUUAAUUUAUUCAGAUGUUUAAUAUUUUGUUAUCAAACGAUCUAAAUAUGUUAACAUCUGAUUACAUUAAAUUUAAGUGCUAAAUGAAAUUAUCAAACAGGAUCUAAAUAAGAAAGUAUAAGGAACUAAGUACUAUAUGGGACUAAACCCCACAUUAGACGGUCGCCUUUAGAAUUCGUACGAGUUACCACUAGAAUCUGCAUAUGACUAAAUAAUCAGUGGGAUUGCAACGGAUUUUUCUUAACAAUCUAGAAUCCGCUCACGAUUAAAUGAUCAGUUGAAUUGCAACGGGGUUUCUUAACAAUAAGUCAAGUCAUUUGUGGAAAAUAAAUGGGACGCCAUAAACUGCACUAACCACAAACUGCACUAUCCACAAAUUAGAAAUAUGAAAGAGAUGGAGUCAGCCAAAGUGAGGCUCAUGAAGCUUAGGAUUCUGAUGCUUAUGGGAUGAUGUAAGCUGCUUGCCCAUUGGGCUGUCACACUCUUUGCAAGAUUUCGUAGUUGGUCAACAUUGUGACCUCCUUGAACCGUUAGAUGAUAGGCCUAUAACCGCAGGGAUAGAGCAGGAAAACAUUACGGUACGUGAAGUGUCAGCUUUGGAAACAAGGGUCUAGCGUAACCCUUCCCAAAACACUUACAGACACGGCUAAAAUAAUGUCAACACAAAAAAACACAUGGAAGUAAUAUUAAAAUAUUACACAAGAUCGACGAAAGCACGGGGAUUAUUCAAUCAAUCUAUUAAUUUUCCUCUCUCACAACUCAACUCACUCAACAAAUUCUUUGACUCAACUUAACAAGGCUCAACUCAACUCUCUAAUUGAAUAUGAAACAGGCAUCACAUAUAUGUAGGCAAUAGCUUACCAUAUAACUAAAGACUCGAGUGACUUCCACCGACUUGGACUAAGAAACCAAUUACACUUAGAAAACCAACUAAUCAAGGAUUCGGACUUGACUAUUCACCGACCAAAAUUUAAGGAAACUAACAAGUUGACAGCAGAUUAAAACGUUACCAUGUAAUUGGUUAUAGUAACAACUUUAAUCUAAUAAUCUAAACAAAUAAAUGACGUCAGCUUGAUUUAAUUUCCUUCAAAUAACACACGGGAAACACCUAGAACACCCAAAACAAUCCAUCAACCACUAACCCUCUCCUUCCUCCCCCACCCAAGCCCCCUGCGCCAACCCUCUGCCGCCUCCUCCACCUCCCCUGCCUGCCACCAGCUCCCCAAUCACUUCUCCUACUCUCAUGCUCGCCAAAAAUUGGGGUCUUUUUAUGUGGUUACGAGUAAUAUAUAAUGGUAUGCUCAUUGAAGUAGUACACCAUCACUCAGUUAAAGCAAACCAUUACAACUAAUAAUUCAUUGGCACCAAUUAAAGGGCAGUCAGCUUGGACACUCAUCAAGACACAUCCAAGUGCACAUAGUUAGACAUUUUCACAAACUAGUAAUAAAGCACGUGCUUGCACGUGAACAUGAUGCUUUUAGAUUUUUUUUCCUUUAAAAUUUUUAGAAAAUCAAUUAUUUUAAAGGAAUAAAUGUAAUUGAGACAAAAAAUAUGAUAUUUCAUAUUUAUAUUAUUUUAUAUUUUUCUGAACUUAGUUUUCCCUAACCAAACAUAAAUGCACAAGUAAUAAACCACUCUUUGUUUUAAGAGCACUUUUAUUUUGUAACAGUAUCAAUAUUUUUGUCUUUUGGUUAAAUUUAGAUGACCUAAAUGUUUUUUUUAUGCCAUUUGAGUUUAAAUUUUCAAUUUUUCGAAUAAUUUGUUGCUCCCUUUAAGUUAUUCUAUGAAUUGUUUAUUUGUUUUAGUGAGAUUUUCUAAUUAUUAUUAUUUCUUGCUAAUUGUGGAUUGUAAAAUGAUCUAUAUUGCUACUGUAAUUAUAAUAGUAUCAAAAUAUAUUGAAAUUCCAUUGUUCGAAUUUAAAUAGCUUAACUUUAGAGAGAAAUGUUUUGAUUUGGUAAAACUUAUUUGUAUUUCUCACUGAUGACAUGCUUUAUGAAUAUAGAGUUUCUAUGAUUAAAUAUUGUAAGAUGUUAAGAUUAUUUAUUAGAUAAUAGUUAAACUAAACUUGGAUAUAUUUUUAUUCACCUUUGAAAUACUCCUUGAAAUUGAUAUUUUAUAAAAAAUAUAUUUUUUUUCUUAAUUCACCAUAACUCAAAGGGAUGUUUUGACUUUGUAAUUAUUAUUAUGAUUAGCAUUGAUGAAUAUAAUAUUCAUUAAUUGCAGUUUAAUACUAUUAGUUGUUACAAGAAUAUGAUUAAUAAAGUCCAUUAAAUUUAAUCUUUAUUGCAAUUUAAAUAAAUAAAUUCCUAACACAAAACUCUUUGCCUACCUUGGUACUCCAUUUCCUAUUUUAUUUUUUAUUAAAUUUUUUUUACUCAAUAGUAAUAUAUGCAUAUUAAAAAGAUGCUCUUAAGACUUAAUUUAUUUGUAUCCAAAAAAUAAAAAAACUCGUGGUACUUUUUAAGAGACUCAUAUUACCAAUUUAUGUUUUAAGAGACUUAGAUUUUGUAAAUAAAAUUCGUUCUUCUUUCUUUUAGUAAAUAAAAAGUAAGGAAUCUUUCAUAUUCGUAACUACUAGCCUAUUUGAUAUUAUUUAUUAAUGAUGAAAUAAAAUGAAAUUUAUCCAUUUAUUAGAGAGGAAUGUAAUUUUGGUAUCAAAAAAAUUAAUAUCAUUUUUGUUACAUUAUUAACCACUAAGAUUCACCAUAUUUUUUAAAUUUAUAAAUAAAAUUUAUUCUUCUUUUUUAUUUAAUUCACUAUAACUCAAAUUCUAAUUGUUCAAAUUAUUUGCUAAUGCUUCAGUUUUUAUUCUAAUUACUCAUAUUAUUGAAGCAAUUGGUAACAUCUUAUUCAUUUCAUUAAUAUCAUAACCGAAAUAAAAUGACUGUAAUUAUUAGACCAAAGGGUACUUUGGUCAUAGCAAAAACUAAGGCCCAAAAAAAAAUGCUUACACUUCAAAUUGUUUACACUCUAUUUGCCUAAACUAUCCGUUCUUUUAUUGGGAUCAUAGAUACAGAUAGAUAGAUUAGUUUGCUCGUUUGUCAUGGUAUUAGAAGGCAUCAAUAGCACCUAUAGCAACAGAUUUAUGUCAUAUAUUGGACAAGGUAUUGAGCUUUGCACGCCAUUAAUGGUUUGACCAAGUGUAUCUCCAUGUUUCAAAUAUUAUUUGGUUAGUUAUUAGAAUGAUGCAUCCCAAACUUCUUUUGCAACUAAUGUUGAUAGCCAAAACCAAAAUGGGGCCUUUGGUGUCUGCCAAACUAUCAAAAAUAAAAUUUAUAUUAAUACCUACUCUCUAAACUAAAUGAGUAUAGUGGUGAGUAGGGUUGUCUUCUCAGGGAAGUGGUAAAUUUAUCACACACAGAGAAUUUGGGGGAUUUUAGAAUGGAAGACAAAAAGGACAAAUUAAAGAUGUAAAGGUACUGAAUUUUCAAUCGCAAGAAAGCACAGUAGCUAAAGAAUAUAAAAAACAAUUAAUUGACACAACCUAGUCAAGGAGAUAAUCUCGGUACCGGUUCACACAAUUGAUCAUAGAUACCUGAAUUAAUUCACAUGUUCGCAAAUAAAUUGGUUAAAGCAAUUCAACAACACCACCAAUCUCUCCUUAAUUAUAUGGUAGUCCAGAGACGCUCUUAAACUACCCUCUUGUAAAUUAGAUAACCCCAAAGACGCUCGAAAGAUUUGAUCUAUUCACAGCUUUAGAAAUUAGAGAAACCCAAUUCUAGUUAACAAACACACAUGCGGGUUCAUUUAAACUAGAUUAAUUAUUCCUACGGCACCGAUUAGACUGCUUGCAAGGCAAUGAAAUUGUCCCGUUCGCCACUAAUUUAAGACAAUCAAGUGAUACGCACCCCUGUCCUAAUUGGCAGUAUACUAUUCAGACAAUUGAAUAACUGACCACAUUAAUCCAAUAGAUCUAAACAAUAAUAGGCUAUUCAAAUAAGGAAUAAUUAAAUACUCACAAACGCUGAAUUUAGAACAAUCAAAAUGAUCUUACAAUUAUUCGUGCACCGGACCUUGAUUAUUCCUCAACUAGAUAAAAGAACCUAGCCUGAUCUCAUGCCGUUGAUGCAAUUCCACGUUUUUAUGGAGUUUAGUGAUUGAAAAAGUAGUAAAAAGGAUGCAGCCGCUAACUUGCGUUUAGGAGAAAAAAACCAAAGAUAAAUGUCAACAAGAUCCAAAGAUCCCCUCCUAGUCUAUUGCAGUCUUGCUUUUAAAGUCUUUCUGUCGCCUCCUUGCUUGCCACAUCAGAGUUUGUUUCUGAAAAAGAUUGGUUCCUUAUUUUCCACCUUGAAUUGCUGUCAAAAGUCUUCUCUGACUCUAUUUCCUAAUCCCACACAGGUUCAAAAUGUGUCUCCAAAGAAUAGCAAUAGCUCUAGGGAUAGGACCCGCGAUCCAUCUUUUUAACGCAGCUCUGCAGUCUCUGGCGUGGGCACGCUCUGAAAGGACUGGUCUUCUGGAAAUUUACUUCUUUUUGCCACUUUUGACCUUAGUUGCCUGUGGGUAACACAAAUACCCAAUAUGAGUAUAAACCCAUUACUCUGCAUAAUAAUUGGCCAAAUUUAGGACUAAACAUCAAUGUAAUAAACACUCAACUAUCGCCCUAUCAGCCUUAUCGGGGGCUGCAGUGGCUAAAGAAAAUAAUUUGUUGAUAAGUACUUUUUCCAUCCUAAUGUUGCUGCAGACAUUGCGAACGCAAUAGUACUGUCCUCUAAACCUUUAUCAACAAUUAAAAUCCACACAAUUUGUCUGAUCAAAAUUGUAUAUUUGUAAAAAUCAUAGCACUCCAAGAAACGAUAUUCUCGUUGGACAUAUCCCCGAACAAUCAGAUUGCUUAAAGAGUCAAUAUGAGAAACAAUCAGAAUUGACCUAAAUUCUGCAAUAAUUAUAAAUUGAAAUACCUUAGCUUCAACAACAAUUUUUAAGUAAACUCAUGGUACAAGUAUUUUUUUUUUUUUUAUGAUGAUGAAACGGGGUCUAAUUGAUAAAAUGCUUUACUGUAUCCAACAGGUCAUGAGUACAAUGCAUUUCUUUUUUCUAUUUUUUUUUAAGUUGAUUGGAUUGUCAAUGGCGAAAUCAAAUGAGCAAUUAUUGGACUGCGAAGAUUGAAAAGCUCAGCCCAUCUUGACCAUUGUUUUAUCGCUACAAUGCUAUAAAUGGGCUGACUAAUUAGGUCUCAAACUUUCUAUACUUGGUCAGUUAUUGGAAUGAUACAUCCCAAAUUCUUCAGAACUAUUUUGAAAAGCCAAAACCAAAGUUUGGCCUUAUUUAGGAUUGUAGUGACUUUAGAAAUUAAUUUGUUAUUGGAGCUUGCUGUAUAGGAACUUAAUUAUUGAAAGAAAGUGUUCAAACAUGUAGUAAAGAUAUAAUUUAGUGAACUGGAUAGUGAAUGGAUAGUUGGAUUAGAUAUUAUUCAUAUGUGCAACUAGAGGUUAGUGUUCAGCUUACUAUUUGUGAUUAUUAGUCGCAAUUUUAGCAUUGUGCCUUAAUUACAUUUUGCCCACUUGUAGCUAGCGGCCAAUAGCAGUUUACUCUCUAUAUACAUGAAAUACACAAAAUGCUUACUAAUGACUAAUGCCAAACAUUUUAACAACUAGACUAAAAAAAAAAAAGACUAAUGCCAAACAUUUUAACAACUAGAAAGUGCAGGUGCACUGCACGUGUUUGAUCAUGCCAAAACUUGCCUUACUUUUAUCUAAUAUUGUGAGAGACUCAACUCAGAAGAUUAAUAUUUUUGCUAGAAAAGCCUCUGAUCCAUUGCAUGCCAAACAUGGUAGUUUGGAGAAGCAAGCAAGGCUCAUUAACCAACAAGCAAUGCAAAACCUGUAAUCAUGCUGUAUAAGUGGCUGUAAUUCAGUAGAACAAGGAGAAGUUACUUGAUAUAUCUUAGACAGGAGCUAAAUGCUUCUCCAUUAAUCUUAGAGUUUCAGCCUUUAUUGUUAUUGCAAUUGUAGAAUCUUGAGAGCCCAGGAAGGGUGAAUUCCAAUAUUCCUUUCCAGUUUUUCAUUGGGUUAAUUAAGAUGCAUUCGAAAGAAUGAUGACAAGUCAACCUUUUGAGUGCCCUUGGAAACGAUAAAUAUAUGACAUGCUCCUUGUAAUAUUAUAAAUCAGAAUACCCGUCCCUUUUCUUUUGGUAUCAUCCCUUUCUUAGAGGCCCUUGAUUUGGUUUUUGAGCAUCACUGCUUGUAGGAUUAAAUGUGAAGCUGUAAGUGAGAAGCAGAGUUAGUGUUAGAAAGGCUAUUUUCAUCUAGGCAUUCUAGCUGUAGAAAUAGCAAGCAACACAAACAACCUUCUUAUUACCUAAUGAAUCUCAAUUGGAAGAAAUAUAUUUUGGCCUUAGAUAAGCAUGGCUGGCUUACUAACCAUUUUCUUGCGUGAUUUUACACCUUUAUGUCUCUACCGUGAAAUAAGAAGCAUGGCUUAAAGUAGUAAUUCUUUCAUUUGGUAGAAUUGACUCCAAAACUAUCAAAGACAUUCUUGACUUUCUUUGUAUUUCAUCGAUACGAUGUUGGUUGUAGGGACAAUGUGAAGAUUUGCGCCGAAGAUUUAAUGAUGGUUUACAUAAGAGGCCUAUGACCAUAAGAUUGUUUCUGCACUUUCUUUGUAAUGGUACUGCUAUCCUUCCAUACUGCUGAUGUUUAUAUUCACUAGAAAAAAAAAUUAUCACGUGCACUGCAUGUGUAUAAUUUAUAAAAUAAUUUUAAAAACUGAAUUAAGAAUUUUUGUAAUAUUUAAAGGAGUGUUCUUGUAGGACGAGAAAAUGUUAUAGGACAGAAGUCAUUUGAGUUGGGUAGCUUUUGAUAUGUCUUCUAUUUCUUUCUUUUAGAUAAAAUAGCACAAACAUCCUACACAUUUUGCCAAAGAAUUUUUUUAUCCUCAAAUUUAAAAUGCUAAUAUUAAAUUCCUAACAAAAAUAAACCAGUCCAAUUUGGACCAAACCUCUAACUCCAACCAUCUUUUGUCAUGAAACCAUAUUUCUGUUAGCAAUAAGUUAUCCAGAAGUCCUUUGAAGCCAUUUUGAAAACAUCCAAUUUUACUUUAUUCUCCUUCUGGCUUUAGAAUGAGCAUCUAUUCACUCUCAAACACAAAUGUUCAAAGUUCUUCACCAAAACAUGCUUCAUUAUGUCGGAUUUUGCCAAAAUAAUCAAAUAACCAAUGUCUUCAGAUUACCUUAUUCUUUAUAGGCAAACUGAAAGAGCUUUAAUUAGAGAGGAAUAAGUUUCAGAUUAUUUGGUUGUCAACUCAUGUUCACAUGACAAAUCCUAUAACUUGCAUAAGAAACAAAAAAUCAAGAGGAGUAUUUUGAUUCUUUGGAACAUGAUGAUUUUAAGUUAAUAUAAUUAUUUAUGUGAAUCGACAACUAUCUUAUUAUAAGUUUAGUUGAUACCCCAAUAGAGGUUCUGGAUUUGAAUUCCUCCCGGUCCUUCCUAUUUCUUAAAUCUCAGUUCUCUCCUAAUAAAAAAUUUUAAAAAAAUGUCUCACAGUUAAUUCUGUAGACAAAUCAAAGUCACCACCUUUAAUAUCAAUCCAAAAUAUUCCAAAUUCAUAAAAUGGUAUUUAACUUUUAAUGACCUUCAAUUGAUUGGUUAUGGUUUGGAUAGGUUAAGUAAACUUGCUCAGAUAUAGGGUUAAGGCUAAAUUGUAAAACAAACACAGUUCUUCAAUUUUUUUUUUCUUUUCUAAACAAGGCGCUAAUAUUAUUGAAAGAAAUUAAAAGAGAGUGUGAAAUAAACAAAAAGUAAAAAAAUUGUACCAAUAUAAUUAAAAUCUAAGAUUUGUCUAGCAAUAGCUCAAAGUGUGAUAACAUGUGUACAUCAUUCGAAAACUACUUUUUUUUUGUGAAAGAUGGAUCCUGAAAUAAUAAUAGAAAUUUAUAUUAGAAAAUGAAUGAUAUAUGGAUAGAAAUGAAUGUAAUCGUGAUCUUUAGUUUUUGUGAAUGAUUAUGAGAGUAAGAUACAUUAUAAGAGUAAGAUAUGUAGAAUUGUGGGAGUUGUGGAAAUUAUAAUGCAAACGGGCUCCUAAAUUUUGGAUAUGUAUUUUCCAUAGUACUGAGUUCCUUAAAUUAUGAGUUGCUUAUAACUAUGAGUCGUGUGCUAAGUGUUAGACGUGGUUUACAAUUUGCAGAUGCAAUUUUGCAGGGGUGGUUAAUAAAUGUUAGUUAAAAUUAUGGAGUUAUGAUUUUAUAGGUUAGUGAGUCACGUAAAUGGGAAAAAUGAAAAGAGAUGCGGAGAAGGAAUAAUGAAUUAAAAUAAAUCUAAAAUUGUAGAGGGUUCUCGUUAAAAACCUGCCCUCUAAUACAUAUAGAUAUAGAUAUGGAUUUUCGGCUAAAAAUUCUAUGGAUUGAGCUAAUUCUAAUAUGGGCAGGUUUAUGAUUAUCAUAUAGUUAACUUAGCAUUGUGGAGAUAAAACCGACCAUAUAAAGACGGAUAACAAAGCAAAUAAGAGACACAGAAGAUUUACGUGGUUCGGUCAAAUUGACCUACGUCCACGGGCGAGGGAGGAGCAAUAUUUCUACUAUGAAGAAGAAAUACAAAAGCCGUAGGAAAGUGGUUCCUAGGCCAAUAAGGCACUUACAAAAGAGUUUAGAAAAUAUUCCUAAACUCAAAAUAAGAGAGCCUAAAAUAUUUGACUGAAUGGGCUAAAUGACUUAAGAAGCUAAUAGCCCAUAUAACUCUCUUAAGUGGUGCAAUCAAUUCCUUCAUAAGGCUCCCUUAUUUAUAGGAAACCAAAGGAAGAAUUCCUUUGGCUUCUACCGAUGUGGGACGAAGCACCAAAAGCAUUUGUUCAACAAAUGUGGCUUCACAAAAAUAUCAAUUUUUAAAAAAGGUAUGUGUAAUAUUGGUAUCAAUAACACUUCUUUUGCACUUCUUCUAUUCCCUUUCGUUCUUUUUCUGUACCUAAGACCAUUGGAAGUAUGGUCAGGAAGUUGGUAAAAAUCUGAUAUUUUUAUAGAUGCGGUAUGUAAAGAGCCUUCGUGUAUCCAUUGCCUUUUGCUUAUGUGACGUUCUCUUUUAUGUUGUAUAUGAAUUAGAUUUUCAGUUUUUUGAUUAAUUCGUGGUUUACCUUCAUGUGAUUUUAAGAUUGUAUUUUUCAGUUUUAGUGGGUUUUUUCAGUUUUUACUCUUUGGGUGUUAAUGAUUGGUCGAAAUGAUUUUUGGUUGUUAAUGUUUGGUGUAAAUGAUUGAUAGAUAGUGCUCUUCCAAUUGGUGUCAAUGCUAAAUAAUGGUAUUUCAAUUUAAAACUUUUUUGGUAAUGUGGGCCUUAAGUUUUGUACUAGCUUUAUGAUUUUAGAGCUUGUGUGAUUAAUAGUGAAAGUAAUAACGAAAUUGGCUACAUUUUUAUUGAUGUUUGAUAUAUUCUUUAAACUUGGAUAUUGUAUAAAUGUAGAUGUCAUCAUGGAGAUGGACAUCAUCAUCUUCAAAUUUUUGUUCUUGUUGUUUCUGGAAGAACACCGUGAAAAGCUUUAAGGGUCAAAAGAAGUUGUUGAGUCUAGAGUAUUAUAAUUCUCAUAGACAUCAAUUGUUAGUUGUCAGUUUUGCUUGGCUUCCUCUCAUUAGUUGCCUGUGUAAUGAGUGAUUGGAAUAUUAGAAAAUGUAUUUCUAAAGCUUAGGAGAAAAAAAAGAAAAUAUUCUUUAUUGACUACAUGAAAGAAGACAUUUGAAAUUAUUUUAUAAGAAGUUCCGUGUAAUAAAAAAAAAUGACUACCAUGUUCUUAAUUAUCAAACAAUGAAUGCCCACUUAUACUUUUGCACCGACUGCAAAAGUAUGCUUCUAAUUACUCAAAUCAUUUGGUAGUGUUUUAUUCUAAUUACUCAUAUUAUUGAAUCAAUUGGUAACAUUUUAUUCAUAUCAUUACUGUCAUAACCGAAAUAAAAUGACUCUAAUUAUUAGAAAAAAGAGUACUUUGAUCACAGCAAAAACUAAGACAAAAAAAAAAUACUUACACUUCAAAAUUGCUUACAUUCCACUUGUCUAAACUAUCAAUUGUACAGACAGAUAGAUAGAUAGAUUAGGCAUCAACAGAACCUAUAGCAACAGAUUUAUCUCAUAUAUUGGACAAGGUAUUAAUGAUUUGACUAAUUGUAUCUCACAUAUUAUUUGGUUGGUUAUUCUUAUUAGAAUGAUAGAUCCCAAACUUCCUUUGCAGCUAAUGCUGAUAGCCAAAACCAAAAUGGGGCCUGCAGUCAUUAAAGAAUAUAAUUUGUCGAUAACUACUUUUUCAUCCUAAUGUCGUUGCGGACACAAUAAAUUCAAAUGACCAAUUAUUGGUCUGCGAAGAUUGAAAAGCUCAGCCCAUCAAAUGAGCAAUUAUUGGUUUCUAAUUUCCAAGCCACGUAUAUGCAACGACUUGCAAGUCUUCAGCAAAGAGCAAGAAAAGAGUUAUAACACAGGACCAAACUGGCUAUGAUUAUAUUCAUAUUUUUUUUUUGAGCAAUUUAUUGAUACUUCUAGCGCCAUGGCAAUUCGUGAAAUCUCUCUAUCACAAUGUCGAUUUCAUGUUUGUGAACUGGUACAAGUUCGAGACUUCAUUGCAUGUCCCGAUGUCUUUGGCACCUUCUGAAAGUUUUCAAUAGCGGAUUUAAACUUAACUCAAUCGUUAAAGUGUUAACGAACCAAUUAGAGGCUAGUCAGUUUGACUGAUACAAAUUAGUUUGCCACACAAUUAGACAUUUUCAACCAAUUUGUCAGUUGACAAAAGAGCAUGAGUAGUACUUCUAGCAGUAGGUCUAACUCAUAUACAUUCAACAAAUUAUUGAGCUUUGCAAGCUAUAAAUGGGCUGACUAAUUAGGUGUCAAACUUUCUAUGCUAGGUCAGUUGUUGGAAUGAUACAUCCAAAUUCUUCACAACUAUUUUGAAAAGCCAAAACCAAAAUUUGGCCUUAUUUAGAAUUGUAGUGACUUUAGAAAUUAAUUUGUUAUUGGAGCUUUUUUUUUUGGGGUUCAUUGGAGCUUGAUGUAUAGGAACUUAAUUAUUGAAAGAAAGUGUUCAAACAUGCAGGUAAUGAUAUAAUUUAGUGAACUGGAUAGUGAAUUGAUAGUUGGAUUAGAUAUUAUUCAUAUGUGCAACUAGAUGUUAGUGUUCAGCUUACUAUUUGUGAUUAUUAGUUGCAAUUUUAGCGAAUCAUAAUGCCUCAAUUACAUAUUGCCCACUUGUAGUUAGCAGUCAAUAGCAGUUUACUCUCCAUAUACAUGAAAUACACAAAAUGCUUACUAAUGACCAAACAUUUUAACAACUAGGAAAAUGCAGCUCCAUUGCACGUGUUUGAUCAUAUCAAAACUCGCCUUUACUUUUUAUCUAUAUUGUGAGAAACUCAACUCAGAAGAUUAAUGUUUUUACUAGAAAAGCCUUUGAUCCAUCGCAUGCCGAAGCAGCAAGCAAGGCUCAUUAACCAACAAGCAAUGCAAAACCUUUAAUCAUGCUGUAUGAGUGGCUGUAAUUCAGUAGAACAAGGAGAAGUUACUUGAUAUAUCUUAGACAGGAGCUAAAUGCUUCUCCAUUAAUCUUAGAGUUUCAGCCUUUAUUGUUAUUGCUAUUGUAGAAUCUUGAGAGCCCAGGAGGGGUGAGUUCCAAUAUUCCUAACCAUUUUUUCAUUGGGUUAAUUAAGAUGCAUUCGAAAGAAUGAUGACAAGUCAACCUUUCGAGUGCCUUUGAAAACGAUAAAUAUAUGACAUGCUCCUUGUAAUAUUAUAAAUCAGCAAUACCUGUCCCUUUUCUUUUGGUAUCAUCCCUUUCUUAGAGGCCCUUGAUUUGGUUUUUGAGCAUCACUGCUUGUAGGGUUAAAUGUGAAGCUGUAAGUGAGAAGCAGAGUUAGUGUUAGAAAGGCUAUUUUCAUCUAGGCAUUCCAGCUGUAGAAAUGGCAAGCAAUACAAAUAACCUUCUUAUUACCCAAUGAAUCUCAAUUGGAAGAAAUAUAUUUUGGCCUUAGAUAAGCAUGGCUGGCUUACUAACCAUUUUCUUGCGUGAUUUUACACCUUUAUGUCUCUACCGUGAAAUAAGAAGCAUGGCUUAAAGUACUGAACUGUGUCCAAUAGUAAUUCUUUCAUUUGGUAGAACUGACUCCAAAACUAUCAGAGGCAUUCUUGACUUUCUUUGUAUUUCAUCGAUACGAUGUUGGUUGUAGGGACAAUGUGAAGAUUUGCGCCGAAGAUUUAAUGAUGGUUUACAUAAGAGGCCUAUGACCAUAAGAUUGUUUCUGCACUUUCUUUGUAAUGGUACUGCUAUCCUUCCAUACUACUGAUGUUUAUAUUCACUAGAAAAAAAAAAUAAAAAUCACGUGCACUGCAUGUGUAUAAUUUAUAAAAUAAUUUUAAAAACUGAAUUAAGAAUUUUUGUAGUAUUUAAAGAAGUGUUCUUGUAGGACGAGAAAAUGUUAUAGGACAGAAGUUAUUUGAGUUGGGUAGCUUUUGAUAUGUCUUCUAUUUCUUUCUUUUAGAUAAAAUAGCACAAACAUCCUACACAUUUUGCCAAAGAAUUUUUUGUCCUCAAAUUUAAAAUGCUAAUAUUAAAUUCCUAACAAAAAUAAAUCCAAUUUGGACCAAACCUCUAACUCCAACCAUCUUUUGUCAUAAAACCACACUUCUGUUAGCAAUAAGUUAUCCAGAAGUCCUUUGAAACCAUUUUGAAAACAUCCAAUUUUACUUUAUUCUCCUUCUGGCUUUAGAAUGAGUAUCUAUUCACUCUAAAACACAAAGGUUCAAAGUUCUUCACCAAAACAUGCUUCAUUUAUGCCGGAUUUUGCCAAAAUAAUCAAAUAACCAAUGUCCUCAGAUUACCUUAUUCCUUAUAGGCAAACUGAAAGAGCUUUAAUUAGAGAGGAAUAAGUUUCGGAUUAUUUGGUUAACUCAUGUUCACAUGACAAAUCCUAUAACUUGCAUAAGAAACAAAAAAUCAAGAGGAGUAUUUUGACUCUUUGGAACAUGAUGAUUUUAAGUUAAUAUAAUUAUUUAUGUGAAUCGACAACUAUCUUAUUAUAAGUUUAGUUGAUACCCCAAUAGAGGUUCUGGAUUUGAAUUCCUCCUCCUCCUUCCUAUUUCUUAAAUCUCAGUUCUCUCCUAAUAAAAAAUUUUUAAAAAAUGUCUCACAGUUAAUUCUGUAGACAAAUCAAAGUCACCACCUUUAAUAUCAAUCCAAAAUAUUCCAAAUUCAUAAAAUGGUAUUUAACUUUUAAUGACCUUCAAUUGAUUGGUUAUGAUUUGGAUAGGUUAAGUAAACUUGCUCAGAUAUAGGGUUAAGGCUAAAUUGUAAAACAAACACACUUCUUCAAUUUUUUUUUUCUUUUCUAAGCAAGGCACUAAUAUUAUUGAAAGAAAUUAAAAGAGAGUGUGAAUUAAACAAAAAGUAAAAAAAUUGUACCGAUAUAAUUAAAAUCUAAGAUUUGUCUAGCAAUAGCUCAAAGUGUGAUAAAAUGUGUACAUCAUUCGAAAACUACUUUUUUUUUGUGAAAGAUGGAUCCUGAAAUAAUAAUAGAAAUUUAUAUUAAAAAAUGAAUGAUAUAUGGAUAGAAAUGAAUGUAAUCGUGAUCUUUAGUUUUUGUGAAUGAUUAUGAGAGUAAGAUUCGUUAUAAGAGUAAGAUAUGUAGAAUUGUGGGAGUUGUAUGGAAAUUAUAAUGCAAACGGGCUCCUAAAUUUUGGAUAUGUAUUUUCCAUAGUACUGAGUUCCUUAAAUUAUGAGUUGGUUAUAACUAUGAGUCGUGUGCUAAGUGUUAGACGUGGUUUACAAUUUGCAGAUGCAAUUUUGCAGGGGUGGUUAAUAAAUGUUAGUUAAAAUUAUGGAGUUAUGAUUUUGUAGGUUAGUGAGUCACGUAAAUGGGAAAAAUGAAAAGAGAUGCGGAGAAGGAAUAAUGAAUUAAAAUAAAUCUAAAAUUGUAGAGGGUUCUCGUUAAAAACCUGCCCUCUAAUACAUAUAGAUAUAGAUAUGGAUUUUCGGCUAAAAAUUCUCAGGAUUGAGCUAAUUCUAAUGUGGGCUGGUUUAUGAUUAUCAUAUCGUUAACUUAGCAUUGUAGAGAUAAAAAUCAUCUACCUUAAACAAUCCCCGUAGAAAUCAUAAAUUUUCGAAAUCAAAAUAAAUUCUUUUUCUAGGUAUACCUUUUAAGUGUCAGGCUUUGUAUAAUCUCAUUAUUAUGUCAAAGCAAGUGUAUGAAGAAGGAAGAAAAACAGAGUCCAAUUCUCAAAUCAAAAGGUUCAAAAUUCAUAAACAAGUAAUACGCAUUUAACCAAGGUGCCAAUCAAACUAUUCAGUCAUGAAUAUAAUCAAUAGAUUAAAAUACAACAUUAAAGUAUUCAAGGAACAACAGUAGAGAGGUUUUGAAUCAUACAAGUUUUCACUCUAGAUAUAAUUGUGGUAUUCUGACCAAUCCAUCAGUGAUGAGUCUUCAUCCAGCAUUGCAGCCAGAUUUUUUUUUUUUAAGUUCUCUAUUUCAAUGAUGUUUGCUCGGAUCUUAAUAGACUCCAAACUCUCUAAGUAAUUUGACUUCUAGUUUAAAUAAUCUAUGUUAUAAAAUGAUUCCUUGUCUGACUUAAUAGAGUCAAAGUUUAGUUCACUAUUUGAUAUAUUGACAUUUUUAAAGUUCCCUUUUUCAAUACUGGGAUCGUAAUGGACUUCAAACUGCCUAUGUAAUUUGACUUCUAGUUUCAAUCACCUAUGUUUUAAAACAAUAGCUUGUCUUCCAAAUUUAGUUCAACUCCUUCUCAUGAUGCAAUUAGUGAGUGGAAAGAUUCGGCCAUUAUUUGAUACGUUAACAUUUAUAAUUAAAAAUUUUUGGUUUGACAGGAGACGGGAACUAAAAGUGUAGGAGUCCUUUAAUUCACCCAUGUUUAUUGAAUAUAAUUUAUAUAGACUGUUAUAGAUAUUGAGUAAGGACUAAAAGGUAAAUCACCCAAGAGACUGUUAUGUGUGUGUACUCUAUAACUUAUAGAGUACACACACAUAUAUAUAUAGAUUGGUCAAUGGUCACAAAUCUGCCGCUGCAAUCGUAUGAGCUUGUGUUUGGAAUGGAGAGGAGAUCAACGAAAGAGGCAUAAAAGGGGACAAGAAUUCAACAUCCUUUCGGCUAUAACCACGUAAGACUAUGAACUUUUGUUAAGAAUAUUUCUACGAUAUUAGCUUUUCAGGUUUUAAUUUUUUCCUUAGAAGCCCUAUGUCUAGAUCUGGCGCAUGGGUGUAGAUUUUGUAUCUCUAAAUAUUCGUUUCGACUUAAUUGAUAAUUUCCUUUAGGACUUUAUAAUUUCUAGAAUUAUUUGUCUGGAGAAAUGGAAUUUCAUGGCACGCAAUUUCACUUGGAGCCAGGCCAUUUGUACAAAAUUAAAAGACAAAUAUUUAACAGUUGUGUUUAGUCAUCCGACUUAUGAGUUGGGAAAUAAGUUGAAGCUGCGCCACUGCUGGUGAAUCAAAAUUUGGGUAAAUCCGAUUUCAAAAAAAUUCAGUGAUUUAAAUUGUGUCAUACCUAGGGGUGUGCAACGAAUUCGAAUUCGGUAAUUUGGAAGUUUGAAUUCGGCAUUUUUCGAAAUUUUGGCAUAGGAAUUACCGACCGAUUUUGAUUUCAAAUUAACUAGUUCCAAUUUCGAUUUCGAUUCCGAAUUAAAUUCGGAAUUCAGAAACCUUUUUUCCCUUUUUUUUCUUUUUUGUUAGAUGUAUUGCUAUAUAAUAUAAAUUUUAUAUUACAUAUAUUAUAAAAAUAUUAUUAUAUAGAAAAAUAUUAUUAUAUAUAUAAAUAUGUAUUAAUAUACAUAUUAUAAAACGGAAUUGAAAUAAAAAUAUAUAGUAUUAUAUAAAUAAAUAAAUAAAUAUUAAUAUAUAUAUUAUAAAAUGAAAUUGAAAUAAAAAAUUCUGAUUUUGAUUUCCGAUUUCAAAAGCUCCAUUACCAAAUUUGAACCAAAUUCGCAUAAUUCGAAAUCGAAAAUUCAGAUUUCAAUGCCGAAUUUCGAAUUACCGAUUUCAAAAAUUCUGAAUUCAAUUCGAAUUCAGUAGGUAAAUCGAAAUUUUUCGAUUUUGCACACCCCUAGCCAUACCACUUGAUGAGAUGGUAUGAUACAAUUUUAAGCAUUAAAUUUUUAAAAACCAAAUCUAUCCAGUAUAACCUUCGGGGUAAUGAUGAUAAUGACCUGAUCAAGACCAAAUUCAGUUGUUGUCUUGUUGAUGCUGCUGUGGCCCUUGUGGUUUCAAUUAAUUGGAUCAUUUAAUUAGUUAAUUGGGCUGAGGGACUCUAGCAAACUCUUGGGUUGUUUUUGUUGGACUGGUCCAAGUUCUAGUGGCCUUUUAGAAUUGUUUUUUGUUUUUGGGAUCCAAUAUCAUUUGGGCCAUCUGAAAAGGGCCAUCUGAAAUUCUUUUGGGAUUAUUAUUUUGGGGCUAAUGUAACUAGUGGGGCGAAUGGGGUGGUUAAUGGAAAAAAGAAACUUUCUGGGCCCAUGCAUGUAGGCUUAUGUUCAAACAGUGGACAUUUUGUUUCUUCUGUAAUUGAACUUAUGGAUCAGAAAGCCCAAUUUAAAAAUUCCCAACUCGUCAAAUAAGUUUAGAAGCCAACAUAUAUAGCAAAUAUUUAAAAGCUCAAUUUUAUUAUAAUAACCCAAAUUUUAAUAACAAAGAGGAAAAGAAAGAAAGAAACCUGUUGUUAAUUAAUGAUUGUAUAUAUACAUAUACAUACAUAUGUGUGUACAUGUAUAUAUAUGUAUAUAUAUACACACACAUAUGUAAACCUGUUGCAAAAACUAAAAAGAAAAAUAUAUACAUAGACACGUAUAUACCCGCUGUAGAUCACUGCCUAUUCCCACACAGGGAAUGUCUUCAAUCACGCGCCAGUAGUCUCUAUCCAUCAAACACCUUUUCUCGAGAAGUGGGCAUGUAUCAAUUCUGAGAAGUUUAAGCUGAUUACGCAGCGAUUCCUUUGGUAGGGAUCCAAGCUUGGGGCAGCCAAAGAUACGCAGACCUUUAAGAGCUGUAAGACCUCGCAAGAGCGUGGAGAGCGAUUUCAGAUUUGGUAAGUCACCAAUGUCGACGGACCUGAGAGUUGGAGGAAGCAAAGCGAAUCCAUCAUCACCGCUACCAGAAAAUGAUUCCAGCUCUGGAUAUCCACCGCGGAUGCGGAACCUUUCAAGAGACGUGAGUCUGUUGAGUCCCCAUUCUGACAGUGGCUUCAGCUGUAAGUUUUCUCCUCCCUCUAUGUAAAGACCCUCCAGACUGGGAGGAAAAUCUCCCUGUGGAAAUAACAAAGGACUUGAACAAAAAGACAACUGCAGAGAUCUUAGUCUUCCCAACCCACUGGGCAAGUAACUAACAUUUUUGCAUCUGCACAAGUAAAGACGUUCCAAAUUUGGAGUGGGCAAUUGAUCCAGAUGAUAAUCACAAUCCCUAAUAUCCAAAGACCGGAGACUUGCAAAACUGUAGACUGAACCAAGCAUUGUUCUCAAAUUCAGACAUGGGCAGCCAAAGAUUUGCAGUCCCUCAAUCGAUGUGCUGGUGUCCUCUAUGACAAUCUCCGGAGUAAGGUUCAGUUUAUGGCAAUCAAAGAUCUCAAGAUGCCUAAGCUGAGGGAGGAGCAACUUGUCCAUUGGCAAGCAACUGAGGGCAGAGCAAAAGCUUAUUCGCAAUCUGUUAAGACCAGAUAAUGUAGGCAAAGACUGGAGAGCACUGCAACUUUCUAUCGUAAGAUAUUUAAGCAUAGGUAAGACACGUGUAGUACUUGAGCCCCACAAAUUCUUCAGUUGAUGGCAGCUGCGUAAUGCGAUAUCUUCAAGGCCUGAUGGAAACUGCAUGAACACAUCCUCGAGGGAUGCAAGGCCUAUAAUCUGCCAAAACUCCAAUUUGUUUAAUGAGGUCAAAUUGUAAAAACAUUUUGCAAUUCCCACCGAGCACUCAUCUAACUUUAGUUCAGAAAGUGAAGGAAGAUGCAAAACAGGAAUGCUUUUCAACUUUGGGCAUCUACUUAUACAGAGCUUUCGGAGCAGAGGGAAGUGGCAUUCGUUCUCUCCUGCUGAACUUAAGCAAGUCCAUUCCUCCCAUUCUGGCAUGUCAUCAAAUGUUAGACUUUCGAGCGAUGGAAAGGAAAAUUCCCAAGAGCAAUCUUUGCCACAUAACUCGGUACCUACUGCCUUCACCUCAAGCAUGCUUUGAAUGCUCAAAUCCUUGAGCGCAGGCAAUUGCCCGAGUGAUGGUAAACACUUGCAGUGUGUACAACCUCUAAGGCUUACUUUUACUAAUUUAGUAAAUGAAUAAUCCCCCACCCAGGAGGAGAAUUUGUCUCCCUUAUAGAACUCAAUUUCAAGACUCGUUAGGUUUGUGUGUGGUCGUAGCGCCUCAAGCAAAUCUUGUUGAAGAACUUUACUCAGAGAAUCAUCAUAUUCACUAUUCCAUGCCAAUACUAUUUUAUCAAGGUCCCUCUUGUCCUUCAAAUUGGCAUCCCGUGCUUCUUGAACAUUCGUAACAUUUUGCAACUCCAAAAUGGCGAGUGACCCUGCCAGUAAGGACAAGUUCCCCAAGUCUUUCAGCCUGAACGCACCAUGUUUGCUCACAACCACUUUGGAUAGUGUCUGCAAGCUCGUCAACUGAUCAAUCCCUGAAGGCAUCUCAUGCAAUUGACUAGUAUUGGAAUUUUCAAGAUGGCGCAGGUUAAUUAAUUUUCUAAUACCUACUGGUAAGUUAAUCAGCUCCCUGCAGUUGCCCAAACGUAGUGUUUGUAAAUUGCAAAGAUUACUCAUUGAUUCAGGCAACAAUUUCAACCGAGUACCAGACAAAUUCAGGUACCUUAGAUGUAUUAAUUCACUGAUGGAAUCUGGAAGUUCAGAGAUAGCAUAGCCACCGAAUGAUAGCACCCUUGAGUAUCGCAAUUCCGGCAAAAGUUCUGCUAUGACCUUUUUAGCGAUGUAAAACUCGUCGCUGCCAUCCUCGGCAAAAAUGGGCAAUGGUAGGAAACUCCGCAAAUGUUUUGCUUUCUGAAGAGUUUUAAACUUUUGUGAAGCUUCAUACCAUGAACUUGUGAAUGAUGCGUACCUAACCUUGUCAAGGAUCGUGCAUUUGAUGUUCUCUUCCAAGUCGUCUGUCAGUCUUGAACAAAAAUCUCCGGCAACAUAUCUGGCUAGAUCGUUAAUAAGGUCAUGCAUCACAAAACGUGAACUAUUGGAACUUGACUGCUGGAAGAAGGACCUCAUUAGUAGCUCCUUAAAAUAAUUGUCCCCUAUGUCCUCCAUAAGAUCACUUGCUUUUGAUUCCUCGAGAAAACCCUCUGCCAUCCAGAGCAAUACUAGCUCAUAUUUGUCAAACUCAUAGUCCUUGGGAAAUAUGGAGCAGUAAGCAAAGCACGGUUUUAGAUGGGCAGGAAGAUGAUAAUAGCUUAAUCUCAGUGCUGGAAGAAUAUCACUUUGAUCCUCUUUUAUUUCCCAUAUCUCACUGUUCAGUAUAUCCGUCCAUUCAUCUGGGGUCGAUCUAGCACGCAACAGCCCUCCAAGAGUCUUCACGGCCAGGGGCAAGUUCUUACAUUUCCUUACAAUACUCCUACCAAUGCCUUCUAGAUUGGGGUACCUGUCAAAAUUUGUCCUUCCCAGUGCAUGUCUUGCCAGUAAGCAUAAGCUUUCAUCAUCUGUCAACUCCUUCAGACUAUAUCCAGCAGUGGAAGACAUUACUGAUGCCACCCUAUGAUGCCGAGUGGUGACAAUUAUCUUGCUCCCAGAUGAACCAACUAGAAAUGGGCGGCGCAGGAUGUCCCAGUCCUCAUAUUUUUCAUUCCAAACAUCAUCUAAAACAAUUAGAAACCUCUUCCUGGUCAAGGCCUCACUCAGUUUCACUUGAACCAUAUUCAGAUCCUCAUAAUCACAGCCACCUGAUGUGAUUGCUCUGAGGAUUGUCUUUGUUACCCCAAAAAUGUCAAAAUCAUCUGAAACACAAGCCCAAGCCUUGGAAUCGAAAAAUUCGUUGACUCUGUCAUCAUUGUACACCAUUUGAGCAAGAGUUGUUUUACCAACCCCUCCCAUGCCAACAAUUGGUAUCACAACCACUUGAUCAUCGCUCGAUUCAUUUGAAAGGAGCAAUUUCAGCAGCUCUUCUUUGUCAUUCUCUCGACCAUAAACAUAAGACUCCACUAAGGAAGUUGAUGGCAAUCUAUCCCUAGUUUUGUUCGGCCUCUUUGCUACAGUCUCUACCAAAUGGAGGAUUUUGAUUUGUUCUUUCAGGCUCUCCAAUCUUCUAGUUAUUUCAUCCACCUUGGGAGUCAUUUUUCUGUUGAACUUAUAAUCUUUAACAGAAAAACUUGUACAACAGGAAGGGAUUUUAACCUUUCUUACCUUGCUAGUAGAGCCUUGAGCUUCCAUCAACUUUCUUCGACAAGCUUCUGUGGAGAAUUCGUCGAUCACAUCAUCCAUAUCAUAUGCCAAAUCCUGAUGAUCAUCUAGCCAGUGCUUCACAGCAAUCCUCAUAUUCUGCUUGUCCUCUGCAUCAUCAAGCACUGCCUGAAUCAGGGAUAGCACUUGGAUCCAUCGUUUCAGCUGAGUAUCUAAGCCUUCUGAGCGUGCAAAUUUCUUCAAAUCGACAGAAGCAAGCUUGUCAAAUACCACCUUGAUGAUUGCACCAAGAAAGACUUCUAUCAGUGCCAUUUUUCACUCUUCUUUUUUUUUUUUUCUCCGGAUUAUAUUGUGUAGGUAAGCAACGAGCAAAAAGUCUGAAAACUUGAAAGGGGAGAUAAGACUGAAAGAUGGGAAACUACAGAUUCUUCACGGGAAAAUUGAUCAGCACCAAAAUAUUUCAACUGGCAAGAAAAAAGUUUCCAAAGCACGCGUCUUCAUUUCUUAUGUAGUACUAGUAGAUUUAUUUUUCUUUUCUGUAGCACUAUAUUAUAUCAUCAAUCAUUAAAGUUUACGGGAGGGAGGUACUUUUGACAUAGAAUGAUUGGUGCUCUUACGUGUAGUUGUUGUACUUCAUUUACAACAUAGUGUACAUUUACAAAUGCACUUGUAUUUAUGCAUAACACGAAUAAAAUUUUAAGUACCACAAAAUUGUAUAAGAGUACACUAUAUUAUGUAAAAAGUAUAAUAACUAGACAAUUGCAACAAAAUUCAAUUGUACCUGGUCUAAAUUUGACCAUUUUCCUUAGUUGUUUAACGUUAAUUAGUGUAAUUUGGUUGUAUUUUAUGGCACAAAAUCAAUUAAAUAACUAUAACAUCAAACCACAUAAGUAGCUGGUAUAUGUUGUUUCCAUAAUUAUAAUUUUUUAAAAAAAAAUUAUUCAAAACGCCGUUCACAUUUUGUACAAUACUUUUUUUCGCCCUUCACUUUCAAAAUAUUAACUUUAUGUACCUUAUAAAUUCAGGUCAGCAAAAUUUGGUCCCAACCAAAGUUUCUAACUACUUUUUAGUCUAAAAUCACUACGUGGCUCAUAUAUAGUUAUUUUUUAUGUAUAAAAAAAAUUAGAUUUCAUUUUUUUAUUGAUAAUAUAUAUUAUGUCACAUCUCACUUUUUUGAAAAAAUUGAAUAUAUUUUAGAUCAAAUCCUAUUUUUAAAGAAAAACUGAAUAUAGAUCUGGUCAUUUGUUUAACUAUAAAUGGGAUUUAACAUUUUUGCCCUUAAAAAAAUGAACCCAAAUCUCUUAAUUACAUUCCCUCUUCUCAAACCACUCAACCCAUCCCUCUUCCUUCUUUCUCCCCUCUCCCCAACCAUAUGUGGGCUAUGCGAGGAAUGAAAAAAUUCAUUUAGCGAGAUGUGAAAAACGUUUUAAACGAUUUCCUCCUUGUUAUUUUAUAUGCCAAAGGGCAAUAUCCUACAAUUACUCCAAUAGUAUACGUCCAAUGGGGCCAUUAUUUGAGCUGUCGAAAUUCAGAGGAGACUAUCACCUCUGAAGUCUGAACUAAACGGGUGCAAUUGCACCCGUUAGAAGAAGUUUCCUAGAAAUCCUGGACUUCAAGAGCAGGCGAGGGUUUCAAAUCUCCCACCUAUACAAAAGGACGGAUAUAUUUAUAAAGUUUGUGAUAUAUUUAUAAAGAAAGAAAUUUAGAAACAUUGUGAAAGUCCCAUCUGAAUUAGCAAAAUUAAUAUUCUCUCCAUCUCAUUUUAUUAGUUACAGUUUCUCCUUUUGCUACUUCCAAAAUGUUUUUUUCAUCAAUUUGGACAAAAAUAUAUCUUAACGUCUUAAAAUUUUUUGAAGUAAGGAUGUGAAGUAACCAUUGAUUAGUAAACAGGAAAGGUGAUUAAUUAAGGAUGUGAAGUUUGCAUUUUCUUUAAUUGAAUGCAUUUGUCUAUUCCUUUUACCAAUGAAUUGUAAAAUAAGAUAAAUUAAAUAAAAGGAUAAAGCUUCUAACCAAAACCCUUCUUUUGGACCCAAACAAAAAAAGGAUAACUAUUCUUCUCAGAGAAAUAUCAAAUUAUAUACCUAUUCUUCUCAAAAAAAAAAAAAAAAAAAAACCAAAGUGUAUAGGAAGUUGACUUGACUUGACUAAGAGCUUAAAUCUUAAUCCUAAAAGGUAAGCAAGGGUCAUAAUAUUAUCAAUCGAAAUUAGCGUGUUAAUUUGUUUGAAUACAUCUUUUGGUUGGGUCUUCUGAGACUUGUUGAACAAAUGAAGAAACAGCCUUAAGAAAUGGGUAAAUUACUAAUAACUUCUAUGAUAAUUACUAAUAACUACUCAUGUAUAUAACUCUUGAAUGAUUAUGUGGAUAAAUGUAAAAUAUUACAAGGAGAAAAUCACAAUUAGGUUAUAAGUAAUUUAUGCUAAGAAAAUUGAAGUUACCUGCAGAGUUGGGGUGGGUUUUGGUGUGUGUGUGGUUGUGUGUGUGUGUUUCCGGGGGGGCGGUUGGGGGUGGGGAGGCAGAGGAAAACUAAUCAAACCACGCUUCUGAACAUUGACAAUAUAUGCCAUGUACAAAAUAUGGAUUUAAAAUGAAAGGAUGUAGAUUUAACUUGAGGAAUACAUAAUUUUGGGUUUUUAGGAGCCUUAUGCAUACAAAUGAGACUUCUAACACAGCAGCCCCUCAAAGAACCCAUUGGAUAAUCUUUGCAGUCCCAAUCGGCCAAUUCUUGCCCAGCCAAACCGCGCUUCCAAUAUCAAAUUAUAUUGGAAGUUGACUUGACUUUGCUGAGAGCCAAACCCUAUAAGUCAAGCAAGGGCCAUACAUUAACGCGUUAAUUUGUUUUGGUACAUGGAGUGGGUAGGGAUGGCAACGGGGACCCCUCCCCCGCCCCCGCCCCGUUGCCUAUUAAUUCCCCCCGUCCCCCGCCCCGCCGCCCACUCCCCCGUCCCGCCGCCCCCCCGCCUCCCACUCCCCCCGCCCCGCCCCGCUUCCCCCGCGGGUGCCCCCGUGGGGUUAAUAAAAUUUUUCCUGCGGGAUUAAUAAAAUUUUAUUAUAGUUAAAUUUUAAUAAAUAAUCAAGUACUAAAAUAUCAACACUUCAUCAAGUUAUUAUUCAUUGUAAUUUUACAAUUGAAACUCAUAAAAACAAUCAAACAAAAGUUAUUUGAAUACAAUCCAAUAUGAUGAAAUAAAUACAACUAAAAUAGUCAAGUUUUCACUUUUGGUACAAAUACAAUCACUAAUUCAUUAUUGUGUUUGUGCUUUUUUUUUGAGAAAAAAGUGUUAUUCUAUUAAGUGUAAUUAGAAAUUUAGUAUAAAUGUAUUAGUAAAUUUAGUAUAACUAAUUAAUAAAUUCUAUUAGUAGACAUUAGAGGUGGCAAUUUGUCCCAAGUCCCAAUUGGUUACCCAUGCCCAUUGAGACUUUGGGCGGGAUGGGUAUUGGAAUUUGAUAUUGGGUUUAAAAUGGGACAAAUCCCAAUUGUACCCAUUAAUUGAUGGGAAAUUUUGGAAAAUGCUUGGGUACCCAUUGGGCUCAAAUAGCAAGGGCUCCGUUUGGAUUAACUAUUUUUGGGGGGUGUUUUUGAAAUAUUUUAUUGUAGUAGUGUAUAUGAAAAAUUUUACUAUAAACUUUUUUUGAAAUAUUUGAUAUACUAAUAUGGAUGGGAUGUUUUUUUAGUUAUUGUAUAUUACUGUAACAUUGUAUUUGAAAAACUUAUUUUUUGAAAAAAUAACCAAUCCAAACGGAGUUUUAGAUUCAAAAAUUAUCUUUAACAAUUUUUAUAGUCAUGAUUGUAUAUCUAUCUUUUCCUUUAUUUGUUAAUCCAAUUUUUGGUGAUAAUCCUGAGUAUAAAGCACUUGCAUGUUUAUUUAAUAAAACUAAAAGAAAUUUAAUAAAUCAAAAAUAUUAAAAUUAUAUAAAAAAUAAAAAUAAAUUAAAGGAAAAAAAUAUGUAUAAAAUAGAUUUGGGUAUUGGGCGAGAUCAAUCUAAACCCAUCCCAAAGUGAUCCCGCCCAAGUUAGUCCCAAAACAUAUAUGGGUAAGGUUGGGCCCAAACCCAUAUGACUCGGUUCCAUCUUAAACCCAAGCAAAUCCCGCCCAUCCCGCCCAUUUUGCCACCUCUAGUAGACAUGUCUAAUUAUUCGUAUCAUUGAUAAUAUCAAUUAUAUUACAUACACUAAUAUACAUUAUAUAAUACAUCUAACUAAUAGUAUUAUUAUCAUAAGUUUAUAACUAAUUAAAUUAUAUAUUAUAUAUAUUUAUAUAUAUACACUUUUUCUUUUGCGGGGGGCGGGGCGGGGGAUGGGGCGGGGGUAUACUCCCCCGUCCCCCGCCCCGUUACUAAACGGGGGGAAAAAAUUCCCCCCCGCCCCCGCCCCAACCCCCGCCCCAAGAGUCCCCCGCGGGGCGGGCACCCGCGGGCACCCGCCCCCAUUGCCAUCCCUAGGAGUGGGGCUUCUUCUGAAGUUUUUGCAUAUAAUCCCCUGUAAAUUAUGUAGAUAAAUGUAAAAACUACGAAAGAGUAAAAUAUAUAUUUCACUAAAUCAUAUGAAAGGUAAACAAAUAUUAUGAUUUUAUCACACGUAUUUUUACAGCAUGUCUAACAUUAUUCGAUAGCAUUUUCAUUUAUUUUUUACUCUACAUAAAAUUACAGAGGAAUAUUAUGAAAUUAUGAAUAUGUUAAAACCUUAGGAGAGUCAUGUAACAAUAUAUUGAACCACAAUAGGCUUAUUAGUAAUUUACACUAAGAAAGAUGAAGUUGCGGGGAAGAGAGGGACUAAAUGAAACCCCCCCCCUUUUGAACAUUGAUAAAAUAUGCCAUAUAUAAAGUAUGGAUUUAAAAUGAAAGGAUGUAGAUUUAACUUUAGGGAUACAUAAUUUUGGCUUUUUUAACUUUAAAAAUACUAAAUUUUGGCUUUUUGGGAAGCUUCUCUUGCAGAAGAUGCUAGUAAGAGUCUUUUGAACUACUUAAAACAAAUUAUAAAUAUCUUUGUGAAAGUAAAACUAUUAUUUUUUAUUGUUUCUCAAAACAGCUUUUAACUUCUCAAAACAUUGAAAACAAGGAUGAUUUUUCAUUGUUUCAAACAAAGUUUUGAAAUUAUUUCAUAUUUGAAUUCCAAAACUACUCAAACGUAGUUGAGAAUAAGCUCCAAGUAAAUGUUAAAGUUGCAAAUAAGGAAAAAUGGCAAUUGUACGUAGUAUAUUUAGAAGGUUGGCUAUACCAGUUGGGGAAUAUCUUGAUCUAGUGAUUAAGAUCAAGAUCCCAAAAUUAGAGGUCAUGAGCUCCAAUCCUCUUACGCCCUCCCUCCUAUUAAGUCCCACUCUCAUAUUUAUUAGAGGUGGCAAUUUAUCCCAAAUCCCAUUGGGUUACCCAUGUCCAUGGGGACUUUGGACGGGAUGGGUACUGGAAUUUGAUAUUGGGUUUAAAAUGGAACAAAUUUCAAUUGUACCCAUUAAUUGAUGGAAAAUUUUGGGAAAUACUUGGGUACCCAUUGGGCUUAAAUAGCAAGGGCUCCAUUUGGAUUAGCUGUUUUUGGAGGUAUUUUCGAAAUAUUUUAUUGUAGCAGUGUAUAUGAAAAAAUUUUACUAUAAAAUUUUUUUGAAAUAUUUGAUAUACUAAUAUGGAUGGGAUGUUUUUUAAGUUAUUGUAUAUUACUGUAACAUUGUAUUUGAAAAACUUAUUUUUUGAAAAAAUAGCCAAUCCAAAUAGAGUCUUAGAUUCAAAAAUUAUCUUUAACAAUUUUUAUAGUCAUACCAGCGAAUAUAAUCUAGCAGUCUUCCUAGUCAUUAUCCACAAGAAUUUCCAGCAUUUCAGUCAGUUUAGACCAGUCAUCCUUGGACAAUGAUGAGGAUAAAUAUUCAACACCCUAAGUGCCUUGGCCAUCUUGAUAUAUGUUGGAAUAUGGUUGUAUAUCUAUCUGUUCCUUUAUUUGUUAAUCCAAUUUUUGGUGGGAAUCCUGAGUAUAAAGCACUUGCAUGUUUAUUUAAUAAAACUAAAAGAAAUUUAAUAAAUCAAAAAUAUUAAAGUUAUAUAAAAAAUAAAAAAUGAAUUAAAGGAAAAAAAUAUAUGUAGAAAAUAGAUUUGGGUAUUGAGCGGGAUCAAUCUAAAUCCAUCCCAAAGUAAUCUCGCCCAAGUUAGUUCCAAAACACAUAUGGGUAAGUUAGUCUAAAUAAUAUUUAUCAUAAAUGAUUGAUCAACUAUUUUACUUUUACCUCCGUAGAGUUAUCAGCUAUUUUUACUUUUCUCCUUUGAGUCAUGAUUUUUAAUUUUUUGCAUCCUGAAGUUACACAUCUAUUAAACAUUGUAUUACGUACACAGAUAUGGACAGAAAACGACAGAAUUUUCCUUGUGAAAGGUGACAUUCGAUCUUGUAGGUUUUCCGUAAUUGUGUAAGUAUUUGAGGUAAGUAUUUUAGCAAGUUUUGAUAACCAAAUGAUCGAAACAGAGAAUUUAUGAACUAAUUAACCAUACUAAGGAAGAAGACAAGAUUCACUUGUUCUAAACCUUAUAUCUUAAUGCAACAAGUCGGUUAGGCGCUUGACUAAACCUUCAAUCUUUUAAAUAAACGCCCUCCUCAUGUAAUUUCUCAAAUGUUGAGUCAUGACAAGGUGAAGAUAGAAAUUAAAUUAAAGAUUCUAAAAAUUUUUAAAGAUUCUUCUAAAUUAGAAUAGUUUACAACAUAUAGAACUUUGAACUCCAAAUUUCAAAUGAUUCUGACUACGUCUAUUCUAAAAAGAGUAACAACCUUUUGUAAAGUGGCAAAUAUUAAAGAUGUUAGUCACAAUUCAAUUAUGUUAAUCAAAUCCGUCCAAACCCAUCUCUACAAAUCAGAAUAAGGCCCAACAAAGAGACUUACAAUAUCAUCAAGGCAGGAACGGUAGGGACUUAGCAAAAUACAAUCUGCAUUCUAGGCGCAUAGGCUUGCCGAGCGAGUUGAGCCUACGUCAACGUGCCAACAAAUAUUUUACCUGAACAAGAAAAAUAAACCCAAGUUCAGGUACAGGUACAGGAUUCGAACUAUAAACUAAGUGCCCUCCCAAUAAACUAAUGCAAUAAAAAAAAAUAAACUAAUGCAAUAAAAAUAUCAACUUGAUAAGCUAAUGCAAAGAAAUCAUGGAACACGAAUAUAUUACCUUACCAUCUUAAGUGAAAAGAGUGCACACAGCUUAAUCAGAAUGAUAAGAAAAAAAGUGCAUCGAACCCGAUCUGCAUAAAAAGACACAGGCUGAAAGGUCAAAGAAUCAAUUUAACAUGGUAAGCAAAGCACGAUUGACAUCUGAGUUUCUUCUCAAGCUAGUUAAAAGUGAGAAAAAUUAUUUACUGGGCUUUAAAGGAGGAAAUUACUAAUAUAAAUUUCACAUGACACAUAAAAGUAAUAUGAUUCCUCUAUUUGAAUUUCGACACUUCUUUUCCAUUCAAGAAAUUUGUUGGAGUCAACAAAAAAAAUUUUGGACAAUAAUUUUAAGUGAAAAUCAGUAAGAAAUCUAAAUCUCUGCUUACUUGAUGCCAUCACUGCGUAUUUCCACACAGGGAAUGUCUUCAAUCAUGGGCCAGUAGUCUCCUCUAUCCAUCAAACACCUUUUCUCAAGAAGUGGGCAUUUAUUAAUUACUAGAGUUUGAAGCGGAUUACGCAGCGAUUCCUUUGGUAGGGAUCCAAGCUCGGGGCAGUUAAAGAUAUGCAGAUAUCGAAGAGCUGUAAGACCUCGCAAGAACGUGGAGAGCGAUUUCAGAUUUCGCAAGUCACCAAUGGCGACGGACCUAAGAGUCGGAGGAAGCAAAGCCAAUCCAUCAUCACCACUACCAGAAAAUGAUUCCAGCCCUGGAUAUCCACCACGGAUGUAGAACCUUUCAAGAAACGUGAGUCUGUUGAGUCCCCAUUCUGACAGGGGCUUCAGCUGUAAGUUUUCUCCUGCCUCUAUGUCAAGAAACUUCAGAGUGGGAGGAAAAUCUCCUUGUGGAAAUAACAAAGGACUUGAACAAGAAUACAACAACAGAGAUCUUAGUCGUCCCAAACCACUGGGCAAGUAACUAACAUUUUUGCAUCUGCACAAGGAAAGACGUUCCAAACUUGGAGUGGGCAAUUGAUCCAGAUCAUAAUCACAAUCCCUAAUAUCCAAAAACCGGAGACUUGCAAAACUGUAGACUGAACCAAGCAUUGUUCUCAAAUUCAGACAUGGGCAGCCAACGAUUUCCAGACUCUCAAUCGAUGUGCUAGUGUCCUCUAUGACAAUCUCCGGAGUAAGGUUCAGUUUCUGGCAAUGUCUGAUCCCAAGAUUCCUAAGCUGAGGGAGGAGCAACUUGUCCAUUGGCAAGCAACUGAGGGCUGAGCAACUGCUUAUUUCCAAUGUGUUAAGACCAGAUAAUGUAGGCAAAGACAGGAGAGCACUGCAACUUUCUAUCUUAAGAUAUUUAAGCAUGGGUAAAACAGCAAGCUCCUCCAAGGAUGAAAGCUGUGAACAUUCUGAAACAACUAAAGAUUUUAGCUGCACAAGGUUUACAGUAUUACUUGAGCCCCACAAAUUCUUCAGUUGAUGGCACUCACGUAAUGUGAUAUCUUCAAGGCCUGAUGGGAACUGCAUGAACGCAUCCUCGAGGGAUGCAAGCCCUAUAAUCUGCCGAAAAUCCAAAUUGUUUAAUGAGGUCAAAUUGUAUAAACAUUUUGCAAUUCCCACCGAGCACUUUUGCAACUUUAGUUCAGAGAGUGAAGGAAGCUGCAAAACAGGAAUGCUUUUCAACUUUGGGCAUCUACUUAUACAGAGCUUUUGGAGCAGAGGGAAGUGGCAUUCGUUCUCUCCUGCUGAACUUAAGCAAGUCCAUUCCUCCCAUUCUGGCAUGUCAUCAAAUGUUAGACUUUCAAGCAAUGGAAAGGAAAAUUCCCGAGAGCAAUCUUUGCCACAUAGCUCCGUACCUACUGCCUUCACCUCAAGCAUGGUUUGAAUGCUCAAAUCCUUGAGCGCAGGCAAUUGCCCGAGUGAUGGUAAACACUUGCAGUGUGUACAACCUCUAAGGCUUACUUCUUCUAAUUUAGUAAAUGAAGAAUCCCCCACCCAGGAAGAGAAUUUGUCUCCCUUAUAGAACUCAAUUUCAAGACUCGUUAGGUUUGUGUGUGGUCGUAGUGCCUCGAGCAAAUCUUGUUGAAGAACUUUACUCAGAGAACCAUCAUAUUCACUAUUCCAUGCCAAUACUAUGUUAUCAAGGUCCCUCUUGUUCUUCAAAUUGGCAUCCCGUGCUUCUUGAACAUUCGUAACAUUUUGCAACUCCAAAAUGGCGAGUGACCCUGCCAGUAAGGACAAGUUCCCCAAGUCAUUCAGCCUGAACCCACCAUUUUUGCUCACAACCACUUUGGAUAGUGUCUGCAAGCUCGUCAACUGAUCAAUCCCUGAAGGCAUCUCAUGCAAUUGACUAGUAUUGAAAUUUUCAAGAUGGCGCAGGUUAAUUAAUUUUCUAAUACCCACCGGUAAGUUAAUCAGCCCCCAGCAGUCGCGCAAACGUAGUGUUUGUAAAUUGCAAAGGUUACUCAAUGAUUCAGGCAACACUUUCAACGAAGUACCAGACAAAUUCAGGUACCUUAGAUGUAUUAAUUCACCAAUGGAAUUUGGUAGAUCAGAGAUAGAAUAUCCACUGAAUGAUAGCACCCUUGGGUAUCGCAAUUCCAGCAAAAGUUCUGUUAUGACCUUUUUAGCGAUGUAAAAGUCGCCGUCAUACUUGCCAGAAACGGGUAGGAAACUCCGCAAAUGUUUUGCUUUCUGAAGUGUUUUAAACUUUUGUGAAGCUCCAUACAUUGAACUUGUGAAUGAUGUGUACCUAACCUUGUCAAGAAUCGUGCAUUUGAUGUUCUCUUCCAAGUCGUCUGUCAGUCUGGAACAAAAAUCUCCACCAACAUAUCUAGCUAGAUCGUUAAUAAGGUCAUGCAUCACAAAACGUGAACUAGCGGAACUUGACUGCUGGAAGAAGGACCUCAUUAGUAGCUCCUUAAAAUAAUUGUCCCCUGUGUCCUCCAUAAGAUCACUUGCUUUUGAUUCCUCGAGAAAACCCUCUGCCAUCCAGAGCAAUACAAGCUCAUAUUUGUCAAACUCAUAGUCCUUGGGAAAUAUGGAGCAGUAAGCAAAGCACGGUUUUAGAUGGGCAGGAAGAUGAUAAUAGCUUAAUCUUAGUGCUGGAAGAAUAUCACUUUGAUCCUCUUUUAUUUCCCAUAUCUCACUGUUCAGUAUAUCCGUCCAUUCAUCUGGGGUCGAUCUAGCACGCAACAGCCCUCCAAGAGUCUUCACGGCCAAGGGCAAGUUCUUACAUUUCCUUACAAUACUCCUACCAAUGCCUUCUAGAUUGGGGUGCCUGUCAAAAUUUGUCCUUCCUAGUGCAUGUCUUGCCAGUAACCAUAAGCUUUCAUCAUCUGUCAACUCCUUCAGACUAUAUCCAGCAGUGGAAGACAUUACUGAUGCCACCCUAUGAUGCCGAGUGGUGACAAUUAUCUUGCUCCCAGAUGAACCAACUAGAAAUGGGCGGCGCAGGAUGUCCCAGUCCUCGUAUUUUUCAUUCCAAACAUCAUCUAAAACAAUUAGAAACCUCUUCCUGGUCAAGGCCUCACUCAGUUUCACUUGAACCAUAUUCAGAUCCUCAUAAUCACAGCCACCUCGUGUGAUUGCUUUAAGGAUUGUCUUUGUUACCCCAACAAUGUCAAAAUCAUCUGAAACACAAGCCCAAGCCUUGGAAUCGAAAAAUUCGUUGACUCUGUCAUCAUUGUACACCAUUUGAGCAAGAGUUGUUUUACCAACCCCUCCCAUGCCAACAAUUGGUAUCACAACCACUUGAUCAUCACUCGAUUCAUUUGAAAGGAGCAAUUUCAGCAGCUCUUCUUUGUCAUUCUCUCGACCAUAAACAUAAGACUCCACCAAGGAAGUUGAUGGCAAUCUAUCCCUAUUUUUGUUCGGCCUCUUUGCUACAGUCUCUGCCAAAUGGAGGAUUUUGAUUUGUUCUUUCAUGCUCUCCAAUCUUCUAGUUAUUUCAUCCACCUUGGGAGCCAUUUUUCUGUUGAACUUAUAAUCUUUAACAGAAAAAUUUGUACAACAGGAAGGGAUUUUAGCCUUUCUUACCUUGCUAGUAGAGCCAUGAGCUUCCAUCAACUUUCUUCGACAAGCUUCAGUGGAGAAUUCGUCGAUCACAUCAUCCAUAUCAUAUGCCAAAUCCUGAAGAUCAUCUAGCCAGUGCUUCACAGCAAUCCUCAUAUUCUGCUUGUCCUCUGCAUCAUCAAGCACUGCCUGAAUCAGGGAUAGCACUUGGAUCCAUCGUUUCAGCUGAGUAUCUAAGCCUUCUGAGCGUGCAAAUUUCUUCAAAUCCACAGAAGCAAGCUUGUCAAAUAUCACCUUGAUGAUUGCACCAAGAAAGACUUCUAUCAGUGCCAUUUUUCACUAUUCUUUUUUUUUUCUCCAGAUUAUAUUGUGUAGGUAAGCAACAAGCAAAAAGUCUGAAAACUUGAAAGGGGAGAUAAGAUUGAAAGAUAGGAAACUACAGGCUGUGUUUGGACUAAUAAUUCAAAAUGGUUGCGGAACAGUAACUACUUUAUCUGUUUGGAUGUGGACAUAGAAGUUAUAAUUAGUUUCAUGAGUGAAAUUUUUACCUACUAUUCAUUUCCCAAGAAUCCACCCAUUUUAUUUAGAUUCCUUGUAUGUUUCACUAACAAAUGCAUAGGUAAUCAUUGGUGUUUUAUGAGGAUGAAAAGCAAAAGAAAACUACCGGCCUCUUUAUUGCUCUCUUUCAUCUGAUCUCCAUCCUUCAUUUUCGUAGUGACCUGCAAUGCUUGGGUCAUCCUUUCAGAAAGGUUAACUGUUAGCUUUGGUGAAUUAUCGAAGGAGAUGCAAUUUGAUCUAUUUGUUGACGUGCAAUUGACUAAUCAUUCAUUGUUAUUAGGGUUAACAACAUAAAAGCCCCUGUGAUAUAACUAUCAUACAGAAAAGUCCCCUGUGAUUUUAUAUCAUACGCGUCGGUACCCCAUGAUUUGAAUUAUUCUGAAAAAUCAACGGAAAUCAUUAUAACAGACAAAGCUGAGUGAAAAGACGAAAAUACCCUAAUGAUAUCAGUGAAAAUUGCAGAAGUAAUUUCGGGCAAGGGCAUGGGCCAGGCGGUCAGCAGUGUCUUGACCCGAGACUCCACCAUUGUGGACCCAACAAAGCGAGGUUAUCAAGAUUGAGCUCUUCGGUCCAAGAAGCGUGGCGAUGGGAGAGGAGGCGGUUUUCCGAAGGAACUUCUCGGCGAUGGCAGCAGCUGCUACGGCGGUGGCGGAGGAGGAUGAGGAUGAGGAAGAGUCUGAUACGUCAAGUGCUGCCGCGGUUGGACUGGGGUCGGGUGGGAUGAGGAGGAAAAAGAGGAGGAGGGCCGCGGGGAAGGUGGCGGCAAAAGGGUAUAGGAAGUUGGCGGAGACGAUAGGGGGAUUUGCAAACAUAUAUGAGAGAGUAGAGGAGGCGAAACAGAGGCAAAUGGUUGAGUUGGAGAAGCAGAGAAUGCAGUUUGCCAAGGAUUUGGAGAUUCAAAGGAUGAAGCUUUUUAUGGAAUCCCAGGUCCAGCUCAAAAAGCUUAAGCGAUCUAAGCGCAAUUCACCAUCUGGUGGUAAGUUUAUCUGUGCAUUUGCAUAUUGUCUCAAGUAAUGCUGGCAAUGUUACAUGACUAGUUUCAGCCUAGAGUUUCUUGGGUUUCUUGACGAGCCUCUCCUCCACCUCUUCUCUCCAGUUGUAAGCGGGCUUGCUCUCUCUCCUCUCGUUCCUCAGUUGCCUUCUCUCCCUGGUCGUUAGUUGCUUUUCAAUCACGGACUCUACAGUCGCCGAGAUCGUGAAAGAAAUAAUGGGACUUCGGAGCUUAUUGAAGGCUUUGGAGUAAUGGGUGGACGGGGAAAGAAAGAGAGGGCAAGGACUCCAUGUAAGAAGCCUUCGCUGCAGCUCUAUCAUCCCUAUUAGUAUCUCGUUAUUCAAUCUGAUUUUGAUCUGGUUUUGUUUUCUUGGCACAGAUGGCUUGUGUUUCUGCUAUUUUGGUGUAUGUUUGGUUUUGGGUCAACUAGCAAUUUGGUAGAUGAAGGGUAAAAUAGGCAUAUCAGGUGAAAGUCUGUGAUAGAAAUCUAUUUUUCGCAAGAAACAUACGCCUUUCCAGUGCGUUUAAUACAAACGCCGUACAUUUGACGAUUUCCGUCGACUUUUCAGAAUAAUUCAAACCAUGGGGUAUCGACAUGUAUGAUAUGAAACCACAGGGGGCUUUUCUGUAUAAUGGCUAUACCACAGGGGGCUUUUAUAUUGUUAACCCUUGUUAUUAUUAUAUGCAACUUUAAUAAAGUGGCCAAGAUUGAUAAAGGAUGAAGCUAUUGAAGCGGUGGUGAUUUAUUGGUCGUAGAUAUUGGUUACAAGAAAAUGUUUGCUUAUUGAGACACUAUUCAUGAAUCAUCCAUUGGAUACUUGCCUUCAAUAAUUUCUGGAAGGUUACAACGUGUGAAUGUUUUAAAAAAGGGAUAAUUUCGGAAACCUCCCUUGAGGAUUCAUGAAAUAUCACUUAGCUUCCUUGAUGUUUUCAAAAUCUCACUUAGCACCCCUCGAAUUGACAUUUUGGUAACAUUGUCACCCUUCUAACCAAAAGUAACAUUAAAAAAUUCAUGUUUGAGGAGAGAGAUUAUUUUAGUGCCUUUACUACCCUUAGGCUAUAGAAAAAUGAACAUUUUACAAACCAAGGAAAAAAAGUACUAAAUUGGAACCAUCUUAAAAGUGAGGGGAUGAAAAUUGAUAAGAUUUUAUGUUACAGCCAAUAGUCAUUUCUAUAGUAGAGAGCAGUGUUGUCAAAAUCGCGAUCCGGAUUGUAGGAUCGUACGAUCCUACGAUCCGGAUAACCAAAAUCGAUCCGGAUCGUAUUCAGAGUCGCAAAUUGUAUUAAUCUACAUAGGAUCGGUAGGAUCGUACGAUCGUACGAUCCUACAAUUUUUUGCAAAUUUGUGAAAUACGAGACUCCAUUUUGCAAGUAAAUGAAAAUAUUUGUGGUAGGUUUGUAAUUUAUCAAAGAAUUGCAGCUUUUAAUUGCAAUUUUUGCCUCAAAAAGUCAAAAAAGCUCAUAUUCUUCUCCUCUACUCAGUCAUCUGUCGUUGACUCGUUUCUUUAUUCUUCAUUUCAACCUUCAUUUUUCAGUUUUCACUUCUUCUCCACCGCUGCAACUCCAACCAACCAACCUUCAUUGUUACAAGAGUGCUUCAGCUCACAUAGAUUAUUGUUUGCUUACUAUUGAUUGCAAUAGCUAAGCAUUUCAUGCAAGAUUGAGUUUCUGAUAUCUUGAGAACUUUAUUUCAGCAGAUAACUUUUUCUUCUUCUUAGACAAGGUUGUAAGGUGGCUUUGUGUCCAAGAAGUUCAUUCCUUCAGCCGAAAAAUAUUGGGUGUCACUCGAACUUAUGAUUUCCUGGCCUUUAUUUUUGUUCUUAAGCUAGAAAGGUGCAUUAAUUGCCCAGAUUUUCCUAUUUAGACCAGAAAGAUGGGCUGCCGUGGACGUAUGCUUUUGAACUUUUUGUUAACAAGUUUGAAAAAUCUAAUUUCUUCUAAAUUUUCAGCUCAAAUCAACAUUUAGCCUGGCUUUUCUCAUAGUAUUACUUUGCAAUGGCUAUAAUUGUGAAAAGAAAAAUGCUAUAUAUUUAUUACUUAUCAGACAGUAAGUAAAAAAUACUAUAUAUUUAUGAGUAACUUAUUUAUUUAAUAUCUUUUAGAAUGUACAAAAUGGUAUAUAAAUCUGAAAUUCAUUAAUUUAGUAAAUUUAGAAACUUUUGGUGGAAUCUUACGAUCCUACGAUCCGAUUCUGUGAAACUAAAAUCGAUCCUACGUAGGAUCCCGAUUUUACAAACCUUGGUAGAGAGAGACAGUAAAAGCAUAUAUUUUUUAAACCAUUUCAAUAAAUAAAACCCUCCAUAGCAUUGAAGGCAAUUAGCAUGUAAAAAUCAUGCAUUUGAGCCAAAAAAACUCAGCAAUAGAUGAAAUUCAACUUCAAUAUCAUACAGAGAAUUUACUCAAAAUAAACGGACUUUUUUUAUGGGCAUGAAAUAUGAAAAUUUUAUUAUAAAAAACUCAGAAUUUGAAAAACUGCAGUUCGGAGUAUUAGUUACUUUAUUUCUCUUGCGCUCUACAUGAAUAGGAACAAAUAAAUAAAUAAAGUUGUGAAACACAAAAAAAAAGGAAAAAAAGAACCUGCAACUAUUUUUCUCCAAAUGCGCUGAAUAUUUCAUUGAUUAAAUCUUAUAUUUCAUUGACAUUUAGAGAAAGAAAAACAAGUUUAGAAAAUUUAAAUAUGAGGGUAUUAUUGACAAUUCAUCACCUUUGAUAUUAGCAUAUGACCCUACUAUCACUUCAAGGGUGUUAAGUGAGAUUUUGAAAAGUUCAGGAGAGCUAGGUGAUAUUUCAUACAACCUCAGGGGAGGUUUCUGAAAUUAUCCCUUUAAAAAAAUAAUACAAUAUGUGAAAACGAUUCACUAAUAGUUUCUCGAUAGAGCUUAAUUGGCUAUACUUGUCAAUUUGCUGUUUGAGGCUCCACUUCACAUCUAUAAAUGAAUGCAAUAAUUAGCAGGACAUUUAUAAAUGAAUGCGACAACUGUCAAGAUGAAAAUUAUAUAACUGUGAUGUGUUUGCUGGUUUUAUUAAAAUAAAAAAAUACAUAGGACAAAAAAAAGAAUUAGAAUUAUCUUUUACAUUGAGUUCAUGUCGUUGAAAUAACUUGUGCGGUCGAUGCAUGCUUGUAAUAUGUGUUAACCUUUAUGAAUCCCACAUAAUGUUUGUUUGGCCUGAUAAAUCAUUUUUUAUUGUGCUAAUAUUGCAAACGAGUUUUAGAAAUUUUGCUGCAAAUUUAUCUUCUCAAAAUAACUCAACCAAUUUGAUUGGGAUCAAAAAAAUUGUGGGCUAAGUUUUUUUGUUCGAAUAAUCACAUAGGUACAAACCAAUCCCUAGUGGACUCAAAAUUCUAGACUCUUUAAGAGUUUCUAACCAAGCAGUAAAUAGCCAAGCAUCUAAAAGUCAUUUGUAAGCAUAAAGUUCCAUUCUACACCAAGCAGUAAUGGCUGACCCGCAAAGUGCGGAUCGGGUCAGUCAAAUGGUGAAUGGGACGGAUACCCGACCCACACCCACCCCUAGUGGCUCGUGCUAUUGUAGGUGAACACUACUUUCCGAUGACCUGAAAGGGAAAGUUGACUUCAUGUAGCAUUCAAACCACACGCAGUUGCCAUCAGUAAACGCCUCCAUUUUUAGUGCACAGCAAAAGAGGCAAACUAAUGAGCUGCGCAGGAGGACCCUUCAAAGAUGAUAGCACAAAUGGGCAACGAACAAGCAGCAUUACUUGUGGACUUGAAACUAUACAAUCACACGAGCAUUAUCUCCACCUUGAUCAUCAAGUCUUUCACGAAUGAUCAAAAAAACAUGUAAAACUUGCUAAGCUUCUCAAGAUAUUUUACAUAAAAAGUUGAGAUUUUACAACCCGGUUUGCACCUACCAUCCACACAAACUAAAACCAAGGACUCCGAACAAAGUUAAAUUAAAGUUCUUCUUCCCUGGGGAAUGGAAAAGGAACUUCUAGUAGACAAACUAUCUUUGCUGCAUCAUACAAGGAGAGUACAUGGGGCUUUCCUAACAGCAAGUCAAAUCAUCUGUGCAAAAGAAAUGAGACGCCAUAGACCGCACUGUCCAGCAAUAAAGAAAGGAGAAAAGGUAUAUGCAAGAGACAGGGUCCGCCAAGAUGAGAAUAAAGUCUGGAUCAGCCGGUCUGAUCAUGAAGCUUAAGAAUUCAGAUGCCCACGGAAUUUUCUAAGCCGCUCUCCUAUUGGGUUGUCACACUCUUUGCAAGAUUUCGGGGCUGGUCAACAUUGUGACCUCGUAGAACAGUUAGAUGGUAGGCCAACAACUGCAGGGAAAGAGCAGGGAAAGAUAAUUAUCCGCAGAAGUAUCAGCUUUUAUAGCAAUGAGAAACAAAACCGCAAUUCUUGAGAAGGUCUACCAACAAAAUAAAAGAAAUUUUACAGCCUGUACUAUAAGCCAAAUAGUUAUCAAGAUGUGUCAUAGCUCUUUCCAAAGAUGACAAAAACAAAACGAGGAAAUCAAAGGUUCAACUGCACAACAUAACCAAUUGUAUAUACACUCGCUCAAUCAAAAACAAUACUCAACCUAAAGUGUUGCAGUAAAAUAUAGAAGAGUGCAACUAUUGGCUCCCUUAGAAUCUUUGAGAUUGAAUUCCCUUUGUAAGACAGUUACCUUAGGGCACGGAUAAAAUUAACAUAGUUGCUGUUGAUCAUAUGGUCUACUUUACCCAGACAAAUAAAAAUCAAAGACUUGCAGAGCUUGCAGACUUUUCAUAGUUCUUGGGCUUAAUAUUCAAGCUGCUCUGAGAGUUGAAAUCAUUAUUAAAUAGUUUAACAAUUUGGUACCUAAAAGUUCCUAAAAAUAGCAGCAUUUAGGUUCCCAGAGUAAAGAAGAUCCAUACUGCCAAAAUCAUCCUUCAUCCAACUCAAUGAAUAGUUAACACAAGAAAAGGUUCCCAAUAAAAGUGGGCAAUUUACCUGCAAUGGAAUUACAUUAAGUACAGGCUGGAGACAGUCUUCAACAUGAGGAACUUCAAUUACUCGACAAGAUCCACCAACUGAUACAGAUGCAGAAUCUCCUUUCGUGCACAUAACUAUUAGUCGACCUUUCCUAGCAUGAAGUUGCUGAAUGACUGAUUGUUGUUUGCUGCAGCAAAAAGAGAUGUUUAUGGAAUAGAUAAUAAUAAACACGAAACCACUAGUUUAUCAAAACAUUCAACUAACUGAAACAAGCAUCACGAGUAGCAAUCACAACAAUUGGAAGCUUGUGAUCCACUAAUGCUAAAGGUCCGUGUUUCAUUUCACCUGCAAGAAUUCCCUCACUAUGCAUAAGAGCAACCUCCUUUACUUUCAAGGCGCCUUCUAGAGCUGUUGCAUAAUUAUAUCCUCUUCCAAAUACAAGAAGUGAUUGUUCACUAAUGAACAGUUCGGCAAGAUCUUUCAUUUCCUCAUCCAGCUUGAGAACCGCUUUCACUUUGCUGACCGUUUUCAAAAGCAUAAUAUAAUAGAAUUAGAUACCUCAAAAAAUAUAUACUAGAAAGCACACUUUUGUAGGCAGAAAAACUAAAGAAUGUUGUAGCUGCAAUGCAAGAAACAAGCAAGAUGCAUACUUGGCAAGUCUAAUAGACCAUCUAUUAUUGCUUCUCUCGUUUCAUUUGAAAUCAUGUCUCCUCCAACAGCAAGAGCCAACAUUGCCAUAACUACAAUUUGACUGGUGUAUGCCUGUUGAUCAAGGCAACAACAUAACAAGUCACAUAAUAGUAAAACCAAAAGAAAAAAGAAUAGAAGGAAAUAGGCCAAACACAAAGUGCCAAUUACUUGCCUUAGUACUCGCCACACCUAUUUCACAACCAGCCUUAAUAUGCACAUCGCAGUGGGUUUUCCUAGCAAGCGCACUUCCUACAGUGUUUGUGAUUCCAACGCAUAAUGCACCAUUUUCUAAAGCAUAAUCUAAUGCCUGUAAAGUAUCAGCAGUUUCACCAGACUGACUGAAAAAAACAGCUGUGUCUUCCCUGUAUAUUGGCCCCUGCCUAUCCACUAAAUCACUAGCAACCUCCAGCGUAACCGGAACACCUUUAUACAGGAGAAAUCAGUGUAAGAAUCAAUUUACUAGAUGUCAUCAUCCAUACAAUAUAGCAACAGCUAACAACUAGUACCGGUCGAUGUAUUUGUGCUCCAAAUAUAGUUCCUCGAACAGCAUUUUCUAAAUGAACCAGAGCCAACUAGAAUUGAUCUUGUAAAAGAUCCGCUACAGAAUGAAUACAUUUAUUUUUCGAAUGAUUCAUAUAGUCAAGUGUACCCAUUCCAAAUUUUAGUCCAAUCAAAUGAUCGGCGGCUGCCAAUAUAUCUCAGGAAGUAUGGUCUGGAAGUUGGUCAAAAUCUGAUAUUUAUAUAGAUGCGGUAUGUAAAGAGUUUUCGUGUAUCCAUUGCAUUUUGCUUGAGUGAUGUUUUCUUUUAUGUUGUAUAUGAAUUAAAUUUUGGGUUUUUUGAUUAAUUCGUGGUUUACCUUCAUGUGAUUUUAAGAUUGUAUUGUCAGUUUGAGUGGGUUUUUUCAGUAUUUACUUUUUGGGAUUGGUUGUUAAUGUUUGGUGUAAAUGAUUGAUAGAUAGUGCUCUUCCAAUUGGUGUCAAUGAUAAAUAAUGGUAUUUCAAUUUAAAACUUUUUUGGUAAUGUGGGCCUUAAGUUUUGUACUACCUUUAUGAUUUUAGAGCUUGUGUGAUUAAUAGUGAAAGUAAGGACAAAAUUGGCUAUAUUUUUAUUGAUGUUUGAUAUAUUUUUUAAACUUGGAUAUUCUAUAAAUGUAGAUGUUAUCAUGGAGAUGGAUACCAUCAUCUUCAAAUUUUUGUUCUUGUUGUUUCUGGAAGAACACCAUGAAAAGCUUUAAGGGUCAAAAAAAGUUGUUGUUGAGUCAAUUGUAUUAUAAUUCUCAUAGAUAUCAAUUGUUAGUUGUCAGUUUUGCUUGGCUUCCUCUCAUUAGCUUCCUCUAAUUAGUUUCCCGUAUUAUGAGUGAUUGGAAUAUUAGAAAAUUUAUUUCUAAUGCUUAGGAGAAAAAAAGAAAAUAUUCUUUACUGACCACAUGAAAGAAGACAUUUGAAAUUAUUUUAUAAGAAGUUCGGUGUAAUAAAAAAAAAUAUGAUUACCAAGUUCUUAAUUAUCAAACAGUGAAUGCCCAUUUCUACUUUUGAACCGACUGCAUACUCAACUAGAUAAUAAAACAUCAAUGGUUAUAGGAAGCAUUAAAAAAGAACAUGAGAAUAUUAUUCUAAUUACUCAAAUCAUUUGGUAACGCUUUAGUUUUUAUUCUAAUUACUCAUAUUAUUGAAUCAAUUGGUAGCAUUUUGUUCAUAUCAUUACUGUCAUAACCGAAAUAAAAUGACUCUAAUUAUUAGACAAAAGGGUACUUUUUUUUUUUUUUUGUCGAAACGAUAGGAAAUUUCAUUAUCAAAGGCCAUAAUACAUGUACGAGCAACGGCUCGAAGGAACUGCACAAAAAGUGUUCAGCGAACACUGAGGAAAUUUCUUUCCUCAUCCACAAUUAUGCUUAAAGCAUCUGCACUCAGUAGUCUACUGUCUAACAUAUUUUCCUCUCUUUCCAAACCAAAAGAGCACAUACAAAAUAGUCUCUUCAGACUUAGAAUAUCCUCCAGCAAUGUAGCCAUCUUGCUAUCUGUUGGUCGUUGCUGUGUAAGCUGUUUCCAUAGUUCUUUGUUGCAGAAAUUGAGACGUACCUCUCUCCACUGCUGCUGUACAGCUUUGCACAGAACCAAUUUUAAUGCCAGAGCUUCGUCUAAGAUGUUGCUCCCCAAACUUCUCUCUGUCAGCUUCCAAUCUGCAAUUUUAGUGUUUGCCGCAUUCUUUGCUGUGACUCCUAUGCCAAAGGCGUUCUGCCCUUGUUUCUUAACUGUUGCCACUUGUAUAAUUAAGGCCCCUUCAUUUCCAUUGCUCUGUCCUUGGUGAACAUUGGUAUGAACUGUUUCUUCUGUACUCUUUUUAUCCCCCUACUGAUGUUCUACCCCUUGUUCCAUCCAUUCUUUGUGCGCACGUUCUACUAUUCUCAAUGGUGCUAAUCUAAUUGAGUUCUCAUAUUCCCUCUUGUUCCUAUCUUUCCAUACCUGCCAUAAUAUAUUUGCUGUCAGGCCAAUAUGCUCCUUCCCUUCCUGUCUAGUUCUUGCUUCUGUAAUUCUCAUCCACCAUCUCUUAAAAUCACCCCUCUGAUCAUUUGCUCCAUCCCACUGAAUGGGGGCUGAUUUCCAUACUUCCAGUGCAUGUGGACAGUUGAGUAACAUAUGUUCUAUGGUUUCUGGAGCCUCGCCACAGGUUGAGCAAAUAGGGUCCCCUACUCCUGUUCGCUUUCUCACUGCCUCCCUGACUGGUACUGCUCGUUUAAUACACUUCCAGAUGAAGUGCUUGAUUUUGUGCUUAAUGUUGAGCUUCCAUAACAUAUUCCACAUCUGAACCAUUUGCUGGCUUCCUUCUGAGGUGCUUGUUUCAGCUCCCUCCAGGUUGCACCUUCUUCUGCUCAUGCCUUUCUCCAUCAACAAUUUGUAUCCUCAGUCGACUGUGUAAUCCCCUCCAGCUUCUGGUUUCCAGUAGAAACUAUCUUCCCUCCCUGAUAAGCUUAGAGGGAUGCGGAGAAUCUGCUCAGCAUCUUCUUUGUUGAAAUAUCUGAAGAUAACAUUCCUGUUCCAUCUCUGCUGGCAUAUUAGCUCAUCAACCAUCUUUAGCUCACAGUUACUUGUUCGGCAUGUUGACAGCUUCCCCGUGGGUGUCUCAGGUAACCAUUUAUGGUCCCAGAUUUUCGUGUUCCUACCAUUUCCAAUCCUUCUAAUCAGUCCUCCUUCUAUUAAGCUCCUUGCUCCCAGUAAUCCUUGCCAAAUCCAUGAUGCAUUUUUAGGGAGGGUGCAUUGUAGUAUGGAUUCCUGAGGGAAAUACUUGGAUUUUAAAACCUUACUGACCAGAAGAUUUGGGCUGGUUAAUAUCCUCCAUAACUGCUUACCCAGAAGUGCUUUGUUGAAGGCUUCCAGAUCCUUAAACCCAAGGCCGCCUAUGUUCUUGUGUACUACCAUUUUGUCCCAAGAGAUCCAGUGCAUGUUGUUCCUUCCCUCAGAUCCACCCCACCAGAAAUUGGACAUCAUGGUGCUAAUGUCUUUGUAGAGUGAUCUGGGCAGCUUAAAGCAGGACAUAACAUACGUAGGCAUGGCCAUUGCAACUAAGACAAAAGGGUACUUUGAUCGCAGCAAAUACUAAGACAAAAAAAAUAUUUACACUUCAAAUUGCUUACAUUCCACUUGUCCAAUGACGGAGCUAAGGGGGGCUGAUGGAGUCCAUGGCCUCCCCUAACUUUUGAAAAUUUUAAUUUAUAGUGUGUAAAUAUACGUGUAAAAUAAAGUUGGCCCCUCCCCCUAAUUUUUUACAAUUUUAGUUGUUAUUAUAAGAGUUUAUAUAUAUAUAUAUAUUAUAUUUUUAUAUGAUAAUGAAUCGCAAUCUAAUUGAUGAAAUGUUUUACCUGUAUCCCACAAGUCAAAAAUACAAUAUAUUUCUUUUUUUUUUUUUUAAGUCAAUAGGAUUGUCAUUGGCGAGAUCAAAUGAGCAAUUAUUGGUCUGCGAAGAUUGAAAAGCUCAGCCCAUCUUGACCGCCGCCUUCUAAUUUCCAAGCCACAUAUAUGCAACGACCUGCAAGUCUUCAGCAAAGAGCAAGAAAAGAGUCAUGACACAGGACCAAACUGGCUAUGAUUAUAUUCAUAUUUUUUUUUUCUAAGCAAUUUAUUGAUACUUCUAGCGCCAUAGCAAUUCGUGAAAUCUCUCUAUCAAAUUUCGAUUUCAUGUUUUUCUGUCCAGAAAAAUCGAUUAUGGAACAUCCAGUAGCUCGCGUAAAAAAAUUUAAAAGAAAAAAAAACAAUUGCUAUGCAUGUGCCAAUGCCUUUUGCAACUUCUGAAAGUUUUCAAUAGCGGAUUUAAACUUAAUUGUUAAAGUGUUAACGAGCCAAUUUGAGGCUAGUCAGUUUGACUGAUACAAGUAUUAUUCAUCUUAAGUGCACACAAUUACACAUUUUACUGUCCCUUACACAUUAAGCUGCAGACAUUGCGAACACAAUUGUACUGUCCCUUAAACCUUUAUCAACAGUUAAAAUCCACACAAUUUGUCUGAUCAAAAUUGUAUAUUUGUAAAAAUCAUAGCACUCCAAGAAACGAUAUUCUUCUUGGACAUAUCCCCGAACAAUCAGAUUGCUUAAAGAGUCAAUAUGAGAAACAAUCAGAAUUGACCUAAUUUCUGCAAUAAUUAUAAAUUGAAAUACCUUAGUGACAAGUGUCGAGCCUGUGUAAUAAUAAUUACUAAAAAAUCCUAGUUACCACCAUAAUUAAUUAUAGAACAAAUCCAAGUACUGGAGCAGGAACCCUAGGUGUGCAAUGGGUUACUUGAUUCACCCUAUUUCCGAAGAGUGUGCUUGAUCCGAUAUACCAGAAUUGUCUAUAAAAAUAUUAAAUUUGCGUAUAAUGGCAAGUAGGGUUGAUUCCACAGGGAACGGAUAAGAAAUUGCUUCUUUCCAAAUCAGUAGAACAAAAUUGGGGGAUAUUUAAUGGAGUGAAAAUGAAAAUAAAAUAAACAAAAUUCAAAAGCUAACUUAUCAAGUACAAUUUACUAAAAAUAGCAAUUAAUAAAAUUCUACCCAAAGGAUCAACUGUUCAAGCACGGUCCAAUUAAAUGAUCAUCGAUGCAAAGAUUUUUCAUUCAUCCGUCACUAGGUUGGUUAUAACUAUCAACAAGCUCUGACAACCAGUUCUUCCUUACUUUUUCCACAUUCAAGGUACGACCAUUGACUGCUUCUCUAACCAGAAAACAACCCUAGGUACGACCGUAGGAGUUUAAUUAUCCAAUUGCAUUAAAGCUAGAAGAACCCAGUCAUAACCAAUAAACACGCUAAGAGAGUUCAUUUAAACUAGAUCCUAUGUUUCCCCAACACAAAGCCAAUUAUGAUGGUUGUCACUAGUUGUCAACUAAACAAACAAUUACAGAUUCAAUUUAGUUAACGUGACAGUAGGCUAUUAGAUUAAAUUAAAUAUCCGGCCGUUGAUACUCAAUUAAUAAAAUAUCCAUGAACAAUUAAUUCAGGAAACGCAUGAAUAGUAACGAAUUGGAAGAAAUAAUGAAAAUUCGAUUAGAUCUCACAGAUGUUAUGGACCGCGCCUUUGCGUCGACCUUUGGGUAGAGGCGAAGUCUAGCCACUCCUCAUCAUAUCAAUCUCGCAUGGUUUAAUCGAUAUCAUCCAAUUAAUUACCAAGAAUUUGGGGGACACGGAAUAACGAAGAAACCGAGGAGAAAGUCUCGUUUCACUUUGCUUCGUGUCUGUACUCAAGCAAAAUGUAUAAGCCCAGGUCUCACAAAAGGCGUACGAAACAAAAGGAACAAAAACGGAAACUUCAAGUCGUCUUCCAAGGAUAGCAACCGAAGGCUACUCCCAAAUUGUCCAGAGCUAGAGCUAAAAGUCAAAAGAAAAAGACGUCUGACUGAUGGGAAAAAAAAAGAAGAAAGAAACUAAAGCUAAUCUCUUGAUUACACGUGAUUCUGGCUUUUUAGCGUUUUGAAGCCGCCGCCAGAAGCAAAGAAAAACGUCUAGGAGCAAGACUUUGUCUAGGGGUUUUAAUUCCAUGCAUCUCUGUGGUUCACGUGGAUCUCAUUUCCUAAUUGCCUCCUACUGCUACCAAUCCCGCGGGUCCGGCUUUUGGGUAUUCUUCUAGAGUUUCUGGUGUGGGCACGCCAUGAAAUAGAGAGUCUUCUGAAAAUUUGCCUCGCGAAAGCACUUUUUACACAAAUCACCUACAAUUUAUAUAAAUAUGAAAUAUGAGUAAAAUCUCAAUACUUAGCACAGUAAGUAGCCAAAAUUAUAACAAAAUAACAGUGCAGAACGUGCCCAAUAAUUGCACUAUCACUUAGCAUUAACAAUAAUUUUUAAGUAAACUCAUGGUACAAGUAUUUUUUUUCAUGAUGAUGAAACGGAGUCAAAUUGAUAAAAUACUUUAUUGUAUCCAACAAGUCGUGACUACAAUGUAUUUCUUUUUUCUAUUUUUUUUAAGUUGAUUGGAUUGUCAAUGGCGAAAUCAAAUGAGCAAUUAUUGGCCUGCGAAGAUUGAAAAGCUCAGCCCAUCUUGACCAUUGCUUUCCAAUUUCCAAGCCACAUAUAUGCAACGACUUGCAAGUCUUCAGCAAAGAGCAAGAAAAGAGUUAUAACACAGGACCAAACUGGUUAUGACUAUAUUCAUAUUUUUUUCUGAGCAAUUUAUUGAUACUUCUAGCGCCAUAGCAUUUCGUGAAAUCUCUCUAUCACAAUGUCGAUUUCAUGUUUGUCUUUCCAGAACAAUAGAUUAUGGAACAUCCAGUAGCUCGUGUAAAAAAAUUGAAAGGAAAAAAAAAACAAAUGCUGUGCACGUCCCAAUGUCUUUGGCACCUUCUGAAAGUUUUCAAUAGCGGAUUCAAACUUAACUCAAUUGUUAAAGUGUUAAUGAACCAAUUAGAGGCUAGUCAGUUUGACUGCUACAAAUUAGUUUGCCACACAAUUAGACAUUUUCAACAAAUUAGUUUGCCAAUUUGUCAGUUGACAAAAGAGCAUGAGUAGUACUUCUAGCAGUAGGUCUAACUCAUAUACAUUCAACAAAUUAUUGAGCUUUGCAAGCUAUAAAUGGGCUGACUGAUUAGGUCUCAAACUUUCUAUAUUAGGUCAGUUAUUGGAAUGAUACAUCCCAAGUUCUUCACAAGUGUUUUGAAAAGCCAAAACCAAAGUUUGGCCUUACUUAGAAUUGUAGUGACUUUAGAAAUUAAUUUGUUAUUGGAGCUUUGUUUUUUAGGGGGUUAUUGGAGCUUGCUAUAUAGGAACUUAAUUAUUGAAAGACAAGUGUUCAAACAUGUAGGUAAAGAUAUAAUUUAGUGAUUGAUAGUUGGAUUAGAUAUUAUUCAUAAGUGCAACUAGAUGUUAGUGUUUAGCUUACUAUUUGUGAUUAUUAGUUGCAAUUUUAUUGAAUCAUAAUGCCUUAAUUACAUAUUGCCCACUUGUAGUUUGCAGUCAAUAGCAGUUUACUCUCUAUUUACAUGAAAUACACAAAAUGCUUACUAAUGACCAAACAUUUUAACAACUAGGAAAAUGCACCUGCAUUGCACGUGUUUGAUCAUACCAAAACUUGUCUUACUUUUAUCUAUAUUGUGAAAGACUCAACUCAGAUUUUGCUAGAAAAGCCUUUGAUCCAUCGCAUGCCAAACAAGCAAUGCAAAACCUUUAAUCAUGCUGUAUAAGUGGCUGUAAUUCAGUAGAACAAGGAGAAGUUACUUGAUAUAUCUUAGACAGGAGCUAAAUGCUUCUCCAUUAAUCUUAGAGUUUCAGCCUUUAUUUUUAUUGCAAUUGUAGAAUCUUGAGAGCCCAGGAGGGGUGAGUUCCAAUAUUCCUUUCCAUUUUUUCAUUGGGUUAAUUAAGAUGCAUUCGAAAGAAUGAUGACAAGUCAACCUUUUGAGUGCCCUUCGAAACGAUAAAUAUAUGACAUGCUCCUUGUAAUAUUAUAAAUCAGCAAUACCCGUCCCUUUUCUUUUGGUAUCAUCCCUUUCUUAGAGGCCCUUGAUUUGGUUUUUGAGCAUCACUGCUUGUAGGAUUAAAUGUGAAAGUGGAAGUGAGAAGCAGAGUUAGUGUUAGAAAGGCUAUUUUCAUCUAGGCAUUCUAGCUGUAGAAAUGGCAAGCAAUACAAAUAACCUUCUUAUUACCCAAUGAAUCUCAAUUGGAAGAAAUAUAUUUUGGCCUUAGAUAAGCAUGGCUGGCUUACUAACCAUUUUCUUGCGUGAUUUUACACCUUUAUGUCUCUACCGUGAAAUAAGAAGCAGGCUUAAAGUCCUGAACUGUGUCCAAUAGUAAUUCUUUCAUUUGGUAGAAUUGACUCCAAAACUAUCAAAGACAUUCUUGACUUUCUUUGUAUUUCAUCGAUACAAUGUUGGUUGUAGGGACAUUGUGAAGAUUUGCGCCGAAGAUUUGGUUUACAUAAGAGGCCUAUGACCAUAAGAUUGUUUCUGCACUUUCUUUGUAAUGGUACUGCUAUCCUUCCAUACUGAUUGAAUAGUAUUAAUAAUAACUAUUGUAUUAGACAUAAUUUUAUAAUUGUAAAAAAUAUAAGUAAUGAUAUAAUCUUAGGAACACCUUUUUUAAUUCAAAUAUAUCCUUUCUCAGUAGGACAUGAAGGUAUUUCUACUAAUAUUAUGGGAAAAAUUAUUACUUUUAAAUUUUUGACUCCAAUAAAACAAAGAGAAUUACAAAUGUUACAAUCAUCCUCUAUAUAUAAAACAAUAAAUUCAAUUACUAAGGUAAAACAACAUAUAAAAUAUAUAAAGGAAGAAAAAUCUUAUUUAAAAAUUGAAGAACAAUUAAAAGAAAUAAAAAUGCAAAAAAGAAUUUUAGAGUUAGAAGAGUUAAUUAAAAAAGAAGUUUGUGCAGAAAUUCCAAAUGCCUUUUGGGAUAGAAAGCAACAUAUGAUAAAAUUACCAUAUGAAAAAGAUUUUAAUGAAAAAAAUAUUCCAACUAAAGCAAGACCUAUACAAAUGAAUAGUGGAAUUACUAGAAUUUUGUAAAAAAGAAAUACAAAUAUUAAUGGAUAAAGGAUUAAUAACCCCCUCAAAGUCACCUUGGAGUUGUGCAGCUUUGUAUGUCAUGAAUCAAGCAGAAAAAGAAAGAGGAGUGCCAAGAUUAGUUAUUAAUUAUAAACCAUUAAAUAAAGUAUUACAAUGGAUAAGAUAUCCAAUUCCAAAUAAAAAGGAUUUAUUGAAUAGAUUAUAUAACUCAAAAAUAUUUUCAAAAUUUGAUAUGAAGUCAGGAUAUUGGCAGAUUUUAAUAACCCCUGAAGAUAGAUAUAAAACAGCAUUUACAACACCCUUUGGCCACUAUGAAUGGAAAGUAAUGCCGUUUGGAUUAAAAAAUGCGCCUUCCGAAUUUCAAAAUAUAAUGAAUGAUAUAUUUAAUCCUUAUAAUUCAUUCAGUAUAGUCUAUAUUGAUGAUGUAUUAAUAUUUUCAGAAUCAUUAGAACAACAUUUUAGACAUUUAAAUAUAUUCUUAAAAAUAGUUAAGAAAAAUGGAUUAGUUGUUUCAGCAUCUAAAAUGAAACUAUUUCAAACUAAAAUAAGAUUUUUAGGACAUAAUAUAGAUAAAGGAACAAUAAAACCAAUAAAUAGAGCUUUAGAAUUUGCAAAUAAAUUUCCAGAUGAAAUAAAAGAAAAAAAUCAGUUACAAAGAUUUUUAGGAUGUUUAAAUUAUAUUGCGGAUUUCUUUCCUAAAUUAAGACAAGAAUGUUCUAUACUAUUUGAUAGAUUAAAAAAGAAUCCUAAACCAUGGACAGAAGAACAUACUCAAAAGAUUAGAUAUCUUAAAGAAAAGAUUGAAUCAUUACCAUGUUUAUGUUUACCUCAUCCUAAAGCUUUUAUGAUAGUAGAAACGGAUGCAUCAGAAUUAGGAUAUGGGGGGAUAUUAAAACAAAGAAUAGAUGAUUCAAAAGAAGAAUUAGUGCACGAUACCAUGCCAUUUUGUAAUCUUGAUAAGUAAAUCCAUCUGGAAUGAAUCUGACUGAGAAAGAUUUCUUUGAAUAAAGAGAAGUUCAUUCAUUAGGAGAACAAACUUUCAUGAUUCAAAAGAAGAAUUAGUUAGAUUUUAUUCAGGAAUAUGGUCAGGACCACAAAAGAAUUAUUCAACUAUUAAAAAAGAAAUUUUAUCUAUAGUAUUAUGUAUAUCAAAAUUUCAAGAUGAUUUAUACAAUAAAAAUUUUUUAAUUAGAAUAGAUUGUAAAUCAGCAAAAGAAGUUUUACAAAAAGAUGUUCAAAAUAUAGUUUCAAAACAAAUAUUUGCUAGAUGGCAAGCAAUUUUAUCAGUAUUUGAUUUUGAAAUAGAAUUUAUUAAAGGAGAAAAUAAUUCUCUUCCAGACUUCUUGACAAGAGAGUUUUUACAGGGAAAUGGAACGUGAAACCCACAAAGAAUAUAUUCGAAGAUUACGAGCUGAAAGAGACAAUCCUCUUCUUCAAAGAAAAGAUUCAAAUAUUUCCCAUAGACAUUUCACCUAUUAUAUUAAAAUCUCUGAAAGAGAAAUUCAACCCAUUCCCUAUCAUCAAAUUCGAAACCAUGAUAUAGUACAUAUUAGACAUAGCUAUUGGUCUGCCACUACUCCAAAAGAACAAGUUUUUCUUUUCAAAAGACAAAUCAAUUCCUAUAUCAUUUUCAAAGACGUCCUCAAAAAAGCCGGUCACUAUCAAGAGGAGAUUCAAUACUAUAACAACCAAAUCCAACAGCUUCGAGAGAAACUCAAUAAAAUUAUUUGUUAAUUUUGGAGGAUCAUGGAUUCAAAAGGAGGAAACUCUAGACCAAAACUCCUCAAGACUAUGAGAUGAGUAUUACUCCUGUAACUCAAAAUAGAUUCCAAUUAUUGCAAGAUUUUCAAGAUAAAGUCUUGAACUGUGUCCAAUAGUAAUUCUUUCAUUUGGUAGAAUUGACUCCAAAACUAUCAAAGACAUUCUUGACUUUCUUUGUAUUUCAUCGAUACGAUGUUAGUUGUAGGGACAUUGUGAAGAUUUGCGCCGAAGAUUUGGUUUACAUAAGAGGCCUAUGACCAUAAGAUUGUUUCUGCACUUUCUUUGUAAUGGUACUGCUAUCCUUCCAUACUGCUGAUGUUUAUAUUCACUAGAAAAUAAAUAAAUAAAUAUCACGUGCACUGCAUGUGUAUAAUUUAUAAAAUAAUUUUAAAAACUGAAUUAGGAAAUUUUGUAGUAUUUAAAGAAGUGUUCUUGUAGGACGAGAAAAUGUUAUAGGACAGAAGUCAUUUGAGUUGGGUAGCUUUUGAUAUGUCUUCUAUUUCUUUCUUUUAGAUAAAAUAGCACAAACAUCCUACACAUUUUGCCAAAGAAUUUUUUUGUCCUCAAAUUUAAAAUGCUAAUAUUAAAUUCCUAACAAAAAUAAACCAGUCCAAUUUGGACCAAACCUCUAACUCCAACCAUCUUUUGUCAUGAAAGCACACUUCUGUUAGCAAUAAGUUAUCCAGAAGUCCCUUGAAGCCAUUUUGAAAACAUCCAAUUUUACUUUAUUCUCCUUCUGGCUUUAGAAUGAGUAUCUAUUCACUCUCAAACACAAAGGUUCAAAGUUCUUCACCAAAACAUGCUUCAUUUAUGCCGGAUUUUGCCAAAUAAUCAUAUAACCAAUGCCUUCAGAUUACCUUAUUCUUUACAGGCAAACUGAAAGAGAUUUAGUUUCGGAUUAUUUGGUUGUCAACUCAUGUUCACAUGACAAAUCCUAUAACUCGCAUAAGAAACAAAAAAUCAAGAGGAGUAUUUUGACUCUUUGGAACAUGAUGAUUUUAAGUUAAUAUAAUUAUUUAUGUGAAUCGACAACUAUCUUAUUAUAAGUUUAGUUGAUACCCCAAUAGAGGUUCUGGAUUUGAAUUCCUCUUUCUCCUCUCUAUUUCUUAAAUCUCAGUUCUCUCCUAAUACAAAAUUUUAAAAAAUGUUUCAUAGUUAAUUCUGUGGACAAAUCAAAGUCACCACCUUUAAUAUCAAUCCAAAAUAUUCCAAAUUCAUAAAAUGGUAUUUAACUUUUAAUGACCUUCAAUUGAUUGGUUAUCGUUUGGAUAGGUUAAGUAAACUUGCUCAAAUAUAGGGUUAAGGCUAAAUUGUAAAACAAACAAACAAACACGUUCUUCAAUUUUUUUUUUCCUUUUCUAAGCAUGGCGCUAACAUUAUUAAUGAAAGAAAUUAAAAGAGAGUGUGAAUAAACAAAAAGUAAAAAAAAUUUGUACCAAUAUAAUUAAAAUCUAAGAUUUGUCUAGCAAUAGCUCAAAGUGUGAUAAAAUGUGUACAUCAUUCAAAAACUACUUUUUUUUCGUGGAAGAUGGAUCCUAAAAUAAUAAUAGAAAUUUAUAUUAGAAAAUGAAUGAUAUAUGGAUAAAAAUGAAUGUAAUCAUGAUCUUUAGUUUUGUGAAUGAUUAUGAGAGUAAGAUACGUUAUAAGAGUUAGAUAUGUAGAAUUGUGGGAAUAGUGGAAAUUAUAAUGCAAACAAGCUCCUAAAAUUUGGAUAUGUGUUUUUCACAGUAGUGAGUUCCUUAAAUUAUGAGUUGGUUAUUACUAUGAGUCAUGUGGUAAGUGUCAGACGUGGUUUACAAUUUGCAGAUGUGAUUUUGCAGGAGUAGUUAAUAUCUAUUAGUUAAAAUUAUGGAAUUAUGAUUUUAUAAGUUAGUGAGUCACGUAAAUUGUAAAAGUGAAAAAGGGAUACUGAGAAGCAAUAAGGAUUACUGAGUUACAAUAAAUCUAAAAUUGUAGAGGGUCAUUGUUAAAACUUUUCCCUCCAAUACAUAUAGAUAUAGAUACAGAUUUUAAGCUAAAAAAUUCUCUGGAUUGAACUAACUCUAAUAUGGGCUGGUUUAUGAUUAUCAUAUCGUUAACUUAGCAUUGUAGAGAUAAAAAUCAUCUACCUUAAUCAAUCCCCGUAGAAAUCAUAAAUUUUCGAAAUAAAAAAAAAUUCUUUUUCACGGUAUACCUUUUAAGUGUCAAGCUUUGUAUAAUCUCAUUAUUAUGUCAAAGCAAGCACACGAAGAAGGAAGAAAAACAGAUUCCAAUUCUCAAAUCAAAAGGUUCAAAAUUCAUAAACAAGUAAUACGCAUGUAACCAUGGUGCCAAUCAAAUUAUUCAGUCAUGAAUAUAAUCAAUAGAUUAAAAUACAACAUUAAAAUAUUCAAGGAACAACAUUAGAGAGGUUUUGAAUCAUACAAGUUUUCACUUUAGAUAUAAUUGUGGUAUUCUGAUCAAUCAAUCAGUGAUGAGUCUUCAUCCAGCAUUGCAGCCAGAUUUUUUCUUUUUUGAAGUUCUCUAUUUCAAUGACGUUUGCUCGGAUCUUAAUAGACUCUAAACUCUCUAAGUAAUUUGACUUCUAGUUUAAAUCAUCUAUGUUAUAAAACAAUAGCUUGUCUUCCGAUUUAAUAGAGUCCAAAUUUAGUUCUACUUCUUAUCAAGAUGCAAUUAGCGAGUGGAAGGAUUCGGCCAUUAUUUGAUACGUUAACAUUUGUAAUUAAAAAUUUUUGGUUUGACAGGAGACAGGAACUAAAAGUGCAGGAGUCAUUUAAUUCACCCAUAUUUAUUGAAUAUAAUUUAUAUAGACUUUUAUAGAUAUAGAUAUAGAUAUAUUGAGUAAGGACUAAUAUCAUCCAAGAGACUGUUAUAGAGUACAUAUAUAUAUAUAUAUAUAUAUAUAUAUAGAUUGGUCAAUGGUCACAAAUUUGCCCCUGCAAUCGUAUGAGUUUUAUCUUUUAAUUUUCAUUCUUGUAUUUUUUUCCUCUUUCUUUCUGUCUUGUUCCUUUUCUUCUUCAUCUUUUAAUGUCGCAAUACUUUUUAUUUUCUCUUAAUAUGUGCAUAUUCAAAAUAAAACUUUUGAUUGGCUAUAGCUCAUUCAAUUUGUUGUAUGCUCUGGUUUUUCAUUUCUUGUUAGGAAAUUGGCUUCAUUUCUUCUAGGUAGAAUUCUUAUUUUGUGUGGAAGUAACUAGUUUCCUAAUUGGUUUUAGUUACUUGAAGUAGUAAUCAAGUAAAGCCCUAUUUAGCUGGAUGUUAUUUCCUACUCUAUAUGAGUUUAGGAAAUAGUAUUGGUUUCCAAUUGUUAUUUGGUUUUUUUGCCAGUAAUAUUAUCUAUAAAUAGGUGGGUUGACAUACUACAUAAAGUACACACAAAGACACACAAGGAGACACAAAGGGCAUCAUGUAGCCUUAUACAUGGGGUGUGAGAGAGGGUUCUUGGGAGAUGAGAUAUGGUAUACAAGAGUUGGGUUUGGGUUCAAGUUAUAUUCUUGUAUAGGGUUUUCCUCUCAUAAUAAAUAACAUGUUUCUCUCUGUGGACGUAGGCUCAAUGGUGGAGUCGAACCACGUUAAAUGUUGUGUGUCGUUUAUCUUUCAUGCUUGUGGCUUGUUUCUCAUUAAAUUGUUAUACACUUGAUAUCUCAAUAGUUAUUUGUUCCGCACCUGGAUCCUAACAUUUCUUUCUACAAAACUCCAAAACCAAAUACAGGGAGUUUGUGUGCAAGAGUCUUGGGAUGGAGAGGAAAUCAACAGACGAGGCAUAAAAGGGGACAAGAAUUCAACAUCCCUUCGGCUAUAACCACGCAAGACUAUUAACUUUUGUUAAGAAUAUUUCUACGAUAUUAGCUUUUCAGGGUGUAAUUUUUUCCUUAAAAGCCCUAUGUCUAGACAUGGCAUGGGUGUAGAUUUUGUAUCUCUAAAUAUUGGUUUCCACUUAAUUGCUAAUAUCCUUUUGGACUUGAUAAUUUCUAGAAUUAUUUGUCUGGAGAAAUGGAAUUUCAUGGCAUGCAAUUUCACUUGGAGACAGACCAUUUGUACAAAAUUAAAAGACAAAUAAUUAAUAGUUGUGUUUAAUCAUCCAACUUGUGAGUUGGGAAACAAGUUGAAGCCGUAUCACUACUGGUGAAUCAAAAUUUGGAUAGAUCCGAUUUUCAAAAAUUCAGUGAUCUAAACUGCACCAUACCACUUCAUGAGAUGGUGUGACACAAUUUUAAAGAUUGAAUUUUUAAAAACCAGUCGGAGUGAUGAUGGCAAUGACCUGAUGAAGAUCAAAUUGAUCAGUUGUUGAUGCUGUUGUGGCCCUUGUACGUUUCAAUUAAUUGGAUCAUUUAAUUAGUUAAUUGGGCCGAGGGAUUAUAGCAAACUCUUGGGUUGUUUUUGUUGGACUGGGCCAAGUUCAGAAAAAGAAAAGAAACAUGUGUUUAUAUAUUUAUAUAUACACAUACUUAUAUUUGUAUACAUACAUACAUAUAUAUAUACACAUACAUACAUCUAUAUAUAUGUAUGUAUGUAUGUCUACACACAUGUGUAAACCUGUUGUAAAAACUUAAAAGAGAAACACGUGAUAAUAUAUACACAUGUAUAAACCUGCUGUAUGUGUCUAUUUAUAGAUUACUGGUAUUGUUAAUAACUUAAUAUUCAUGUUAGCUAUAUUGUAUUAUCGUGUAUUGUUCAUUAGUAUUUUCUCAAAUAUUAUACAUUACUAUAAAAAGCCAACAUUUCAUCUUGCCGUCCACGCCAAAAUAGAAGAAGCUAGAUUAUCUAAAAUAGCACACCACCAUCCCGCAUCAUUUCUAAAAAAUUUAAGACAAGCAAAAGUAGAUUUACUUUGGCAUAAAUACUCUGAAUUAAAAUCAAUAGAAAGACAAAAAUUAGAAGAACAAGAAAAAUAUAAAAAUAAAAGGAAUUUUUGUAAUAAAGUUUGUAGAACAUCUGAUUAACAUUUGAUUAAUCACGUAAGACUUUAAUUGGAGCCGUAAAAGUCCAACCACUAGAGUGUAGUCCAACAUAGUCCAACAUAGUGUAGUCCAACAUAGUCCAACAUAGUGUAGUCCAACAUAGGUCUUUAAUUGGAGCCGUAAAAGUCCAACCACCAGUUUUUUGGUAUCAAAGCUUGCCUUCCCGGUGAGCCUGAUUCCUUAAAGUCAAAGAUAGAUAAAAGAUUAGAAUACUUAGAUCUAGAAAUAAAAAAUAAAUCUAGGAAUAUAAUAACUUUAGAUAAUCAUAAGCAUAUUUGUUAUUUUCAGAACACCUAUAAACAUACCUUACAUAGUAAAGAAGAUAAAAAUUAUAAUAGCCUUAUUGAUCUAGUAAUAUCUUUAGGGGAGUCUUUAGAGAAACAUAAAGAAAAUAAUUCUCGGAUAAUAGAAAAUUUAUUAGAAUCAAUAAAAAAUAAAAAUAAAGUAAUAAAGACGCUAGUAGAAAAUCAGGAUUACUUAAAGGAACAAAAUAAUAAAAUAAUAAAAAGAAUAAAAUAUUUAGAAGAACUAAAACAAUUAAAAAUAGAACAUAAAAUUAAUACAGAAAAAAUAACUAAAGAAGUAUUAGAAGAGAUAAGACAAAAAUCUGUAGAAUUAAAACAAUCUUACAAUCAAGUAGAAGUACUAUUACAUAAAAUAGAAAAAAUCAUAUUAAGUUGAUAUAUGAGUAGUAAUAGUAAUAAGCCACUUCCCUCACAUUAUGUCUUUUAUCCAGAUUAUCUAAAAACAUUAGAAGAAUUAAAAUAUUACCAUCAAGACUCGUUAGGAUUAACAGAUUAUUCAGGAGCUAGUGCAUCAGAUAAAAUAUAUCCUAAACAAAAUAACGCUAUAAUAGCAUUAUUAAUAUCCUUACAUAAAAAAGUAGAUACAAUAACAGAAAAGGUCAGAGUCCUACAAAUAGAUAAGUUUGAAAAAGAUUUGGAAGAAAUAACGGACCAAUUUAAAAGAUUACCUGUAACAAAGAAAGAAAGUAAACCACAUCUUAGUAAUAUAUUUUCAGUAAAUCCUAAACCACAAAAAUUUUAAGAUGGCCAGUAGAACAUCAUUUUCAGGACCUAGUAGAACAGUCAACGAAAACACACAAGUAGGAACUAGUGUAUUAAAUAUAGGGAGACAAUUAAGAAGGAGUAGGAGCAUGCAUUUAGAAGAAGCAAUAGACGUCGAUAGAGACUUGGAAAUAUACAGGAAUAAUGAAAUAAGUUUAUUAAACCCAAGAACCUUGUACUCAGUAGGAUUUCUUAGAAGUAAUACAGGAUUAUUUAGGCAAAGCAGAGAAGAACCUGUAAGCGCAUUAAGUAACCCCGUAAAUCUUAGAAUGAUAACACAACAAAGCAUAAACCAAAUCAGAAGACAGUAUACAUAUAUGCAUAUAGGAUUAAUUGUUAUAGGAAUAAAAGGACUAACAAGAAAAGGAUUGGGGAAAAAAGUAUUAUUAGCAGUAUUAGACAAGAGACAUAAAAAAGUAGAAGAUGCAUUAAUAGCCAGUAUAGAAGUAGAUAUGAAUCAAAACGGAGGAAUAUUUUAUUGCAGCCCAGAUUUUAUGAUAACCUUAGAAGAUAUAAAAAAUUUAGAAAUAGGAAUACAAACUAAAGGAUAUGAAAAUUUUCAAGGAGAUAAUUUAACAAUAAGUAUCGGAUUUAUAGGAAGAUUAACAAAUAGUAGUAAGACCAGAUAUAAGGUAGAAAUAAAGCCAAUAGUAGAGGCUAUGGCAAGUAAAGGAAUAAAAUUAAUAAAACCAAUAGAAGUAAGUUCAGAAAACUUGGCAGGAGAAGAAUGGGAGAUUAGUAAAUUUGUAGAAGAAAAUAAUCCAAUAAUACCAAAGGAUAGUAUAAUAUAUAAAAAUAGUCAAGGAAAAACAAGCCUUAGAUUUUUCAAUUAUGAACCAACAGCUUUAGGAACAGAUAAUGAAGAAAUAGACAAAUCUGACAUAGAAUCAGACCUUAUCGAAAUAAAUUUAUUAGAAGAAGAAUUAAUAGAAAUAGAUCAUAGGAUUCUUUAUCCAAAAGAAUUAAAAAUGAAUUUAACAAAAAAAGAGCUAUUUGAUUUAGAAAGAAAAUUGGAAGCAAAUGGACAAAUAGCAUUAAACGAAGUAUUAUACUAUGAUAAUAUAGGAAAUAUUAGGGUGAAAAUAGAAGAAGAUAAUUCUGAAGAAGAUAAUUUAGAAGUAGCCAGCAUAAUGUCAUAUAGAGAAUUAAUGGACCAACAACAACAAAGUGGUGAAAGUAGUAAUAGGUCAACAGAUAUGCAGACUGAUACUAGUCAAACAGGAAAUGUUAGAACAUAUGAACCAGGACAACCACCUAGAAUAGUCUAUAAUGAAUAUAGAGAACCAGAGGAAAAAUAUAGUUCUAGGGGAAAAAGAAGACCAUUAGAAUUAGAAAUAAAAGAGCAUUCAGUAGAUGAAGGAAAAACUUUAAUGUUAACAUCUUACGAUCCACAAAUGAUAGAAGAUGUAAUAGGAAGCUGGAAAGCUAGAGUAGUAAGAAAUUAUAUACAAAAAGGAUUCGAUCAUAACGUAAUAGAGAUGUAUACAUAUUUAGAAACAUUUUUAGGAGGAGUAGCAAGAGCAGCAUGGGAAGCAUUUAAACAAAAAUUCCCAGAUAGGUUACAACAAGAUCAGGCACAUGGAGUCAAUCCCAUGAAUUUUGUUAAUCGAGUAGAAGAAAUUCUGUUAGCAACAAGUCCAAAUAGAGGAGGAGUAAUGACACAGAUAGAAUCGGUAAGAAAACUAGAACAAUUAUCAAUUAGAAACUGGAAAUAUAUUAAACCUUUUUUACAAGACUUUUUAUAUAGUUGUUUAGCAGGAUGUUUUUAUGAUGAAGGAAUAAUAGAAAAAUUAUUUGCAAAAUUACCAGACGAUUUAGGAAAGAAAAUAUAUACCUUAUACAAAGCAACGCCUAUGGAACCAACAUUAAAAAAUGUAAGUACGGCAGUAAGAUUUAUAAUCAAUAGACUAGUAGAAGAAUGUACUUUUAUAAAAAUACAAAGACAAUUAAAAGGAGAAUAUAGUUUUUGCUCAGAAAUAUACACACCACAAAAAUAUGGAGAAAAAGAUAAAGAUAAAAGAAAAUAUAGAAAGCCUUAUAAAAAUUAUAAAAGAUACCCUAGAAAACAAUAUUAUCUUAGGAAAAGCAAAGCUAGAAAACCAUUUCUCAAAAAAGAACACCAUGUUAGAAGAUAUAGACCAGAAAGAACUUAUGGAAAUAGAUUAUCUUGUUUUAUUUGUAAACAACCAAAUCAUUUAGCAACAAAUUGUCCACAAAAACAUAACUCUUUUAAUAGAGAAGCCCACUUAAUAGAAUUAUUUUCGGAAGAUUUAAUAGAAAUAGAUGAUAAUAUACUAGAGACAGAAAGUAUUUAUAGUAUAGUAUCUGAAGACUUAAAUUUAACAGAUUUUAUAGAACAAGAAGACACAAGUUUUAUAGAUGAAAUUUUAGAAAAAUCAGAAAACAAAACUAUCAUGGAUAAUAUAUAUUUAGAAGAAAUGAAAGAAGAUUUUAAAAUGUUAGAAGACUUAGAACUAGUUGAAGUAGAGUGUAUCCAUAAAUGGGAACAUAGAAAAGGAAAUUAUAGUAAACCAUGUUAUAACUGUAAUAAAUAUCCGUCAAUAGAAUUAAGGUUUCAAUGUCAGCUAUGUUAUAUAGAAGGAUGCAAAUACUGUUUAGAAAAACUUGCACAGGAAUAUGUUUUAAUAGAAAAUAUUAAAAAAGAAAAAACUGAAGAAAAUCUGCCUUUAGAACAUUAUUUAGAAAGAAGGAUAAGAAUUUUAGAAAAUAAGGUUGAACAUUUAGAGCAAAAAAUAGAAAAAUUAAAUAAGGGAAAAACAAUAGAAAGCGAAGUAUCUAUUGAAAACAUAGAUCUAGAAAUCUUUCCAGAAAUAGAAGAAAUAAAACAUAAUUAUGAUCUAGAAUUAUUACAAGCAGGAACAUCAAAUAUAACAUCCAUAGAAGUAAAAACUCGAAUAAAAAUAGGAGAUUUUGAAACACAAUUAUUAGCAGUAAUAGACACAGGAGCUAGUAAUAUAGUAAUCCAACAAGAGUUAAUUCCAGAAAAAUAUUAUGAGAAAGCAUACCAUAUUAGAACAGCUAGACAAAUGGAUGGAAGUACAUAUACAUAUGACACAGCAUUACAUAAUUCUUUAUUAUUUUUUGAAAUAGAUAGCAUACACUGUACACAACCAUAUCCUGUAACAGAAAUAUAUAUUAGAAGUUUUCCUUAUCAAAUGAUAUUAGGACUAUCAUUUAUUUUACAGGCAUAUCAUGGCAUGAUUCUUACUAGAACAGGAUUAACAUUCCUUAGAGAACAUUUUUUACCAUAUAAUACUUUUUUAACAAGCAAUAAAUUUAAAAUAAAUAAAGAUAAUAAAUUUACAAGACUCUUAGGACUAGAAGAAAAAGAUAAUUGUAAAUGUGAUAUAAAAGGUAGCUGUAAGAAUGAUUCAACCCAAGAAUAUAGGGGGAAGAAUCAGAAAACUAAUUCUUUUGACAAUAUGGAGAUGACUGGAGAAAGGCCUUUAUAUUCGUCACAAAGAAUUCAAAACUGUUUAGAAGACAAAGAAUUUGAAGAAUAUUUAGAGAUAGAAAAUUAUGACACAAUAGAAACUAUUUUAAAUAAUGAAAAAUUAUAUGAUCUGUUAGAAACAGGACAUAGAGAUAUAGACCAACUAAUAAGUGAAUUAGAAAAAUUAGAAAUUUUUGGAGAAAAUCCAACUAUUCAUUGGGAUAAGGACAAAACAGAAUGUAAGUUAGAUAUUUUAAAUCCAAAUUUAAAAAUUAGCACAGCAAAAAUAGAAGCUAGUAAUGAUGAUAUAAAAGAAUUCGAAAUGCAUAUAGCUGAUCUAAAUAAGUUAAAAAUAAUUAGAAGAAGUACUAGUCCACACAGAAGUGCAGCAUUUAUAGUUAAAAAACAUAGUGAAAUAGUUAGAGGAAAAAGUAGAAUGGUAAUAAAUUAUAAAAGAUUAAAUGACAAUACUAAAGAAGAUAGCUAUGAUAUACCAGAUAAAAAUGAGUUAAUAAAUAGAAUCCAAUAUAGAUAUAUUUUUAGUAAAUUUGAUUGUAAGUCAGGAUUUUGGCAGGUAAAAAUGCAUAAAGAAAGUAUAGAAUGGACAGCUUUUACAUGUCCUUUAGGACACUAUGAGUGGCUAGUAAUGCCUUUUGGGUUAAAAAAUGCACCAGCCAUAUUUCAAAGAAAAAUGGAUAAUAUUUUUAAUAAAUAUAAAGAUUUUGUCAUAGUAUACAUAGAUGAUAUAUUAGUAUUUUCAAAAAACAAAGAAGAACAUGUAAGCCAUCUAAAAUUAGUUUUCUCAGAAUUUAUUAAACACGGAAUAAUAAUCAGUAAUAAAAAAGCACAAUUUUUUAGAAAAAAUAUAGAAUUUUUAGGAACAGAAAUAGGACAAGGAAAAAUAAAAUUACAACCACAUAUUUGUAAAAAGGUUUUAGAAUUUCCAGAUAAGAUAGAAGAAACAAAGAAACUUCAACAAUUCUUAGGAUUAUUAAAUUAUGCAAGACCUUUUAUUAAAAAUUUAAAUAAUCUAGUAGCACCAUUGUAUAAUAAAACCUCUUUAAAAGGGCAAAAAUUCUUUAAUAAAGAAGAUGUCAAACUAAUACAAGAAAUUAAACAAACAAUAGGCAAUUUACAUGAUCUAAAAUUACCAUUAGACACAGAUUACUUGAUAAUAGAAUGUGAUGGCAGUAGUACCGGAUGGGGAGCAGUUCUUUUUGCAAAACCAAACAAAUAUAGUAAUAAAAACAAUGAACAAAUCUGUAGAUACGCUAGUGGUAAAUAUAAGGAAAAAGGCAAUAGAAGUAGCAUAGAUAAUGAAUUAUUAGCAGUAAAAUAUAGUUUGGAUAAUUUUAGACUCUUUAUAAUCAACAAAUCUGAAAUAACUAUUAGAACAGACUGUGAAGCAAUAAAAAAGUUUUUUGAUAAACAUAAUGAAAAAAGAAGUUCUACUAGAAGAUGGUUAAAUUUUGUAGAUAGUAUUAUUGGUAAUGGAUAUAAAGUAGUUUUCGAACACAUUAAAGGUAAAGAUAAUAAUUUAGCAGAUUUUUUAUCACGACUUUUUAACAAUUCUUCUGAUCUCUUAGCAGAUGGCAUAUAACUUCCAGAAAGUCAAAAUUGGCCAGUGGGAACUUACAAAGUACCCUAAAGGUACAAGUCUACAUUUCCAUAGCCAAGAGGAAGGUAAUUUAGAAGACAUCCAGCAGGAUAUCUUAAAUAACCUCUGGAAUAGCAGAAAUAGCACUGAUAAAGUUAGAAAUCUUAAUAUCUUAGCAUUUUAUUUUAGUAAUCUUCCAAAACAAAGUUUUUCAUAUUAUGUAGUGGUAAAAGAAAAAAAACCUGGAAUCUAUUCCAAAUGGAUUUCUGUUAUAGAACAAAUAAAUCAUUUUCAUAAUCCUUUAUGGAAAGCAUUUCAUAGCAUACAUGAAGCACUAGAAUUCGCUAGGCAUAAUAUAGGAACAACAUUUUAUGUAGAUCCUAAGGCUAGCAUGGAUAGCAUGAGGGUGCCAGUAUAUCAAAAUACAGAUGCCCCUAGUAGCAGUAGAAAUUAUCAAUAUGCAUUAGAAAAAGAUAAUACAAAUAGAAUAGAAUUUUGUAGACAUUGUAAGAGCAUGGAGCAAGCUAUUAGAAGUUUAAAUUUAAAGUGUAGAAAUUUUGAAGAGGAAGAUCUUUCUCAAAAAGAAAAGAUAAAAUCUUUAACUGAACAACUCAAAGAAAUGUAUAAGAUCUCCGGCUCACAGGGAGGUACUAUUCUCUCACAAAUUUCUGAGAUUGGGGAGCUCAAAGGAAGGCUGUCUCAUACAGCAUCUCAAAUGGCCAGUUCUUCAUCCGGCCCAAUAAAACAGACAAUUUUUAUAAAAGAAAAGCCCCUUUCAGAAAGACCAUUUGAAUUUCUUAAGCCCAGAAUAUCCUUUAAACCAUAUCACCUACUUAGUUUCCUCCCUUUACAUAUCCAAGAAAUUAUUAGCCAAAAAGCCCAAGCCCAAUAUUAUUCAAAAUUAAUGGCAGUCCAACAAUACUUUUAUGAAAUAGCAAAAAGACCCAAUUAGAAAUACAGCAGCCAUUAGACUACAUCCAUCUUUCUUCAUCGACCCAGAAAAACAUUGCCCAAACAAUCCAGAAGCCUGUGACCACCAGAAAAUAAAUAGCCAUUGUAUACAUACACUCAGUCAUUUUUUCCUCAGAGCAACUAUUAUCUUAUCAAAAUAUUCAUCCCCAAAGAUACUAAGGGUAAAUGGGGAAAGAGUUAUUUUAACACCACAAUUUCUUAUGGAUGCCGGAUUUCUGGAAAAAAUUAUUGUUACAAAUCCAGAAGAUACUCAUUGUCUUGGAACUUAUCUCGGAUACUUCAUCAGAAAAAUGUUAGACUAUGGACAGUGGGCAACUGUACAUAUCAAAUCCGCGCCAGCAGAAUGGAUAGGACUUUUUGAUAUAGAACCAGCAAUACAUAGAAUGAUGAUUACAGUCAGCAAUAUACCACCAGCAAGGAGAACGACAGAAGAACUAGAAAAAAUCAGCAGCAGUCUAGUGGAAUGUCCAUUAGAAUUAAAAGAACAAUUGAUAAAUGCUAAAAUGAUCCAAUUAGCUUACAGACAUUUCAUAGAUCAAUGGGAACAUGGGAUUAGAUUAGUAUAUGAAAAUAAGAUACAAAAGAUAUAUGUCCCAUACAGGUUUAAGUUAGAAAAAGAUUUCACUAUAAGCACCAAUUAUCCAGAAGUUUUUGAAAAAUAUUUAGAAGGAUAUUAUAUGAGCUCAGGAGCAAGGCAUUUGGAUAUAGAAGCAGAUGAAGAAUAUAAUGAUGAUCAUUAUUGGGAAACAAUGGGACCAGAAGAAAUGAGCAACAUCGAGAAUAUGAUGGAAGGAUAAUUCUUCGGCCAUCUUGUCCAAAGCUAUAUGUAUAGAUUGGUCAUAAAGCUUUUAUUGUAUAGUUUGGCCAAAUUACUUUUUGUAUAGGACGGCCAUAGAACUUUUUAGCCUUUAUUAGCUGACAGCCACAUUGUAUAGAUAGGCAAUAUUGAUUUGAUGUUUUUACGGAUUUCAGUAGGCUUUAAGUCCGUAAAAGUUUACAUCCACGGACUUUUAGUAAAAAAUUUUAAGUCCGCACAGUUUACAUAAGAAGUCUAUAAAGGCAUACGUCCCAAACCAAUGUUGGGUACGAUGCACUUACAUCCUGUAAAUUAAAGCAUUCAAUAACAAACUCCAAUUUCAUACGUUCUUUAGCAGUUUUUUACAAGACUUUAGCUCUCUCAUAUUGCUAGCAUAAGACGAAAGAGAAAUAAGAAAGUAGAGAUUUAGGCAGCCAACCCUAGAUUAGAUCCAAACAACCGGAAACUCUGAAAAAGAUACCUUGUUUUUAGGAUCCUAAAAGACCAAAAGACGGUGUAGUACCCAUUAAAGCCUUUCAGUUACAAAGCAGGCGCCAGGGGAAGAUCCGGUGAGGCAAAACUCCUAAUCACAAGAUUCCCAUUUUCACAGCAUCAGAAGGAAAAUUUGGAUUUAAAGCAAGGAAGGUAAAAUCUCAGUUAUCUUUCUUAAAGUAUCUAGUAGUCAUCAAUUUCUUAAAUUCCAGUUAAUCAUCCUGAUAUUUUAUAUGAAUUUUGAACCGCCUUUUCAAUUUACAUCCACUCCAGAAAACGCAUACAGAUUAGCAUUACAAAGCCUCAGACAACCAGAUACCUAUUAUUAUUUUGACAAAAUUUUAGAGGAAAUUGAAACAACAGACCAGUGUUUAGCACAUAUACAAAUAGAAGAAGCUAGAUUAUCUAAAGUAGCACACCACCAUCCCGCAUCAUUUCUAAAAAAUUUAAGACAAGCAAAAGUAGAUUUACUUUGGCAUAAAUACUCUGAAUUAAAAUCAAUAGAAAGACAAAAAUUAGAAGAACAAGAAAAAUAUAAAAAUAAAAGGAAUUUUUGUAAUAAAGUUUGUAGAACAUCUGAUUAACAUUUGAUUAAUCACGUAAGACUUUAAUUGGAGCCGUAAAAGUCCAACCACUAGAGUGUAGUCCAACAUAGUCCAACAUAGUGUAGUCCAACAUAGGUCUUUAAUUGGAGCCGUAAAAGUCCAACCACCAGUUUUUAUAACUAUUAGAACAGAUUGUGAAGCAAUAAAAAAGUUUUUUGAUAAACAUAAUGAAAAAAGAAGUUCUACUAGAAGAUGGUUAAAUUUUGUAGAUAGUAUUAUUGGUAAUGGAUAUAAAGUAGUCUUCGAACACAUUAAAGGUAAAGAUAAUAAUUUAGCAGAUUUUUUAUCACGACUUUUUAACAAUUCUUCUGAUCUCUUAGCAGAUGGCAUAUAACUUCCAGAAAGUCAAAAUUGGCCAGUGGGAACUUACAAAGUACCCUAAAGGUACAAGUCUACAUUUCCAUAGCCAAGAGGAAGGUAAUUUAGAAGACAUCCAGCAGGAUAUCUUAAAUAACCUCUGGAAUAGCAGAAAUAGCACUGAUAAAGUUAGAAAUCUUAAUAUCUUAGCAUUUUAUUUUAGUAAUCUAUUCCAAAUGGAUUUCUGUUAUAGAACAAAUAAAUCAUUUUCGUAAUCCUUUAUGGAAAGCAUUUCAUAGCAUACAUGAAGCACUAGAAUUCGCUAGGCAUAAUAUAGGAACAACAUUUUAUGUAGAUCCUAAGGCUAGCAUGGAUAGCAUGAGGGUGCCAGUAUUUUAUAUAUACACAUACUUAUAUUUGUAUACAUACAUACAUAUAUAUAUACACAUACAUACAUCUAUAUAUAUGUAUGUAUGUAUGUCUACACACAUGUGUAAACCUGUUGUAAAAACUUAAAAGAGAAACACGUGAUAAUAUAUACACAUGUAUAAACCUGCUGUAUGUGUCUAUUUAUAGAUUACUGGUAUUGUUAAUAACUUAAUAUUCAUGUUAGCUAUAUUGUAUUAUCGUGUAUUGUUCAUUAGUAUUUUCUCAAAUAUUAUACAUUACUAUAAAAAGCCAACAUUUCAACCGGACUUGUGUCUAAAUUUGCUAGGCACCAAAAAUAACACUUUCCCUACCACUUAAAUGGUCAGUGGUGUCUAAAUUUUAAUAAAAUUAUGAUAUUUUAUUCCAAAAAAAAAAAGAAAAAAGUGGUGUGCUAUUUUUUUUUAUUAAGUAGAGAAUUUUGUUACUCAUUGUUUAAGGUAGCCAAGCUUGGUCGCUUGACUCUUAUAUGCUACGUAGGCUUGGAGGUUGGGGCCUCGUCGCUCAUCUUGAAUAGGAAAAUCAGAAACUUUCCUUCCAAUCCCAGAGAGGUAUGUGGCGUACUUUGGUACUUCAAAUAUGGCUGCCUCCAACACCGGGUUUGUUAAGGUGAAUGUAGAUGCAGCUUUAAGUACAGCAAAAGGGAGAGUAGGAUGGGGAGUGAUUGCAAGGCGAGCAGAAGGAGGGAUCCUGAAAGCUUGGGCUGGCAGUGGAGAAAGAUACACUGAAGCCAUGGUGGAGGAAGCACAUGCAAUUCGAAUAGCACUUAUUAAAGCUGGAACAAUGGGCUGGAGAAAGAUUGAAAUCCAAUCAGAUUGUAAGGGAGUCGUGGAAAAAAUCAAGACAGGUUGCAGGAAGGAUCCGAAGAUUGGAGCAAUGAUAGAAGAUAUUCUUAGGUUGGGAACUGUGUGAGGCAACCAUUACCCAACUUUUGCUAAUCAUUAUAUAUAAAUAUAUAUGUAAUCAUUAUAUAAAUAUAUAUAUAUAUAUAUAUAUAUAUAUAUAUACACAACACAUAAUACAUACAUAUAUUUAUAUAUAUAGAUAUGUAUAUAAACACACAUAUGUAAACCUGUUGUAAAAACUAAAUGGAGAAGCAUGCGAUAAUAUAUAGACACAUAUAAACCUGCUGUAUGUGUCUAUUUAUAGAUUAUUGGUAUUGUUAAUAACUUAAUAUUCAUGUUAGCUAUAUUGUAUUAUCCUGUACUGCUCUUUAGUAUUUUCUCAAAUCAUUAUAUAUUACGAUAAACAACCAAUUUUUCAACAUCCUACGAAAGGACUUGUAUAAUGAGUUUACUUAAGUACUAUUGUUAAUGUUACGGUAUUUCAAUUUAUAAUUCUUGUGGAGUUCAGGGCAAUUGUGUUUGAUUUGUUGGAGACUUUCUCACAUUGAUUUUAUAGAAAAAUUAAUUUUUUGGCAAAAUAAUCCAAAACGUAUAUCAUUUCUUGGCGUUUUGUGGCUUUUAGAAGUACAAAAUUUUGAUCAAGUAAAGUGAGAAAUUUAAUAGAAUUAAUCUUUUCUACACUGUCAGUAUAUAUAUUAACAGAGUUGAAUAAAUUUUAGAUUAUCUGAAUUUGAAUUUGAGCAUCAAAUUUUGUAAAUAUUUUAUGCAUCUAGAUUUAUUAGUGUAUAUACUGUUAGUGCAUAAAAGAUUUAUCAAUUAAUAAAGGUUUUUAGAAAAUUAGGAUUGUGACCGCAAAGGCUGCGCGAACUUUGAAAUGGAACAAGUAGUUAUCUACAGACUACAUAUUAUAUUCUACAAUCUCUACAAAUCAGAAUAAUGCCCAACAAAGAGACUUAGUGUAGGGACUUGGUAAAACACAAGAACAAGAUGGGGCAGAAAGAUCCCGUGAUUAGUUUCCUCUACAAUCUGCAGUCUAGGCGCAUAGGCUUGCCGAGCGAGUUGAGCCUAAGUGCCAACAAAUAUUUUGCCUGAGAAAAAAAAAAAAAAAAAACCCAAGUUCAGGAUAUCACUCGUCACUUAUCAGCUUUUAAUGACACAUUUUUUUUAAUCCUUCCACCACACAUUUCCUAUCCCAAUUGACUGGUAUGGGAUUCGAACUAUAAACUAAGUGCCCUCCCAAUCAUGGGCCUAUUCUCACAUUGGGAAUGUCUUCAAUCAUGGGCCAUUAGUCUCCUCUAUCCAUCAAACACCUUUUCUCAAGAAGUGGGCAUUUAUCAAUUUGGAGAGUUAGAAGCGGAUUACGCAGCGAUUCCUUUGGUAGGGAUCCAAGCUUGGGGCACUCAAAGAUGCGCAGAUAUCGAAGAGCUGUAAGACCUCGCAAGAACGCGGAGAGCGAUUUCAGAUUUGGUAAGUCAUGAAUGGCGACGGACGUAAGAGUUGGAGGAAGCAAAGCGAAUCCAUCAUCACCACUACCAGAAAAUGAUUCCAGCUCUGGAUAUCCACCAUGGAUGCCGAAACUUUCAAGAAAUGGGAGUCUGUUGAGUCCCCAUUCUGACAGGGGCUUCAGCUGUAAGUUUUCUCCUGCCGCUAUGUGAAGAAACUUCAGACUGGGAGGAAAAUCUCCUUGUGGAAAUAACAAAGGACUUGAACAAGAAGACAAGAACAGAGAUCUUAGUCUUCCCAACCCACUGGGCAAGUAACUAACAUUUUUGCAUCUGACCAAGGAAACACGUUCCAAACUUGGAGUGGGCAAUUGAUCCAGAUGAUGAUCACAAUCGCUAAUAGACAAAGACCGGAGACUUGCAAAACUGUAGACUGAACCAAGCAUUGUUCUCAAAUUCAGACAUGGGCAGCCAACGAUUUGCAGACUCUCAAUCGAUGUGCUGGUGUCCUCUAUGACAAUCUCCGGAGUAAGGUUCAGUUUCUGGCAAUGUCUGAUCCCAAGAUGCCUAAGCUGAGGGAGGAGCAACUUGUCC
rnacentral:lncRNA from 1 species